rnacentral:lncRNA from 1 species
CCCCCAACACCUCUUCUGCUUGCUCGUCUCGUCCGUGCUCCAUUGUUUCUGCAAAUAUUACAACAUGGCAAUUAUUACACAAACAUGACAGCAGGUGGAUAUAUUAGUGCAAACGUAGACCUAGCUUAUUCCGGGUUUGGGGUGGCCUCGGCAACGCUUCAAGGGUAGGGGCGCGACGGGAGGGGGUAGGAGACCGACAUCGUUUUUUUCUAGGGUUUGGGUGUCCUUGAGAGUUUUGGUCGAGCAAGAGGGCCGGGGGGUGCUCCCGUGGUAUAUGUUAUCACGGUCGAGAGGGGGUAUAAAUAUCGACCGUCCAUCAUGUCGAAGUUAUCUGAGAGGGAGUUAUAUAUAUCGACAACGACGACAUACAUACAUGGGAAAAUAAUGUUAUCCGGGAGGGGGUAUAUCGACCCCUCCCCACGUGUUGAAGUUAUCAGGAGGGGGUUAUAUCGACAACGACGACAUACGUACAUGGGAAAAUAAUAUUAUCGGGGAGGGGGUAUAUCGACCCCCCCUCGUGUUGAAGUUAUCGGGAGAGGGGUAUAUCGACGACGACAGACCCGAUAAAACAUAAGAAAACGAAGAAGAAAUAAAAAGAGGAGAAGAAGAAAAGGAAUAGAGGAGAAGAUCGAAGAAAANNNNNNNNNNNNNNNNNNNNNNNNNNNNNNNNNNNNNNNNNNNNNNNNNNNNNNNNNNNNNNNNNNNNNNNNNNNNNNNNNNNNNNNNNNNNNNNNNNNNNNNNNNNNNNNNNNNNNNNNNNNNNNNNNNNNNNNNNNNNNNNNNNNNNNNNNNNNNNNNNNNNNNNNNNNNNNNNNNNNNNNNNNNNNNNNNNNNNNNNNNNNNNNNNNNNNNNNNNNNNNNNNNNNNNNNNNNNNNNNNNNNNNNNNNNNNNNNNNNNNNNNNNNNNNNNNNNNNNNNNNNNNNNNNNNNNNNNNNNNNNNNNNNNNNNNNNNNNNNNNNNNNNNNNNNNNNNNNNNNNNNNNNNNNNNNNNNNNNNNNNNNNNNNNNNNNNNNNNNNNNNNNNNNNNNNNNNNNNNNNNNNNNNNNNNNNNNNNNNNNNNNNNNNNNNNNNNNNNNNNNNNNNNNNNNNNNNNNNNNNNNNNNNNNNNNNNNNNNNNNNNNNNNNNNNNNNGCGUCGUCGGGGCAAACUGCAGAUGAACUCUGAAAAAUUUCCUAAGUGUUUGCUUAUAUAGCAAAGCCUUUAGUCCCGGUUCGUGGCACCAACCGGGCCUAAAGGUAGGCAUUAGUCCCGGUUGGUGCCACCAACCGGGACCAAAGCCCUCUUUUCAGCAGCCCAAAGGGCGGGAAGCGGCGGCCUUUGGUCCCGGUUGGUGGAACCAACCGGGACUAAAGGGGGGGCAUUGGUCCCGGUUGGUGCCACGAACCGGUACGAAUGCACCCCUUUAGUCCCGGUUGGUGGCACCAACCGGGACCAAGGCCUCUUGCUGCCCGCGUCGCGGCCAAAAGUUUAGUCCCACCUUGCUAGCCGAGGGGCGCCCGCACCAGUUUAAAAGCCGCGGCGCGGCUGCUGUCUCGAACUCCUCUCUAUAGCAGGAUUCUGGGCCUAACUUUGGCGCGCUGCCCGUUGAGCCUUCUAGCCCUUCUGGUCCUGUAUUUGCAAACCUGAGGGUUGGAAGGCCCAGCGGGCAGCGCCCCAACAAUUUUUUUUGCUGUAUUUAGUUUUUCUGUUUUCUUUUUUUUCUUUAUUUAUUUUGUUUUGUUUCUACUUACGACAAAAAACUUAUUUAUUUUAUUUUGUUUCUAAUUACUUAUUUNNNNNNNNNNNNNNNNNNNNNNNNNNNNNNNNNNNNNNNNNNNNNNNNNNNNNNNNNNNNNNNNNNNNNNNNNNNNNNNNNNNNNNNNNNNNNNNNNNNNNNNNNNNNNNNNNNNNNNNNNNNNNNNNNNNNNNNNNNNNNNNNNNNNNNNNNNNNNNNNNNNNNNNNNNNNNNNNNNNNNNNNNUUGUUUUCUUUUUGCUUUAUUUAUUUUGUUUUGUUUCUACUUACAACAAAAAACUUAUUUAUUUUAUUUUGUUUCUAAUUACUUAUUUAUUUUACUUUAUGAUAAUUCUUUUUGCUAUUAAAGUUUCUAUCAAAAAAGUUCUUUAUGAAAAUUCUUUUUGCUUUUAAUGAUUUUGAACAGAAAAUACUUCGAUAAUUUUAGUUGCAUCAAUUUUAUAUGAUUUUAGUUUCAAUAAUACUAGAGGUUUCUUAUANNNNNNNNNNNNNNNNNNNNNNNNNNNNNNNNNNNNNNNNNNNNNNNNNNNNNNNNNNNNNNNNNNNNNNNNNNNNNNNNNNNNNNNNNNNNNNNNNNNNNNNNNNNNNNNNNNNNNNNNNNNNNNNNNNNNNNNNNNNNNNNNNNNNNNNNNNNNNNNNNNNNNNNNNNNNNNNNNNNNNNNNNNNNNNNNNNNNNNNNNNNNNNNNNNNNNNNNNNGUUUCUAAUUACUUAUUUAUUUUACUUUAUGAUAAUUCUUUUUGCUAUUAAAGUUUCUAUCAAAAAAAGUUCUUUAUGAUAAUUCUUUUUUCUAUUAAAGUUUAUUUUAUUUUGUCGUAACACAAGAAGUCCGGAGUUGUAAUAAGUUAUUAAAAAUGGAAAAGAGGCGCAAUGCUCGUUGAUUAGCUUCAAGCCUUUCGGAAUAGUGUAGACUGCACUGCACAUAGCUCCAUGUAGUCUACCUUAUUCCUCAAGGCUUGAAGCUAAGCUACGUGAAGGUGAGCAUUGCGCCUCUUCUUCAUCGUCUCUGCACUCAGGGCUUAUAAACCGCUCCUAGUGCCUCUCAGCUAGCGAGGUGGGACUAAAAAACUGCUUAGUAAGAAACUCUAGUACCGGUUCGUGCCACGAACCGGUACUAAAGGUGCUCGUGGGGCCACAGCCUCAUUACUACCGGUUCGUGGCAGCAACCAGGACCAAAGGGUGGAAUCGGUCCCGGUUCGUGCCACCAACCGGGACCAAUGGCCUUGCACAGCGGCGUGGUGGUGGGAGUUUAGUCCCACCUCGCUAGCUGAGAGAGAGCCGCACCUUUUUAUAAGGUGCGGUGCGCCUGAGCUGUCGAGCUCCUCUCUAAAGCAGGCUUACGGGCCUAACCUCUCUGUACAUGCCUGUGGGCCUACUGGGCCUUCUGCGGGCCUGAAUCCUGGCCCAUGGAUGGGUUUCUAAUCGUAUUCAGGCCAUGGUGGCCCAGUAGGUGGCAUAAUUUUUAAUUUUUGGCCUGUUAUUUUUCAUGCAUUUAGUAAUUAUUUUGAGCUAUAAGACCCUAAAAUUGAAAAGCAUUUCAAAUGAACUCUAAAAAGGUUGAAAUUUGGCAUGGUAUCAUCAUUUCAUCCACAUAGCAUGUGCAAGAAAAUUGAGAGGGUUACGGCAAAAACUAGAUGCACUUCGUGUACAAAACGGACAAUGGUAUCAUACUCGUCUGUUACAAAGUUGGCAUGGUAUCAUCAUAAUAGUUGCGGGAGAAAGUCUUCACUUUUUCUUCGCUUGUGUCAUUUGCAUCAUUGGGCACAUCGUCUGGUUCCUCUUGAUCUUCAGCAGCUUCCCCCGUUGCAGCAUCACCGUAUUCAGGGGGCACAUAGUUGCCAUCGUCCUCUUCUUCUUCGCCGUCUUCCAUCAUAACCCCUAUUUCUCCGUGCCUCGUCCAAACAUUAUAGUGUGGCAUGAAACCCUUGUAAAGCAGGUGGGUGUGAAGGAUUUUCCGGUCAGAAUAAGACUUCGUAUUCCCACAUAUAGGGCAUGGACAACACAUAAAACCAUUCUGCUUGUUUGCCUCAGCCACUUCGAGAAAAUCAUGCACGACCUUAAUGUACUCGGAGGUGUGUCUGUCACCGUACAUCCAUUGCCGGUUCAUCUGCGUGCAUUAUAUAUAAUUAAGUGUGUCAAAAACCAUUACAGAACAUCAUGAAUAGAUAAUUAAGUGACCAAAUUAAUAGAAGUUCAUCAUCACAUUAAAACCAAAGUACAUACAUAGUUCUCAUCUAACAACAUAUAUAUAGCUCUCCAGAGCAUCUAAUUAAUUAAACCAUACAUUGAAACUAUGUAAAACAUUUCAAUGCGAAAACAAAUGCGAUCAUAAUCGCAACCAAGGUAACAAUUGAUCCAACGGCAUAAUGAUACCAAGCCUCGGUAUGAAUGGCAUAUUUUCUAAUCUUUCUAAUCUUCAAGCGCAUUGCAUCCAUCUUGAUCUUGUGAUCAUCGACGACAUCCGCAACAUGCAACUCCAAUAUCAUCUUCUCCUCCUCAAUUUUUUUUAUUUUUUCCUUCAAGUAAUUGUUUUCUUCUUCAACUAAAUUUAACCUCUCGAUAAUAGGGUCGGUUAGAAUUUCCGGUUCAACCACCUCCUAGAUAAAUAAAAUCUAUGUCACGUUGGUCGGCAUAUUUGUCAUAAACAAUAAAUGAACCAAAUAGUUAUAAAAAGAUAAUAUAUACCACAUCCGACUCAUAGACAGGACGAGGGCCGACGGGGGCGGAUACCAAAACCAUCGCACUAUGUAAUAAGAAGGAAUAAUAAAAGUAAAAAAAUUAGACAAGUAUCUAUCUAAAGUAAGAAUUUUUUUCCUUUCAGAAAGAAGAUAAGAACAAGAGGCUCACCACGGUGGUGCUGGCGACGAGAUCGGCGCGGGCGAUCAACGGCGGUGAAGACGGGGACGGGACGUGACGGACGGCUAAACCUAGACAAAUCUCGGGGAAAAUGGAGCUCGGAGGUCGAGUUUCGAGAGGAGAAAGAUUAACUAGUGUGGCUCAAACAUUUCAUCGAACACCUCAUGUGCAUAGGAGGUGAGCUAGAGCACCCAAAUGCCCUCCCCUCGCCGGCCAGAAAAAAUAGAGCACUGUGGAGUGCUCUGCUGUGGCAACGAGGUAUAUAUAGGGAACUCAUUGGCCCCGGUUCGUGGCACCAACCGGGACUAAAGGCCUUUGGUCCCGGUUUGUGGCACCAAUCGGGACCAAUGCCCCCCUUUAGUCCCGGUUGGUGGCACCAACCGGGACCAAAGGCCUUGUGCUGCCCCGCGUCAAAAGUUUAGUCCCACCUCGCUAGUUGAGAGGGCUCGAGAGUGGUUUAUAAGCGCUGCUGCGCCCACCCUCUCGAGCUCCUUCAACUGCAAGCUUUCGGGCCUAACCGUUCUCUUUGCCUGUGGGGCCUACUGGGCCUUCUGCGGGCCUGAAUCCUGGCCCAUGGAUGGAUUUCAAGUCGUAUUCAGGCCGUGGUGGCCAAGUAGGUGGCAUAAUUUUUUUCUCGGUUUUUUGUUUUCUCUUUUGCUUUAUUUGUUUUGUUUUAUUUCUACUUACAACAAAAAACUUAUUUAUUUUAUUUCCAAUUACUUAUGUAUUUUACUUUAAUUAUUUUAUUUUUAUUUAUUUUACUGCUGCUAUUUUUAUCUAUUUUACUGCUGCUAUUUUUAUUUAAUUUAUUAAGGUUUAUUUAUUUUAGUUAUUAUAGUUUAUUUUAUUUUAUUUUAUUAAGGUUUAUUUAUUUUUAUUUAUUUUAUUAAGGUUUAUUUAUUUUAUUUACUAUAAAAAAUGAACAUAGAUGCGCCUUUAGAGAAAAUUCAACCUAAAUUCAUAAUAAAUUUCUAUGAAAUUCAAAGAAAUUUACUGUGAAUUUAGGUCAAAUUCCCUGUAUAAGGGCAUCUAUUUUCACUUUGAGAGGAGCUCAACAAGGCAGAGAGGGACGGGCUUAUAAACUGGUGUGAGCGCCCUUCGGUUGGCGAGGUGGGACUAAACACUGGCCGCAACUAGGACCAGCCCUUUAGUCCCGGUUUGUGGUAUGAACCGGGACUAAAGGGUGGUGGGCCAGGAGCGUGGCCCAUUGGUCCCGAUUUGUCCCACCAACCGGGACCAAAGGGGCCGGACAAACCGGGACCAAUGCCCCCACGAGGCCCGGCAGGCCCCUGGCCGCACGAACCGGGACCAAUGCUCGCAUUAGUCCCAGUUCGUGACUGAACCGGGACUAAUGUGGAUAUUGCCCUGUGACCAAAGCCCAGUUUUCUACUAGUGGUGGAAGGUGGGACGAAAAACAAACCAUGAUAGGUGGGACGAAAAUAAACCUGGAACGGAGACUACCAAGUACCAACUGAGGCAUUAGGAGUAGAGAUUUCCCGUGUCAUACAUGUCCAGCGAGAAGACCACAACUCCUUCUAUGUCGCGUACUAUUGUGGAGACCCUCUUUUUGGAUUUUUUUUUCAUCCGUUCACCUUCGAAAGAAUUUUUUUUCUUUCUAUUCGAGGUGGUACUAAAAUUUUAUGCGUGUAUCCGCUAGAAAAGAAAAAAGAUUUGUCCAGAGGCCGCGCACGCUCCGGCCCAAUGAAGCCAGCACACUUAUUAUUGCCCACGUAGUUGGGAAGAACUUAUUUGUUGUAUUGAGCGAUAAAUAAUUGAAGCUGCCCAUAGGACGCCUAAAACAGGGUCGGCCCAUUUCCCCUUUUUAGAUGUUCUAUUUCUAUUUUUUUCUGUUCCUUUCUCUUUCUCUUUUAUAUUUCCUCUUCCUUUUUUCCAUCUUUAUUUUUUAGUUUUUCUGUCAAAUAAAAAUUUACAAAAAUAUUCAGAAUUUGCAAAUUUUGUUCAAAUAUUGAAAAUUAGUCAGAGUUCAAAUUUUUUGUUCCUGAUUUGAAAAAUGUCCGAAACUUUUAUAAAAAUUCAUGUUUUGAAAUUUUCUCAUUUUUAAUUUUUUGUGUUUUUAAAAAAUUCUUAGAUAUUUUUUAAUAAAAACUACAUUUUAUAAAGUGUUCCAUAUAUAAAACUAUCCCUGUUUUAGUGACAUGUUCACAAAUCCAAAACAAUAGUUUUGUCUGAGAAAACAUUUUCUAAAAUGGUUUUGAAUGUUCCCCUUUUAAAAAGAUCAGAAAUUCAAAAAUAUUUGUGUGUUUUAUAAAAUUAUCAUGUUUUCAAAAAUAUUGUUUGUGAAUUUCAAAAACUAUUAAUGUUUCUAAAUUUUUUUGUUUUUCCAAAAAUAUUGGACUUUAAAAAAAAUGUCGCAUCUUUUGAAAAUUGUUUGGGAUUUAAAAAAUUGUUCACGUUUCCAAGAAUUUCGCCAAUUCAUAUUUAUGUUGAAUGUUCAAAAAAAAACCAAAAGAUAUUUCUAAUAUUACGCUAUAGUACUCCCCCCGUCCGGAAUUACGUGUCGCGAAAAUGGAUGAAAAUGGAUGUAUCUCGAACUAAAAUACGUCUAGAUACAUCCAUUUCCCCGACAAGUAUUUCUGGACGGAGGGAGUAUAUUAUUAAAUAUUCGCUGGCCAUUGGUUGGCGAUGCAUGGUCGUUCUAUGCUGGUUUACUAUAAAUGAAAGAAAUUGUAGGCACAUGCCAAUAAAAGAGAAUAUGUUGUUUGGCUUUAAUUGGAGCAAAAUGAUGGGCACUUGAGCACUAAAAUAAUCAAAGAGAAUAGACCCUAAAAAAGAAGAGACAUUCAUGCCUGAUCAUGCUAAUGAAAUGGGAUUGAUGCGUUGCAAUUAAUGAUCCACCUGGUUACGUGGUCAUAGGAUAGAGUGGUCAAAGCAACCGUGUCCCGAAGGUUGCCGUGCAGCCACCAAAUGAGGAGGCAGGCACAAUCCAAAGAUAGAGGCAGAUCCGGAGGAAAAAAGGCAUGAGUUGGGUGCUCGCCACCAAUCCGACCAACCCCACCAAUAUCGAGAUUUCCCGUGUCAUACAUGUCCAGCGAGAAGACCACAACUCCUUCUAUGCCGCGUACUAUUGUGGAGACCAUUUUUUUUGGACGACACAUCAAUUAUCUUUCCCGUUGCUUCUUACAAAAAAAAUGUCUUUCCUGUUGCAACGCACGGACAUAUAUGCUAGUAACUAUUAAGCAAUGUAUUUCGGAGCUGAUUAAUAUUUCUUUAUUAUGCAAGUACACUGCAUAAUAUAAGGCCUAAUAAAUUUAUACAUGUGAGAAAAAAAAUCUUGGGUCUUGGCAUUACUUGAUUCUUCACCACCUCUCAGUUUCAUCUAGAAAAGGAUGCCGAGAUUGACCCGGUUAAGUGGAUCAAGAUGGUUGAGAAAGAGAUCUCAUUAGAAUGUAAAAAGAAGAAUCAAAGGAAAGGUCCACGCUUAAACAAACUGGUUACAUGCAUAAAUAGAAAGGUCUGAAUAUGGACAUGUCAAUUCUUACACGGCAGGCAGAUAAAAUCAAGAUCACUAUUGCAACAACAAGAUUACACAGUUACACAAGUUGACAUAUAAUUAUAAGUUAAAUCCAAGUCGUGGCCACCACAUGUCAUAUGCGGUGAGCAAUCUAAAAAAUGUAUAUUGUAACUUAACUUAUGUUCGACGAGGGCGAAAAAUGCAUAUUGUAGCUGAAUCUAAUCAGAUCACGGAGGUGGAACCACACGUCGAGAGGUGAUAACCUUAACUUGUCUUCUCCAGUGAAGCUCACUGCUGCUCCUUUGGGUGGGUGUGUACGACAGGGAUCAGGACCAGACGCCCUCCACCGCAGGCCCCGACAAUUCUCGAUCGAGAGCGACUGUACUACAGUUGUAGAAGCAAUCAAUCACUCCCGUAGCACUCUAGCAGAGUAGAGCGGACAUCAGGGGAGGGAGGCCUAUUUAUUAUCCAAGAAACUCACAAGCAUAUCCUUUCCCAGGGCUGAAAACUACAGAGUGCAGACAGGUUUUCAACAACACUCUUGAGGAAGGAUGAUUUGACAUGCCAGCAACAUCUCCACGGUAACCAGCGCUGAUGCAAGCUUUCCAUCAGUAUGGUAUUGAAACAGAUACCUGGCAGAUGCUGAGGGAGAUGACUUAAUUCACAAUACAUAUGUCUGAAUCUGAACAAGAUAGAAAUCAAAGUUCAGCUAAGCCGAUCGACCUGGUAGUACAUUAUUUGAAGCAAACAGAAUCCAUGCCGUUUCUAUGUGGUUUCCGCCCUGCUUACUCCUGCAUGGCUUGCUGGCGCUCCCUGGCUUGUCGAGUGGCCUUCCUCCGCUCACGGACUAGCCUUGGCAUCUCCUUCCAUGUAUUCGGUUUAAGUGCCAUCACUGCACAUAUCGCAAAUGGCGUCAGAACAAACACGUACAAAUUAAUGUAACAUAAAAAUUUAUACCGGACGGAAGUAAAAUAAUGGAGAACAAACUUGGACAAACAUGCUGGCGUGGUAGAUUUAAUGGAAUGGAUGACUGCAUCUGUUUGUUAAAUGUGGCAAAGAUAGAAGGACGUGCUGCAAGCAUACCUUCAUAACGGGCAUCUAGUCCUUUGAUGUUAAUGCUGCCCAGUUGCUGCUGCAGGCAUCUAGGGAGCUUCUUUAUAGCAGGGCAGCCUGUAAUUCCAACAAAGUAGAGAGACCUGUAUACUUGCGGCUCAUUCGGCAGGGAUGCCAGGGUACUGCAUCUUUCAAGAUAAAGGUAUUCCAGCGAUGGGGGGUGCUCUCCCGACAGACACUCCAGCGAUGUCAGCCCACUGUUGCCAAUAAUGCGCAGUCUCUUGAGGGGCGCAGGCAGACGAAGAGUCCCACCCAACAUGGCAGCACAGUCCAGUAUUGCUAGAUAUUCGAGAUGGGGAGGAAGUAAAUGCUCUCUUGCAGUUGGUGCUGUUGCUGCUGGUGGCUCUGGCAUGAUAGGACUUCUGCUUAUGGAGGUAGUGGCUUCUGGAUUCUGGAGCCCACCCAGCUGACAUGAUAGGACUUGAAUGCUAUUGCAGCCAGAAAUAUAUAUGGUCUUUAAGGAUGGAGGCAGACUUAGAACCGCUUGUAAGCUUCCACAUUCGACUAAACUUAGAUCUUCUAGGCAUGGACAAAAGUGAUUCAUGGGUGAGGAUGGCAACUCUGAUACAGCUGCAGGCAUGACUGCCUCACUGCUAGAAGAUCCUUGGACUAACUCCGGCAUGCCCUGCUGCUUGCCGAAUAUGGACUCAAGCUUAUGGCACCGACGAAUAUUCAUUUCCUUGAGAGAUGCCGAAACGUUGAACAUCUCUACCAAAUUUACACAAUCAUAUAAAUAAAGGGACUCCAGACCUGGCAGGUGUUGACUCCUUUCGGACGCCAAUGGCUCAAGAGGAGCCUGUGCAUAUCCAGUCAGGUUUUCGCAGUUUCUAAUCACUAAUAUCCUCAAGGAUACCAAGCUUUGGAACACAUUCUCUGGCCAGUGGAUGAGCACAUCGCAUCUGUUAAUUACCAGCUCUCCAAGAUGUACAAAAUAGUCCCACGGCUCUAGUGCACCUGGUCCAAAGAAUGAGUUGCAGCGUCCUAACUCCAUAACUGUAAGUGGGGAUUUCUGGUUCCAUUUCUCUUUGCUGUCGACCAGUACAAUUGAAGUGCAUUCAGACUCUGAUGUUGUUUCUGUGUGUUCUAGCUUCAGUGUCAGCUUGGUCAAUGAAGACAAAUACCUGUCUACACAGUGGAAGAUCUCUUGCUUCCCAUCUUCAAUUUCGAAUAAACUGAGUUUUGGUGCUUUGGGCAAUGCUACCAGUUUUGGGCAUUUCUGGACUGACAGUUUCUCAAGCUCAGGAAACAAUGUCCCUUCAACUGCAUCCCAUCUCUGAAAGCUCUCCAAGUCUUCCAUUUUGAGCACCUUGAGGGCAGGAAAGGCUGAACGUACCAAUCUAUAACCACCUCCACUACAUGGUUCUUCAAGCAAUGGUGCUUCAGGUAAAUUUAUCAGCUUUGGGCAUUUCUCAAUUGACAGUUCCUCUAGACAAGGAAACAAUAUAUGUUCUCCUUGAGUCUCUUCGACUGCAUCCCAUCUCUGAAAGCUCUCCAACUCUUUCAUUUUGAGUACCUUUAGGGCAGGAAACGCUGAGCGUACCAAUGUAUAACCACCUUCACCACAAGGUCCUUGCAGCAAUGGUGCUUCAGGUAAUGCUACCAACUUUCCACAAUUACUAAUAAACAACUUCUCAAGCACAGGAAAUAUUGUUUGUUCUUCUUGCCUCUCAUCUAUUUCCGGCCAUCUUUCAAAACCCAACAGAUGUUCUAGCAUAAGCACCUUCAGUUUUGGAAAAGUGAGGAUUGUACUGCAUUUGAACAAAAAUUGCAAUCUUUCACAAUGAAAAAGAUGGAUCUCAACCAUGUUCUGCAACAUACCCAUGCACUCUCCUCCAUAGGAAUAUAUCUUCAGAACCUGCAGCCCAACAUGAGGUUCAAAAUUGUUGAGCACCUUGCUGACACAAACAGAGCUCCAUCUUAAUGUCAGUUCUCUGAGAUCCUUCUUUUUACCGAAAUCUGCCACUUUCGCUUCUGUUUCUAUAUCGAUAUUCUCUAACUGGCAUAGCUCUAGCUGCCCACCAAGGUUUAAAUGCUGCAGCUCUCCAACAUCACUGCAAUCAGGACCAGGAACUCCUGCCACAAACCAUGUCAGCGUCUGUAGGUUAGUGAGUUUUCCUAGUCCUGGAGGCAUGCUCUUCAACCCCGGACAUCCAUGAGUGUAGAGGUGACGGAGGAAAGUCAUAUACUUCAUUUGCAUUGGAAGUCGUUCAAGAUAACGGCAGUCGGAAAGGUCCAACACUUGCAGGUUAUAUAGAAUACUUAUAUCCUCAGGAAGUGCUUCGAUAUCACUCCACGAGAGAUCAAGGUACCUCAGGUGAUGCAGAUACUUUGGUUUGAGCGGAAAUGAUUCUGUUCCCAGACAGAGCUUCAAGGCAUGCAAAGAGCUAUAUUUUGAUAGAUGCUUCAAUGAGCUUUGAAUAGGACUAUCGCAUAUCAGUGUUUGAAUGGCAGGGGACUUUUUCUCCAAAGAAUCAUUCAAAAUACCUUCUGUUUCAUCACAUGACAAGAACAAAUGCCGAGCAGUAUCCGAAAGCCACUCAAUUUGACUUGGUUCCUUAAUUGCAACGACACAUUCCUUUCCCAUAACAGACAUUGCAAUAUCAUGCAUAAGAUCAUGGAUUUUGCAUGUAGUUCUGAAACAGUACUGCUGAUUUUGCAUGUCACCCUUAAAUUCCUCUAUGUCCAGAAAGAAUGACCUUGAUGCUAGCUCACUGAAAAUAUGUUUGCCAACGGUUUCAAGACUAUCUUCCUCCUGUUCUGGGAUAAAGCCAUUUGCAAUCCAAAGUUGGAUAAGCUUCUCCACAUUAAUCUUGUAAUCCUUGGGAAAUAUGGCACAGAAAGCAAAGCAUUGCUUCAUGUGUGCUGGCAAAUCGUUGUAGCUAAGCUUGAGUAUUGGCAAAAUUCCCGUUUCCUCAGUGCAGAUACUGCUUCUAGAUGAUACAACCUUCCAUUCUUCUACGCUGGUCUUGGUACGAAGUACAGAGCCCAGUGCAGUUGCAGCUAAAGGAGAGCCACGACAUCUCUUCACAAUCUCACCAACCAUCUCGAGCAGCUCGGGAGGCUUUUCAUUCUCUGAACUGAAUGCUCUAUCCACAAUAAUUUCCUCUAUGAAGUAAUCCUGCAAAACAUUGAGAUUGUAGGUUCUAUCUACACCCAUAGUUUCAGCAACUUGUUUAUCACGGGUUGUUGUCAACACUGCACUACCCAUGCCACCCUGUUGAAGACAGACCUUCAGCCUUUCCCACUUAUGGACCUCUCUGUUCCAGACAUCAUCCAAUACAAGGAGAUACCUCUGCCCGCUGACCAGUUUUUGAAGUCUAUCCAGUGCUGGUUUGUUUGUAUCAUCAUUUUUCUUGGGGGAUGCUUCAACUAUACUCUUAGCCACCGAAUUCACAUCAAAGGUAUCAGAGAUGCAGACCCAGAGCUGCAACGGAAAAUGCUUCUGAAUUUCAGGUUCAUUGUAUAUGAGUUGCGCCAAUGUGGUCUUGCCAAGGCCCCCCAUUCCAACAAUGGGAACUACUGCAAGAUUUGCAUUGCUAGCUUCACCAAGUAGCACCUUAAUGAUAUUAUUCUUAUCUUCGCGCCUGGAUCUGCUGGCAAUUUCUUGUGGGUCGAUGAUGACAUAAUCUGUGUGCCUCCACUCCUUGGACACUGGUGUCUGCCUCAACUGAUUGGACACCAACAAUGUCUGCCUCAACCCAAAGUCAUGCAUCUCUGCAAUGAGGAAAUUGACGCGGCGCAGAAGCAGGAGGCGACUCCGGUGAAGUUAUGGCGGCCGGCGCCGAACGGUACACACACGGCACAAGACAGUGGAACACAAGGGCUGUGCAGAAUGGUGAGAAGAGUGGUGUGAGCACAGGUGCAGGUGCAGAAUGGAGAAGAGAAUGGUGUGAGCAAGUCGUGCUUGGCUUUCUGUUAACCAAUCACAACUACCCAAUCUUGCAACGUUAACAGCUGGUGUGAGCACUUGGCAUUCUUUUUGGGCAUACCACGUUAACAGCUGGGGGUAUCUUUUUUUCUUAGUAGGGACAGCUGGAGCACCAGACAACCAGAAUAUUGCAAGUGGGUCAUUAUAAUUGAUAUUUAUAUGCCAGUAGAACCAAUGCAGUUUUUCAAAAUUUGCGUUCCACUGGCUGUGAAGUUAGCAAAUACGAUUUACUUUUUCCAAAUACAAAAAGUCGCAGAAAUGCAAAUCUAAAAAUUACCUGCGUGAGACAGCAUACCUAUUUGUGCAAAAGACAAUUCAUCUCGGAGUUUCUGCCACAGAGGGAAGGCCAAAACUUUGGUUUUCUUAAUUGGUUGAAUCUUGAAUGCAUCACAUGCCUCCUGCUGAAGAGAGAAAACCCAGAAACGGCUUUGAGAGCUACAAAGGAACGCCUGUAUUUUUUGUGUUAAUAUUGCCAAUAAUGGUGGAUGGAUCUAGCUGGUAUUUCUAGUUUCUUUUUCAAGAAUACGCUCAGGUCAUCACACAGGUCAUUUAUUUGCACCAGCUGGUUGGUGCACUGCCCCUUCUCUCGAAAUGUGCUUUCAAAAUUCAAACACCUCAUUAAGUGUACAUUUUGAUAUACUAAAGUGCAUAUCAGCAGGAAAAACACAAAUCAUCGCUGGCAUGUCCUUAAGAACUCUGGACUUUUUGGGAGAUUAGAGGAGCAUAUUUUCAGAAUUAGCACAGAUUAGCACAGUCCUCAUGGUGAGAACAACAUAUCCCAAAUUGCCAAUAAAAAUACUACACAGAUUAGCACAAGCACACUGCAGAACGGAGAAGAGAAUGGUGUGAACAAGACUGUGCUUGGUUUGCGUGUGAGAAAAACGGAAGAGCAUUGACUUUCUGGGAGCCAAGUGGCUGAGCUUGAUUUCUCGGAACCAACCACAACUAUCUAAUUUUGCAACAUCUCGGCACUGGGCAUUCUUCCUGAGCUGACAUGAAAUAAGGCAGCUAGCACUGCAUACCAACAGCUCGGGGUAUCUUCAUUUCUUUGCAAGUAUAUCAUUAUAUAAUGUAUGUUAGAUCCAAUGCAGUUUUUCAAAAGUGACAAUGCAUUGGAUGUGAACUCAGCAAACGGUAAGAAUUUCUUUCCAUGUACAAGAAGCUGCAGGAAUGCAAAUUAAACAAUUACCUCCACCGACGGGUGACAACAGACAUACAGUGCACCUACAAAACACAAUCCAUCUCUAAUUAACGCAUAACAUGCUUCCUGCUGAAGAUAGAAGACCCGGAGGCAAGUGGUUAUUUUCUUGUCCAUUUCUAAUGACACCUCUAAUUAACAUUGCAGGGGGCAGGAUCGAUCUCAAAGAGUAGCAUAAUCAGCUGCAGAUGAUUAUCACUUGUUCAUAUGGGCAAAUGAUAUACUUAACAUACGGAUAUGAUAAGACACAACUAGACAAUCUCCUAUUAUUUGACGAUGGAAGAUAUGUACGAGUAUACGAUACAAUUUGAUGAACCUAUUAGGUUCCAUUACUGUGAGACAGUGAAAACCAGAAUAAAGGGCUGUAUGGAGUUUUUUUAUCAGCCUAACGGGGUCGGCUUAAGUAACUAAAAUAAGAUGAAGCCUAACUUUUCAACCAUACAAGCAACAAAGUUAAAGACAGUGAGCUAAAACAAUAGUCGCGUAUACCUUAAAAGAUAAAUUCCCAGUGCCUUUUUAUUGAUCAUCACUGCGUAUGGCCAUAUAAUUUGCUAUUAGAUCAUCAUUAUAUUAUAUAUUUACGUCGGUAGUCGGUACAUACAAUGCAGUUUAUCAAAAGUGACAAUGCAUCCGCUGUGACCAAAGCAAAUAGUACAAAUUUUAUUUCCAAUUACCGAAGGUCGAGGAGUGCAAAUUAAACAAUUACCUCCACCGACGGGUGACAGCACACAUACAGUACACCUACAAAAUACAAUUCAUCUCGAGGACCACAAUAUUGGUUUUCGUGAAUUAUUGAAACUUGAAUGCAUCACAUGCUUUCUGCUGAUGAGAGAAGACCCGGGGGCAAGUGGUUAUUUUCUUGUCUUUUAUAAUGACACCUCUAAUUAACAUUGAAGGGACAGGAUCGGCUCUCAAAGAUAAGAAUAAUCAGCUGGCAGAUGAUUAUCUCUUGUGCAUAUGGACAGAUGAUAUAUACUUUUGUACUGAUAUGCUAAUUCAUGUUUUUCGACAAUGAAUGAUAUGUAUGAGUAUGAGAUACAAUUUUGACGAGCUUAAUAGGUUCUAUUAUUGUGAGGCAGGAACUUAUGGAGUUCUUAUUAUCAACUUAAUGAGAUCCGCUCAUAACCAACUAAAAUCAGAUGAAACCCAACCUUUUAACCAUACAACGGAGGCAGCAGAAAUAAAGAUAGAGAGCUUAACGAGAUCCGCUUAACUAACUAAAAUCAGAUGAAACCUAACUUUUUAACCAUACAAUGGAAGACAAGGGCAGUGCAGAAUGGAGAAAAGAAUGGUGAAAACACAAAUGCGGUGCAGAAUGGAGAAGAGAAUGGUGAGAGCAAGAUGUGCUUGCCUGUAAGGAAAAUGGAAGCCAACGUGAGUGUUGACUUUCUGUGAGCCAAGUGGAUGAGUUUGAUUUUCAGUAACCAAUCAGAACUAUCCACUCUUGCAACAGCUCAGCAUUAGCUGGGCAUUCUUUUUGGGAACACCACGUUAACAGCUGGGCAUAUCUUCAUUUCUUAAUAAGGCACAGCGACAAAGACAACCAGAAUAUUGCAAGUAGAUCAUUAUAUUAGGUAUUUAUAUGCCAGUACAUUGCUUGGCUGUGAACUUAGCAAAUACGAUUUUCUUUUUGCAAAUAUACAAAAGGUCACAGGAAUGCAAAUCUAAAAAUUACCUCAACUGACUAGACGUGUGACAGGAUACCUACUUGUGCAAAACACAAUUCAUCUUAGAGUUGCUGCCAAGGAGGGAGGGCCGGAGUAUUGGUUUUCUUGAUUGGUUGAAUCUUGAAUGCAUCACAUGCUUCGAUUCCCGCUGAAGAGAGAAGACCCAGAAAUGGCUUUUAGAGCCCGGAAGCAACGCCUGUAUUUUUUUUAUAUUGGCAAUAAUGGUGGAUGGAUCUAGCUGGUAUUUCGGGUUUCUUUUUCAGAAUACGCUCAGGUCGUCUCACAGGUCAUUUAUUUGCCCCAGCUGGUUGGUGCACUGUCCCUCUCUCUAAAUGUGACUUCAAAAUUAAAACAUCUAAUUAAGUGUACAUUUUGAUAUACCAAAGUGCAUAUCAGCAGGAAAAACACAAAUCAGCACUGGCAUGUUCUUAAGAACUCUGACCCUUUUGGGUUUUGUACAUAAUAUUGUGGGAGACUAGGGGAAGCAUAUUUUCAGAAUUAGCACAGAUUAGCACAGUAGUAAUUUACGUCAGUACAUAGAAUUUCUGAGCAAGCACAGUGCAGAAUGGAGAAGAGAAUGGUGUGAGCAAGCCAUGUUUGGCUUGCGUGUAAGGAAAAUGGAAGCCAGAAUGAGCAUUGACUUUCUGGGAGCCAAGUGGACGAGCUUGAUUUCUGGGAACCAAUCACAAACUAUCCGAUCUUGCAUACCGUAUUAGCUGGUGACAGCACUGGGUACCUUCAUUUCUUAAUAGGCAAAAGCUUGACAAACCCUCUUAUUGCAAGUCAGAAUGAAGAUUUCUCAUUCUUAAUAUCGCAAGUAGGUCAUUAUAUUACGUAUUUACGUCAGUACAUCCAAUGCAGUUUUUCAGAAAUGACCAUGCAUUGGCUGUGAACUCGGAAAAUAGUAAGAAUUUUCUUUCCAAAUACAAGAAGUCGCAGGAAUGCAAAUUAAACAAUUACCUCAACUGACGGGUGACAGCACGCAUACAUUGCACCUACCAAAUACUACCUCCGUUCCAUAAUAUAAGAGUGUUUUUUACACUAUUGUAGUGUCAAAAACGCUCUUGUAUUAUGGGACGGAGGGAGUACAAUUCAUCUCGAGGACAACGACAUUGGUUUUAGUGAAUUCAUUGAAACAUGAAUGCAUCACAUGCUUUCUGCGGACGAGAGAAAACCCGGGGGCAAGUGGUUAUUUUCUUACCUUUUUUAAUGACACCUAUAAUUAACAUUGAGUUAACUGGGCAAUUCUCUUCUCCUUAAUUAAUCGAUGAGGCAAAUCUUUUGCCUCCGUUUCGAAAAAAUAAUAAUAAUUAACAUUGAGUACAGGAUCGGAUCUCAAAGAUAAGAAUAAUCGGCUGGCAGAUGAUUAUCUCUUCUGUAUGUGGACAAAUGAUAUAUACUUUUGUACUGAUAUGAUAAUUUACGUUAUUCAAUGAUGAAAGGUAUGUAUGAUUAUGAGAUACAACUUCGACGAGCUUAAUAGGUUCUGUUAUUUUGAGGCAGUGAAGACCAGAAUAAAGGACUGUAUGGAGUUCUUGUCCUUUAUUAACAAGGUCCGCUUAACAAACUAAAAUCAGAUGAAACCUAACUUUUUAAUCAUACAAUGGAGGCAGCAAAAAUAAAGAUAAAGAGCUUAACGAGAUCCGCUUAUAACUAACUAAAAAUCAGCUGAAACCUAACUUUUUAACCAUACAACGGAGGCAGCAAAAAUAAAUACAGAGAGCUAAAAAAAUAGUGACGUAUACAUUAGAAGAUAAAUUCCAGUGCCCUUUUAUUGAUCAUCACUGCCUAUGGCCAUAUAAUUUGCUAUUAGAUCAUCAUGAUAUUAAUAUAUUUAUGUCGGUACAUCCAAUGCAGUUUUUCAAAAGUGAAGAUACAUUGCCCGUGAACUCAGCAAAUAGGAGUGUUCUUUCCAGAUACAAGAAGUUGCAGCAAUGCAAGCUAAACAAUUACCUCCACUGCUGGGUGACCACAGGGAGGACCACAAUAUUGGUUUUCGUGAAUCUUGAAUGCAUCACAUGCUUCCUGCUGAAGAGAGAAGACCCGGUGGCAAGUGAUUAAUUUUUCUUGUCCUUUAUUAAUGACACCUCUAACUAACAUUGAAGGGGCAUGAUCGAGCUCAGAGAUUAGCAUAAUAAGCUGGCAGAUGACCAUCCCUUGCUCAUAUGGACAAAGGAUACACUUAAUAUACUGAUAUGAUAAAAACACAGCUUGACAAUCUCCUGUUAUUCGAAGAUGAAAGAUAUGUAUGAGUAUGCGAUACAAUUUGUGGGUUUUCUUUAUUUUUGAGACAUACAAUUUGGUGAGCUUAAUAUGUUCCGUUAUUGUGAGACAUUGAAAAGCGGAAUAAAGGGCCAUGUGGAAUUCUUUUUAUCAGAUUAACGAGAUCGUCUUCACUAACUAAAAUCAGAUGAAGCCUAACUUUGCAACCAUACAACGGAAGCAACAAAAAUACAGACAGAGACCUCGAACAACAGUGGCCAUAUGAAUGAGAUCUGGGACUCGGCCAUAUGAACAACAGUGAAGAUAAAUUCCAGUGUCCUUUUAUUGAUCGCUGCCUAUGCCCAUAUAAAUGAGAUCUGGGACUCAGCCCGCUCCAACAUGGCUCUAGAAAGCACAUUUCCUCUGACGCACAUAUGAAAUACGACAGUACAAAACAGAACAAACACUGAGAUUAUAAUUAUACAGAUGACUGGAUGCUGUAACUAACUUGGAUAUCGCUGCACCGAAGACGGACUUUCUUCUCAGACAUCAGAGAGAAACGGAAUGUCCAUGCCAACUGCUUCUCCUCGACUCCACCUGCACAGCGCGCAUAGGCGGAAAUUUGAUGAUUAUUUGAAGUGACAUACACAUAAAGCACAGAGUUACUCAGCUAACAAAGCACGUAUGUACAUCGCUGUCAGGCUGAAUCCUGCUUCCUGACAAUCGGAAUUCAUGUGAAUCGAAUCGCUGGAAGAGACGGACAGACAGGAUCGAUACCUUGUGUCCACGGCGAGGCCUGAGUGGCUGCCGUCGACGUACGACCCGCAACCGACGGAGGAGCUCCGGGACCUUCUUGUCGAGACCAUCUGCAAUGGAAGUAAAAAAGAGCUGUUAGAAGAGGAUCCGAAAGAGGUUGAUGGUAGGAAGGAAUGGGAAGGGGAACGAGUGGGUGCCUCGAGCGGCCGCGGUGGUGGUGGGCGGGCGGAUGCGGAGGGUGGGAGGGAGGCUGACACCUCCGCCGCCACAGACGUACGUGGAGCGGCCGCGGGCGGUGGGAUCCGGGAGAGGCUGCGGCGGCGAGCGGUCCGGCCGGCGAGGAGGACGGGGAAGGGAGAGACGAAGACGACGCAGAUCGGCGGAAUGUGGGCUGGGCUUGUGACUUUGAGGCCUCCGAAAACUAUAGCCCAGUUCGAAUUGGUGCCCUAACACACACAACACUUACGUUGGGCCUAAUCGCUCGCUCCUGCCCCUGCUCAAAAUUUUUUUUGCUCCAGGCUGGGGGCCUCUGUUCCACCCCCAUCUAUCGCUCCACCUCCAAACAAAAAAAAAAUCUAUCACUCCACCUCCACUCCAAAAAUAUAAAAUUCUAUCAAUCCACCUACGCCUCGAAAAAAGAAAUCUAUCACUCCACCUCAGCAUUGAUGUCUCUAGCUUGUAGAAACUGCCAUCCUUUACAUGUAAAACGGAUUCGAUGAGUCAUGUCAUGCUCUAUAGACGUCAGUUCAUCUUAUCAUCUUACAGGAAAGUACAAAGUUAGUUUUCUGAAAAGCAACCGAAUAUAGAAGAACACUCCACACUCAAGGCUUUACUAAUCGAGCAUAUCCUAACAGCCCACACAUGAUUGCAAACUUAGUCAUACACAAGUUUUGCCUUUCUUGUUUACGGCUGACAGCCUAUACAAGGUUCCAAACUCGGUUGUAAAAGUGAUACUAUCUUGAUAAGUGUGUGACAUGUAAAGUUAAUAAGGUGAGUCAUAUAUAGCAAAUAUCGGGGUUUCUGUACUUUGUGUGUGAUCGUAUGCACAACUAAAAAUCAACUUUGAUGAUCAAUAUAUCCAAAAGUACGCUUGUAGCUAGUGCAAACCUAACCCAAUGUAACAAAAUAAUUCAUUUCAGAUGGAGCCAAACAGAAUUAUUAAAGCUGAUGCAAAGAAGGAAAAGAGGUGGUUCCUGGGCUACUAUAAAUAGGCAUGAAGUAUAAAGAUCAUCACAAGCACAAGCAUCAGAACCAAGCAACACUAGUUAACACCAAUCCACCAUGAAGACCUUCCUCGUCUUUGCCCUCCUCGCCGUUGCGGCGACAAGUGCAAUUGCGCAGAUGGAGACUAGAUGCAUCCCUGGUUUGGAGAGACCAUGGCAGCAGCAACCAUUACCACCACAACAGACAUUUCCACAACAACCACUAUUUUCACAACAACAACAACAACAACUAUUUCCUCAACAACCAUCAUUUUCGCAGCAACAACCACCAUUUUGGCAGCAACAACCACCAUUUUCUCAGCAACAACCAAUUCUACCACAGCAACCACCAUUUUCGCAGCAACAACAACUAGUUCUACCGCAACAACCACCAUUUUCACAGCAACAACAACCAGUUUUACCUCCACAACAAUCACCUUUUCCACAACAACAACAACAACACCAACAGCUGGUGCAACAACAAAUCCCUGUUGUUCAGCCAUCCAUUUUGCAGCAGCUAAACCCAUGCAAGGUAUUCCUCCAGCAGCAGUGCAGCCCUGUGGCAAUGCCACAACGUCUUGCUAGGUCGCAAAUGUUGCAGCAGAGCAGUUGCCAUGUGAUGCAACAACAAUGUUGCCAGCAGUUGCCGCAAAUCCCCCAGCAAUCCCGCUAUGAGGCAAUCCGUGCUAUCAUCUACUCCAUCAUCCUGCAAGAACAACAACAGGUUCAGGGUUCCAUCCAAUCUCAGCAGCAGCAACCCCAACAGUUGGGCCAAUGUGUUUCCCAACCCCAACAGCAGUCGCAGCAGCAACUCGGGCAACAACCUCAACAACAACAAUUGGCACAGGGUACCUUUUUGCAGCCACACCAGAUAGCUCAGCUUGAGGUGAUGACUUCCAUUGCGCUCCGUAUCCUGCCAACGAUGUGCAGUGUUAAUGUGCCGUUGUACAGAACCACCACUAGUGUGCCAUUCGGCGUUGGCACCGGAGUUGGUGCCUACUGAUAAGGAAAGAUCUCUAGUAAUAUAUAAUUGGGUCACCGUUGUUUAGUCGAUGGAUAUGUCGAUGCAGCGGUGACAAAUAAAGUGUCACACAAUGUCAUGUGUGACCCGCCCAAACUAGUUGUUUAAAUUCUGAAAUAAAAUAAAAAUAAAGUUGUAUCAAGACAAUGUUCAUAUUGGCAUUGUGUGGAUGUCAAUCUGAUUGCCAUGCUUGCAAGUUCAUAAGUUUGUCUUUCCUUGUCACAAGCGCAACCUGGUGCCUUAAUUAAUUAUCAAUGUACUGGAAUAAUCACUAUUUAAAUAUAAUAGUGUCACUGUAAAAUUUGGGUUGAACUCUUUAUUGGUUGGAGAUUUGAGAUCUUGUUUUUUAUUGGUUUGUAUCUAGUACCAACUAGUACCACUGUCUACAGUGACAAUCACAACCAGUUUUGUUGCUAAUUAUGUUUGCUUUCUUGCAAAUACAUUCAUUGAUUCUUUGCAUGUCAAAUUAUUUGCCGAGAAAAAUACCAGCUUUUUCUUGAACUUCACAAACACCACUAGCUAGUUAAUUUGAAAUAAGCUGCCAAUUUAUUUCCUUGUAUUUAUGCCCUUUACAUCGAACCAGUACAAUCAUUGUGCUAGCUAGAGAAAAGGAGUUGCUGGCACGUUCAUGUCUAGAACUAAAUCAGACUGAAUUGAACUUGUUCUUUACAACUAGCUAGGAGCAGAAAACUUACUGUGAAUUGCACUUGAUUAUAUUUGAUUUUGUUUAAGAGCUACAGGGAAAAAUCAUCAAAAAAUGCCCUAAAAUAUCUUAUCGUAAAAUAGGUUCACCAGGAGAUACAGUCGCAAGAAAAAAAAGGCUCACCAGGAGAUAGAUGCUGCACAUUAUCAUUUAGAAAUUAGACCAAGAGAAAUGUGGAUUUGGCGGCUCAUAAUUCUAUAAGACUAUAACAGGUUGUCCAAUCAUUUAGAAAUUAGAUCAAGAAAAUGUGGAACUAAACAUAUUAAUGGCUAGGAUCAUAUUUGCACUGUGGGAACUUGGUAUGCGCGCUCCAACAUGCCCGUUGAAAGCAUUUUUUCCUCUGAUGCACAUAUGAAAUAUGACUGGUCGAAAACAGAAGAAACAGUGAGAUAAUAUGGAUGCUUGGAUGUUGUAACAAACAUAAACUUAUUAUAUAUAUAUCCAAUCCACCGAGCGGACGAACAUCCUAGGAGCUUUUCUCUCGGAGAUCGAAAAGAAACGAAAUGUCCACGCCAACUGCUUCUUCUCCAUCUGUAUAACGCGUGUAGGAGAAUUAUUUUGAUGAUUAUUUGAAGUGGCAUCCACAUAGAGUACAAAGCUAUUCAGCUAGAAAAGCCACAAAUGUACAUCACUUUUAGCCUACAUGACUGAACUCUGCUCCAUGACCUUCUUGAUUCAUGCGGCUCCUGAAUUCAUGUGAAUCGAAUCGCGGAAGAGAUAGGCUUUCAGGGUCAAUACCUCAUGUUCAUGGGAAGGCCGGAGAGGCUGCGUCGAUGUGCAGCCUGAACCCGAGGAGGAGCUCCGUGUCGGUGUCAAAACCGGCGGAUCUCGGGUAGGGGUCCCGAAUUGUGCGUCUAGGAUCGAUGGUAACAGGAGACGGGGGACACGAUGUUUACCCAGGUUCGGGCCCUCUCUAUGGAGGUAAUACCCUACUUCCUGCUUGAUUGAUCUUGAUGAAUAUGGGUGUUACAAGAGUUGAUCUACCAUGAGAUCGUAAUGGCUAAACCCUAGAAGUCUAGCCUAUGUGUAUACGGUAAUGAAUGUCCCCUAUCCGGACUAUGCUCUCCGGUUUAUAUAAACACCGGAGAGAUCUAGGGUUACAUGGAGUCGGUUACAUAAGAAGGAAUCUUCACAGCUGGUCACCUAGCUUGCGUUCCACGCCAAGGGAAGUCCAAUCCGUACACGGGUGUAGUCUUCGGCCUUCGUAUCUUCACAGCCCAUCAGUCCGGCCCAAUGAAUAAUAGGCCGGACGCCCGAGGACCCCUUAGUCCAGGACUCCCUCAGUAGCCCCUGAACCUGGCUUCAAUGACGAGGAGUCUGGCGCGCAGAUUGUCUUCGGCAUUGCAAGGUGGGUUCCCUCCUUCCGAAUUCCGGAAUAGUCUUCGGAUGCAGUAGAUAUAUUUGGACCUGUGUAUAUAAUUGCAAAAAAUACAAUAUUCCACGAGUCUAAUUUGUUGAUAACUGUUUACAACAUCGCAUCACGCCUGCCCGGUUACUAUUUCCAACCGUUGGCUGGCACGUCGCCCCACGUCUCGGGACGCGGUUUUACUGGCACGUCUUGCCAAGGCAGAGAUCGUGUUCCCUUAUUCACGGGACUUUCAUUAAUGCAAGCGUGGGUAACCCAACCGUCCCCUGGGUACAACUCUCUGGGGAUAGGUAAGUUUCGAGACCCAGGUGGAUACCCUUAGUAUUUGGGGUCUUUAUAUAGGGCCCCAGACUCGUCUUCUUCCUUUGCGCUUGCUUCUUCCUCAACCCUAGCCACCCCAAGUUCCAACCCUCGGGUUCCCAUCGCCACCAGCCCUAAUCAUGUCCGAAUCCAGCCGUCAAGGCCGGUGGGUGGCUUCUUCUAUCACAGAGGAGGAUAUUGCAAAGCUCUGCGCAGUGAGGUAUCUGACCCCGGAAAUCCUUCAUCAGCUUCCUGCACAGGGGCAGGUCGUUCCUACCCCCAAAUCCGGCGAGAGGGUAGUGUUUGUGUCCCACUUCCUCCAUGGGUUAGGUUUCGCGCUUAACCCCUUCGUCCGGGGGCUCAUGUUCUACUAUGGGCUAGACUUUCACGAUCUAGCCCCGGACUCUAUUCUUCUCAUCUCGACAUUUAUCGUCACGUGUGAGGCCUUCCUUCGGACUCCUCCGCACUUUGGUUUGUGGCUCAAGACCUUUGAUGUGAGGCCGCAGGUGACAGAGGAGGAGCAGGCAGAGUGUGGCAGCGUCACAAUAGGCAAGCUUGCCAGCGCGGUUUGGUUUGAAGGAUCUUUCACCAAGUCUUCCGACCUAUGGCAGCACGGGUGGUUUUAUAUCAACGAGCCGCGGGGCUCCAAGUGGGAGGCUACGCCUGCGUUCCGACCCGGCCCUCCAAUUCAGCUCGCUUCAUGGAUCAAUAAGGGACUGGACUGGGGAUCCGUCAAUGAAAUGCAGACUCUGCAAGGUCGCAUCCGAAGCCUUACCAAGAAGGGCAUCGGUCUUGUGAACGUCGUUCAAGUAAUGCUAGUCCGCCGGACCCUGCCAUGUCAGCGGCGGCCUCUCCGUAUGUGGGAGUUUAAUUCAGAAGGGCAGCGGCCUCUUCAGCACUUCUUCGGCACCACGCACGAAGGAAUGUGGAAAUUAUAUUUCGGGGAACGAGAGCAAUGGCCGGACACCACCGAAGAUGUCGGCCUUGACUGCAAUCAUCCAGACACCGCGGUAAGUACUCAAACGCUGAACACAUUCAAGCAUCUCUUGACAACAUACUGAACAAUCCGUCCCUAUACAGGACUGGAUAAAGAAAGCAGUGUUAAUCUGGUGUCCGGCGCCCCUUCCCGAAGACUCUGCGACCGCCCUGCUGACGAGAAUGCUGAUUCCCACACCGUACCAGGUUUCUGCGGAGGAGGGCGAGAGCGGGGAACCCGAAGGUGAUACCCGCCCUGAGGACGAAUUAGACAUUGUGUUCGGGGAAACCGAAACUCUUUUGCCCAAGGGCAAAGGUGCGGAGGAAGCUCUCCAUGGCAAAAAGAGGGCUGCUUCCGAAGAUCAGGAGGGGAAGCCUUCCAAGAGAGGAAAAAUGCCAUCGUCGGGCAGUUUGGGCCGGCCAAGCGAUGCUGCCGUAAGGCUUUCUGGCGAGGACGAACCUCUGGCCAAACCGUAAGUGAGGCUGGGGCACUUUAAACAUACCUCAUUCUUUUCCUAUUAGUGAAGUAAUCAUCCGACAUAUGCACAUCCACGUAGGUUAACGCCUGGUGUUUCUCAAUCAUCCUCCUCCUCGGGAGACCUUCUUCCGGAGAUGAUGGAGAGUGACACGCCAUCUCCGGCUUCUUCGCGCAACAGGGGGGAUGAUACCGAGGUAUCGUCCCGAAGGGCUCCUCCCCAUCGUCAAGCGGUGCAGGAAACGGAGAAGGCGUUACCCGAAGGUGGUGCCUCUGUCACCCAGGGUUCGGGAAUCAAGAAUGACGGCCCCGAACCAUCCGGUUUACAGCCGGAGAUGAUUCUGGGGGAGAAUAAGCAGAUUAAUUCAAAGGAAUGCCGUACUCCGGCGGCGGUUUCCGAAGACCCCGGAGCGCCGGAAAUGUUGACGGACAUGCUGCGGCGAGCGUCCAUUUCAGAGAAGCACCAUGCCUUGAUGGUUACGGUGGUCGAAAAGGUUCUAUCCGCGAAAAGCGGAUUGAACGAGGCCUUCUGGAGCCUUCUAAGAGGUUUUGAGGUUUGUGAUGUAGUUUUGCCAAUUGAAUGAUUUUGACAGAAUGCACUUGUUGUAUAUGCAGUAGCCCCUGAGACUCGGAUUGCCUUCCGAAGGAAGCGAUCGGAGGAUAAAAAAGAUAUGCUCAGUUACUAACCUUGAAUCAACUUGGAAUACAGGCUGCCUCGCCUCCUGCGGCUACCCGAAAUACGGAAGUGGCCGAACUGCAGCGAAAGCUGAAUAUUGCAGAAGAUGACAUUGCAUUGAUCAACAAGCGUCUUGACGACUCGCAAGGUAUAUAGUUCGAGCAUUCCUUACACGAAUGUUCUUGUAAUGUAGGCCUGACGCCGAAAAGGGUUUAAUGUGCAUGAUUGCAGAUGGUGUUCCCUCCGUUGAAGCUCCUUGUGAGGAGCUAGCCCGGCCCAAGGAGCAGGCCCGGUGUAGUGAUGCGGCUGCCGAGAAGGCAUCGGCUGAUCUAAGAGCCGAAUAAGCAGCUCGGCGCCGAAGUGAGGAGAAAAUAUCCGCACUGGCGCUUGAAUUGAAGAAUACUGCCAGCCACUGUGAAUUCCUUGAGAAGGAGAAUAAAGCCAAAAUGGCUGAACUUGAUAAGGCCGUUCGAGAGGCGAGUGAAGCUCGGUCUGAAUCUAGGGCAGCUUGGGAAGAGAUUCGGCAGGCUAAGGAGAUAGCGGCCGGUAAGCCCUUUUUGCUUCAGACUAAGUUUGGCGAUCCGGACUAUGCUCAGCUAAACCAGGUCUGGAGUUCUCCGACUGAAUUUUUGGACUUGCCGAAGAGUUCUUCCAAUGCAGCGCAAUUUUACCAAGCGCAAGAGGGGUAUGCGAUGGAGAAGCUUUUCUGGUCACAAUUUGGCGCCUCAAAGCGCCCUCUGUUGCUAAAUGAACAGAUGUCCCAGUGGGCCGAGCUUCAUAGGAUAUCCGGCGACGCCAUGAAGAACGUCAUAAUCCGGUUGUGGCCGAGUGAGCCUGUUCCCAAGAGCUAUUUUGGCCUGGUGCGGCGUCUUGUUGAUGCUGUGCCGCGUAUCGAUGCUGCGAAGCGGUCGGCAUGCACUGAGGGUGCACGGAUGGCCUUUGCCCGAGUCAAGACGUUCUGGGGGAAGAUGAAGGCCAUCGAUGUUGCGGCGAAGGGUCCGCCCAAGGGCAAGGACCGUAAUGAGCCGGAGCAUUAUUUUGAAGACGUCCUAGAAGCCGCCCGCCUGAUAGAGGGUCAAUGCUCGAAGAACAUAAUGUUCGAGUGAGGUGUAUUAGAAUUGUAAAAGACAAUUUUAUGAUUGAUCUAUUUUAUAUUUUUGCUCCAAAGCUUGAAUUCCUCCUCUGCGGCCGUUUUAAUAUAAUAUGAAAGUUUUCCAGUCGUCGGCUUCAGCCCCCUCGUAGGAAGUACGGGGGUGUUCGAAAAAACAUUUAAUCACUCUUUGUCCAAUGUCUUGGUCCGUAAAGGAGGUGAUAAUGCAGCGAACCAGGCAAUCGGACUAUAAGGCGUUAACACUUUCACUUAGCCAUAGGAGUUUUAUGGUGGGGCUACGACAUUGCCCCUGGUGUGUAUGCGGCGUAUAAUGCCUUGCAUAUUUGAUCUGAAAAAGAUCCCUCGUAUGACACGGAGAAUCGCUAAGGAUUCCAAGAAGUCGUCAAGUGGUUAAUCAGCUCUCGCCGCAUCAUGACAGUCAGUUUUCGGCUUUCUCUACUGAGGUGCUCGUCCGGUUUAGAACAGGGCACAAUCGCAGUAGUUCUCCCUUUACUACCCUAGCCGAUAGAGCGGAACGUAGGGUAGCAAGCACAGGAGCCGGGCAACCCAACUAUUGACCCAAGACAAUGAUUCGGAGCUGAUGCAUAUAAGGCCAAACUUGCGACGCCCAAGUACGCUAUAGAGUUGUUGGGACUUUUGCUGGCAACUCUUUCGUUCCCAUACCGAGCCCCUGGCAGGGUAUGCCGAGGUGUAUCUGUAACGCAGCCAUUGAGGCCGUACUCAUUGUUGCAAGAGUAUGAAAGAUUAGUUCGGACGAGGUUUACUGGGAACGGAGCAAUAUGCCAAUGACGAAUUUAAAAAUAAUAAAAAAGAAACCACAAGCCCGGCUAUUUGACAUGCUCGGGGUCGGGUACAGAGGAAAAAAAGGCUUAAUACAGGCUCGGAAUAAAGAGUGUGGUCUACAAAAAGUUAUUUUGGACCUCCUGUCGCACGUCUGCGCCGCCCGUCCUCGGGGAGGGGAAUCCUUAAGGGAAGUAGCCCCUUAGGUGAGUGUACGGAUCCGAACUCCGAUAGAGUCCGUUGUAGAUGCUGUCAUGUUGGUCACCUGUUCUUAAGAAAUGAUACAGAAAAAUAAGAAAAACGGAUAAGAACGUUACAGGGAUUCUUGCAGGCUUGUCCAUAUUGUGCUUCCGCCGAUGCCCAUGGUAUCUUGAGUGCGUAGUGAUGUAUGCGUGGUGUGAAUCUCGCCGGUAUGGUAGGUGGGUGGCGGAUGCCGAACUGCUAUUUCUGUUCCGAGAGUGGUCGAACUUCGGAGGGAAACUGCUUCUGGCCCCUGAUAUUCGGCUGGCGAAACGCUCCGUUGUCUUUAUCGCCUGGUGGCCUCCUCCCCUUGCUAUCGGCGUUGAGCUUGCCUGCCUGCUUGAGGACCCAACAAUUUCUGUUAGUAUGGUUAGCUGGCUUAUCAGGAUGACCAUGAAUCUGACAAGGUCGGUCCAAUAUUCUGUCAAGGGUGGAUGAUCCAUCCUGGUUUGCCUUUAGUGGCUUCUUCCAUUGACCGGGUUUCGAAUUGUGAAAUUCGGCGUUGACCGCUGUGUCGCGUAAUCCUUCAGUAUUAUUGCGACUGUUGUGUUCGGUUCGUCGAGGCUUACCGUUGCCGUCUUGAAUUUCGGAAGUGCCCGGGUCACUGGCGUUGUUGCUCUUACGAGCGAGCCAGGUGUCUUCUCCCGCACAAAAGCGAGUCAUCAGAGCGGUAAGGGCUAUCAUGGAUUUGGGUCCUUCCUGGCCGAGGUGACGCGCUAGCCAUUCAUCCCGGAUGCCAUGUUUGAAGGCUGCGAGGGCUUCUGCGUCCGGACAGUCGACAAUAUGUUUUUUUUUUUGACUAAGAACCUAGUCCAGAGCUCCCUGGCGGACUCGCCGGGCUUCUGGACAAUAUGACCAAAGUCAUCAGCAUCUAGUGGCCGGACAUAUGUUCCCUGGAAGUUGUCUCGAAAGGCGUCUUCCAAGUCUUCCCAGCUACCAAUAGAAUUUUCUGGUAAACUGUUUAGCCAGUACCGGGCUAGCCCUUUAAGCUUGAGAGGUAUGUAUUUAAUGGCAUGAAGGUCGUCUCCGCGAGCCAUGUGGAUAUAUAUGGAGGAGGUAAUCCUCAAUCCAUACCGCGGGAUCUGUUGUUCCAUCGUAUGAUUCGAUAUUAAUGGGUUUAAACCCGUCUGGAAAUUCAUGCUCCAUUACCUCGUCGGUGAAGCAAAGAGGGUGUGCGGCUCCUCUAUGUUGAGCCACACUAUGAAGCACCUCCGGCGGACUCUGUUUACGGAGUUCGGAUCGAGCGUGGUCGGCUCUGUUGUGUCCGAAUAGGUGACCAUCAUUACGGUCGGGGCAUGUCCCCGCGAUCUGUGUAUUGACUUCGUGUGUCAUGUUCUACCCUCCAGGUCCUUGGAUGUCGCGAGUGUUCCCCCGAGCUGUGUUGUUCUUGUUUUGAUGGCCGGAUGGGUUGGUAUGAUGCUCUGCUUGGGCUACUGCUUUGUCCGGACCGAACUGUGGUCGGCCUACAUCCUUAUUCGAUGGUGGUGUGGGCUUCAACGCCCUGCCAUCGUAUUGAGGGGGCCACCUGCUGUUGGGGUGGCUCUUGUCUGGGCCAAUAAGGCCGUAUUGUUCGGCGGCCAAGACCUCGGUCCAUCUAUCAUUGAGCAAAUCUUGGCUCGCUUUAAGCUGCAGCUGCUUCUUUCUUAGGCUCCUUGCAGUGGCUAUGAGCUGGCGUUUAAAGUGCUCCUGCUCGAGAGGUUCCUUAGGCACGAUAAAAUCCUUGUUGUCGAGGAUCUCCUCUUCCUCGGAGAGUGGGAGAUAAUUGCUAUCCUCUGAGUCUCCAUAUGUUACCUGUUCAUCAGGGUUGUCUUGCCCGCCUUCCUGUUCCUCCUGUUCGGAUCCUACCUCAACAGGGUCUUCAUCGUCCGGAGUGUUGUCUUCUCCGGUGCAAGUGUUAUUUUCUCUUGAGCGUCGUGACUUGGAGCGGCGCAAGGCGCGCCGGUGUUCGGACUAUGCACCAGGAGGCUUAUCCUCAAUUGGAUCCUCCUUGUCAUCGUCGAAAGCAUCGUUGGGUGUGUCUAUCAUACACACGUCAUACCAUGAAGUGGUCAUCCCGCGUCUAGCGGGUAGUGAGUUCUGGCCUUGCCCCUCAUCGUCGUCCGUACCGUCGAUGUCUUCAGGGCCGAGGUCAAGCGUGUUGGUUGGGUCUUCGACAGUGGCUAUGAAGUGGGUGGUGGGUGGGAAGCAAAAUUCUCCAUCAUCAGCCGUAAGUUCGAGCCGAACAUAGUUCAGUGGCGAGUCGCCUACCAGAGAUAGGUUUUUUAGUGAGUUUAGUACAUCGCCCAUGGGCGAGUGUUGGAAGACGUCUGCGGCGCUGAACUUGAAGAUCGAUAACCGAUCGAGUUCGGCAUCUGCAGACUCGCAAGGUUCGGAACCUGUCGCCGGGGACGAAUCCGGGGUUCCGCUGAUGCGGAUAUCAUACGCAGUAGAAUCUGUGUGCGGCUCGAACGCCGCCGAAUCGGUAGCCCUCGUGAUGGGGUUGAGCUUCCCAUCCCGGGACGACUUGAUCUGCUCCGGAUCUAAGGCCAGAGUUGCUGUAGGAGCUAUCUCCUCGAUGCGGCCCAAUGACAGGUUUAAGCCAUGUCCAUCGAGGCGGCGGGAGCGAUUGCCGCGGUCUUGAAUCCGUCGAAGAUCAAGUCUCCACGGACGUCCCCAACGUAGUUCAAGCUUCCGAAUCUGACCUGAUGGCCAGGGGCGUAGCUGUCGAUCUGCUCCAGAUGGCCAAGCGAGUUGGCCCGCAGUACGAUGCCACCGAACACGAAGAUCUGUCCGGGGAAAAAGGUUUCUCCCUGGACAACGUCACCAUCGACGAUUGAAGGGGCCAUCGAACCUUUUGUCGACGGCACAGUGGAACUCUCAAUGAAAGCACCAAUGUCGGUGUCAAAACCGGCGGAUCUCGGGUAGGGGGUCCCGAACUGUGCUUCUAGGAUCGAUGGUAACAGGAGACGGGGGACACGAUGUUUACCCAGGUUCCGGCCCUCUCUAUGGAGGUAAUACCCUACUUCCUGCUCUAUUGAUCUUGAUGAAUAUGAGUGUUACAAGAGUUGAUCUACCACGAGAUCGUAAUGGCUAAACCCUAGAAGUCUAGCCUAUGUGUAUAUGGUAAUGAAUGUCCCCUAUCCGGACUAUGCUCUCCGGUUUAUAUAGACACCGGAGAGAUCUAGAGUUACAUGGAGUCGGUUACAUAAGAAGGAAUCUUCACAGCUGGUCGCCUAGCUUGCCUUCCACGCCAAGGAAAGUCCAAUCCGGACACGGGUGUAGUCUUCGGCCUUCGUAUCUUCACAGCCCAUCAGUCCGGCCCAAUGAAUAACAGGCCGGACGCCCGAGGACCCCUUAGUCCAGGACUCCCUCACUCGGAGACCUUCUUGUGGGGACCAUCUACGAGAGGAAGUAAAGAGGGAGAUCAGAAGAGGAUACAUGAGAGGUUAGGGUGGGGAGGAGGCUGCGCCGGCGAGCGGCCACGGCUCAAGGCGGUCCGGCCGACGAGGAGGACGAACAAGGGAGAGGAAGAUGCAGAUCGGCAAACUGUGGGUUGGGCUUAUGACGUUGGGUUCUCACAAAACUAUAGCCCAUUUCGAAUUUGGUGCCCGUGACGACACACACACAACGCUUAUGUUGGGCCUAAUCACUCACUUCCAGCCCCCAACUCUGAUUUCCCCCUCAAAGAAAAACAAAACUUCAACCCUUCUCACUCCCCAUGAUCACAACAACAACAACAGAAAUAUCUAUAUGCAAGAUCAGGAAAUAUCUAUAAGGGGCAUUCAGAACACAUGUGACCUAAUCGCUAUAACAGCUUGAUAUUAUGGUGGGAUAGACAUAAACUGGUUCACGAAGGAAAGUUUCAUGAUGCAAACCAAAAUUCAAGGGGAGCACGUGCUAUAAUGGCAAACUAUGUUAAUGCCUACUCCCCUAAAGCAACUAGUAAAACAGGGGGAUGGAGUAUCCCUUCUAGGGUUUUUGUGAAGCUGAAUAUUGAUGUAUCUUUUCAUCAUGGUCUGCUUCAGGGUACAUCGGGGGUUAUUCUUAGACAUUACAAAGGCAGGCUCAUUGUCGGUGGAAACUGGAGGAUAGAUUGUCGUGCGGAUGUAUUAGCAGCAGAAGUUGUGGUGCUAAAGUUUGGGUUAUUCCUUGCACAGAAGGCGGAUUGCAAUCGUCUUGUUGUUAACUCGUACAGUACAUAAGUGAUUGACACAAUAAAGAAUGGAUGACACUCGACCGGAGCGGCGGUUGUAGUUUUCUAUGAUUGUUAAUUUUUGGGCUUGUGAUUUUUCUUUUAUUAGAUUUGAACUUUGUAAUAGGGAAGUAAAUAAGAUGGCAAAUGAAAUUGCUAGGCCAGCGAAAUUUUUUGUCACUAGUGAUUGGUUUGAGGAGUGAAUGAGAUUGUGCCUUUUUUAUUGACAAUGUAACAGUUGUUUCUAAUAAAUAAAGUUGAAGUUUUAUUGAAAAGGACAACAACAAGAAAAAAUAUCCUCAUCUUGUCCCAAGGGAUCUGAAACCCCAGUAUCCUUGCAUCUUUCUUUUGCAUGGCAUGUACAUAAGAUUUUCUUUGUUAGUAGCAUGUGUUGUUGGCGGUGGCGGCAUGAUGUUAGAGGUGACAUGUGUGGACGGAUGAUUGUUUCGACUCCAUUUAUUCUUAGGGCCUGUACAAUGCUAGGUGUUCAGCGAAGUGCUUAGAAAAAUAAACUGAGUUUUUAAAGCAUUUUUUAAGCACCGAUGUCUAUUUCUAAUGAUGAGAGACACCUAAUUAGACGUUUACCCUAUACAAAUAAACGUCGAUGCUUUAAGAAAUACUGAUUUAUUUAUCUAACAACCUUUCUUACGCACCUUACAUGGUAAGGUUCGAGAGCUAGUGGCGUCUUGGUUUCUCUUGUUUCUGUCACAUCAAUAUCAUGCUUUGGAUAUAUUCCAGUGCCCUUUUAUUGAUCACUGCCUAUGGCCAUUGAAAUGAGAUCUGGGACUCGGCCAGCUGCAAGAUACCUCUAGAAAGCGAAUUUCCUCUGACGCACAUAUGAAAUAUGACAGUACAAAAUAGAACAAACACUAAGAUUAGACAGAUGAUUGGAUGAUGUAACUAACUUAGACAUCGCUGCACCCAGGACGGACUUUCUUCUCAGACAUCAGAGAGAAACUGAGUGUCCAUGCUGUCAGAGACGCUGGCCAUUGGGCGUUGUCAGUGACUUUAGUCUCGCCUCGGAUAUGGGAGGGGCUAGAACCACCUUAUAAGGAGGAGUGCCACACUCCCUUCAGGCUAGUCUUUUGCGAUGUGGUGGACUCUUUGCUUAUAGUGGUGUGUCUGAUGCACACCGGAAACGUCCGAACAUAUGCCGAAGGUUGGGAGCCGGGCCUGGGACGCUAACAAUUGGUAUCAUAGCUGGGCCCCAGUCUGCCCUGUUUUAGGGGGAUGAGGUGUCAGAGACGCUGGCCAUUGGGCGUUGCCAGUGACUUUAGUCCCACCUCGAAUAUGGGAGGGGGCUAGGACCACCUUAUAAGGAGGAGUGCCACACUUCCUUCAGGCUAGUCUUUUGGGAUGUGAUGGACUCUUUGCUUAUAGUGGUGUGUCCGAUGCGCACCGAAAAUGUUCGAACAUAUGCCAGAGGUUGGGAGCUGGGCCUGGAACGCUAACACAUGCCAACUGCUUCUCCUCCACUCCACCUGCAUAGCACGCAUAGGAGGAAAUUUGAUGAUUAUUUGAAGUGAUAUCCACAUAAAGCACAGAGUUACUCAGCUAGCAAAGCACCUAUGUACAUCACUGUAUGGCUACCCAACUGAAAAUUCUGCUUCCUGACCCUCCUGAUUCAUGCGGGUGGCAUGGAGAUGGGUACGCCUCUCGAAUCCAUGUGAAUCGAAUCGUUGGAACAGAUGGACGGACAGGGUCGAUACCUUGUGUAGAUGGGGAGGGGAGGCCGGAGUGGCUGCCGUCGACCGACGUACGGCCCGCAGCCGACGGAGGAGCUUCAAAAGUGACCUUUUUGUCGAGCGAUGGCGGUGGUGGUGGGGUGCCGGAUGCGGAGGGUGGUGGGAAGCCGGAUGCGGAGGGUGGAAGGAAGGCUGACGCCUCCGUCGCCGCGGACGUACGAGGAGCGGCCGCGAGCGGUGGGGUCCGGGAGAGGCUGCGCCGGCGAGCGGUCCGGCCGGCGAGGAGGACGGGGAAGGGGAGACGAAGACGACGCAGAUCGGCGGAGUGUGGGCUGGGCUUGUGACGUUGGGGCCUCCGAAAACUAUAUCCCAGUUCGAAUUUGGUGCCCUAACACACAACUCUUACGUUGGGCCUAAUCACUCCCUCCUGGCUCCAUCUAUCAUUCCCCAAAAAAAAUCCUUCACACAUAGAUGGAACUGAUGAUUCUCAAAAGAAAAAGAGAUGGAACUGAUUGUGUCAUGUCUUAAAAAAAAGAUCGAACUGAUUGUCUAAAAAAAACAUAGAUGGAACUGAUGAUUUAUCUCCGAAAAAAAGAUGGAACUGAUGAUGACGUGUCUAGAGUUAGGACCGGAUAUAUGUUAGUAGGAGUAGCUUGUAAGAAAUUACCAUCCUUUACAUAUAACGGGAAUUCGAUGAGUCAUGUCAUGCUCUAGAGGCGUCAGUUCAUCUUAUCAUCUUAGAGGAAACUACAAAGUUAUUUUUAUGAAAAGCAACCAACUCUAGAAGAACCCUCCACACGCAAGGCUUUAAUAAUCGAGCAUAUCUUAACAGCCCACACACGAUUGCAAACUUAGUCCUACACAAGCUUUGCCUUUCUUCUUUACGGCUGACAGCCUAUACAAGGUUUCAAACUCGGUUGCAAAAGUGAUACUAUCCUGAUAAGUGUGUGACAUGUAAAGUGAAUAAGGUGAGUCAUAUAUAGCAAACAUCGGGGUUUCUGUACUUUGUGUGUGAUCAUAUGCACAAUUAAAAAGCAACUUUGAUGAUCAAUCCAAAAGUACGCGUGUAGCUAGUGCAACCUAACGCAUUGUACCAAAAAUCAUUUCAGAUGCAUCCAAACGGAAUAAUUAAAGCUAAUGCAAAGAAGAAAAGAGGUGGUGCCCAGGCUACUAUAAAUAGGCAUGAAGUAUAAAGAUCAUCACAAGCACAAGCAUCAAAACCAAGCAACACUAGUUAACACUAAUCCACCAUGAAGACCUUCCUCAUCUUUGCCCUCCUCGCCGUUGCGGCAACAAGUGCCAUUGCACAAAUGGAGAAUAGCCACAUCCCUGGUUUGGAGAAACCAUCGCAGCAACAACCAUUACCACUGCAACAAACAUUAUCGCACCAACAACAACAACAACCUGUCCAACAACAACCACAACCAUUUCCACAACAGCAACCAUGUUCACAGCAACAACAACCACCAUUAUCGCAGCAACAACAACCACCAUUUUCACAACAACAACCACCAUUUUCGCAGCAACAACAACCAUCAUUUUCGCAGCAACAACAACCACCAUUUUCACAGCAACAACCACCAUUUUCGCAGCAACAACAACCAGUUCUACCGCAACAACCAUCAUUUUCGCAGCAACAACUACCACCAUUUUCACAGCAACAACCACCGUUUUCGCAACAACAACAACCAGUACUACCGCAACAACCACCAUUUUCGCAACAACAACAACCAAUUCUACCGCAACAACCACCAUUUUCGCAACAACAACAACAACCAGUUCUACCGCAACAACAAAUACUAUUUGUUCAUCCAUCUAUCUUGCAGCAGCUAAACCCAUGCAAGGUAUUCCUCCAGCAGCAAUGCAGCCCUGUGGCAAUGCCACAAAGUCUUGCUAGGUCGCAAAUGUUGCAGCAGAGCAGUUGCCAUGUGAUGCAACAACAAUGUUGCCAGCAGUUGCUGCAAAUCCCCCAGCAAUCCCGCUAUGAGGCAAUCCGUGCUAUCAUCUACUCCAUCAUCCUGCAAGAACAACAACAGGUUCAGGGUUCCAUCCAAACUCAGCAGCAGCAACCCCAAGAGUUGGGCCAAUGUGUUUCCCAACCCCAACAGCAGUCGCAGCAGCAACUCGGGCAACAACCUCAACAACAACAAUUGGCACAGGGUACCUUUUUGCAGCCACACCAGAUAGCUCAGCUUGAGGUGAUGACUUCCAUUGCGCUCCGUACCCUACCAACGAUGUGCCGUGUCAAUGUGCCGUUGUAUAGAACCACCACUAGUGUGCCAUUCGGCGUUGGCGCCGGAGUUGGUGCCUACUGAUAAGGAAAGGUCUCUAGUAAUAUAUAGUUGGAUCACCGUUGUUUAGUCGAUGGAUAUGUCGAUGCAGCGGUGACAAAUAAAGUGUCACACAACGUCGUGUGUGACCCGCCCAAACUAGUUGUUUAAAUUCUGAAAUAAAAUACAAAUAAAGUUGUAUCAAGACAAUGUUCAUAUUGGCAUUGUGUGGAUGUCCAUAUGAUUGCCAUGCUUGCAAGUUCAUAAGUUUGUCUUUCCUGGUCACAAGCGCAACCUGGUGCCUUAAUUAAUUAUGCAUGUAUUGGAAUAAUUACUAUUUAAAUAUAAUAGUGUUACUGUAAAAUUUGGGUUGAACUCUUUAUCGGUUGGAGAUUUGAGAUCUUGUUUUUUAUUGGUUUGUAUCUAGUUCCAACUACUACCAUUGUCUAUAGUGACAAUCACAACCAGUUUUAUCGUUAAUCAUGUUUGCUUUCUUGCAAAUACAUUCAUUCAUUCUUUGCAUCUUAACUUAUUUGUCGAGAAAAGACCAGCUUUUUCUUGAACUUCACAAACACCACUAGCUAGUUAAUUUGAAAUAAGCUUCCAAUUUAUUUCCUUGUAUUUAUGUCCUUUACAUCAAACCAGUACAAUUAUUGUGCUACCUAGAGAAAAGGAGUUGCUGGCAGCACGGUCAUGUCAAGAACUAAAUCAGAUUGAAUUGAACUUGUUCUUUACAACUAGCUAGGAGCAGAAAACUUACUGUGAAUUGCACUUGAUUAUAUUUAAUUUUAUUUAGGGCUACAGGAAAAAAAUCAUCAAAGAAUGCCCUAAAAAAAUCUUAUCGUAAAAUAGGUUCAUCAGGAGAUACAGUCGCAAGAAAAAAAGGUUCACCAGGAGAUAGAUGCUGCACAUUAUCAUUUACUCCCUCCAUUCCAAAAUAGAUGACUCAAUUUUAUACUAACUUUAGUCAACUUUGUACUAACUUUAUACUAAAGUUAGUACAAAGUUGAGUCAUCUAUUUUGGAACGGAGGGAGUAGAAAUUAGACCAAGAGAAAUGUGGAUUUGGCGGCUCAUAAUUCUAUAAGACUAUAGCAGGCUGUCCAAUCAUUUACAAAUUAGAUCAAGAAAAUGUGGAAUUAAACAUAUUAAUGGCUAGGAUCAUAUUUGCAAUGUGCGAUUGGUAUGCACGCUCCAACAUGACCGCUGAAAGCAUUUUUCCUCUGAUGCACAUAUGAAAUAUGACUGGUAGAAAACAGAAGAAACACAGAGAUUAUAUGGAUGAUUGGAUGUUUUAACAAACUUAAACUUAUAAUCCACCGAGCGGACGAACUUCCUAGGAGCCUUUCUCUCGGACAUCGAUAAGAAACGAAAUGUUCCACGCGAACUUCUUCUUCUCCAUCUGUAUAACGCAUGCAGAAGAAUUAUUUUGAUGAUUAUUUCAAGUGGCAUCCAUAUAGUGUACAAAGCUAUUUAGCUAGAAAAGCCACAAAUGUACAUCACUGUCAGGCUACACGACUGAAUUCUGCUCCAUGACCUUCCUGAUUCAUGCGGCUCCUGAAUUUAUCUGAAUCGAAUCAUGGAAGAGACAGGCUUUCAGGGUCGAUAGCUCAUGUUCAUGGGGAGGCCAAAGAGGCUGCGUCGACGUACGGCCUGAAACCGACGAGGAGCUCGAAGACCUUCUUGUAGAGACCAUCUGGUAGAGAAGUAAGGAGGGAGAUCGGAAGAGGAUACAGGAGAGGUUGGGGGUGGGGUGGAAGGGGAGGAGGCUGUGCCAGCGAGCGGCCGCGGCUCGAGGCGGUCUGGCCGAUGAGGAGGGUGAACAAGGGAGAGGAAGAUGCAGAUUGGCAUACUGUGGGUUGGGUUUGUGACGUUGGGUUCUCAGAAAACUAUAGCCCAGUUCGAAUUUGGUGCCCGUGACGACACACACUGAGCGUUUAUGUUGGGCCUAAUCACUCACUUCCAGCCCCCCACUCUGAUUUCCCCCUCAAAGAAAACAAAAGCUUCAACCCUUCUCACCCCCCCCCUUGAUGACAACAACAACAACAAAAAUAUCUAUAUGCAAGAUCAAGAAAUAUCUAUAAGGAGCAUUCAGAAUGCACGUGAAUUAAUCGCUAUAACAGCUUGGUAUUUAUGGUGGGAUAGACAUAAACUGGUACACGAAGGAAAGUUUCAAGAUACAAAUCAAACUUCGAUAGGAGCUCGUGCCAUAAUGGCAAACUAUUUUAAUGCCUACUCCCCUAAGGCAACUAAUAAAAGAGGGGAUGAUGGAGCAUCCCUCCUAGGGUUUUUGGGAAGCUGAAUGUUGAUGCCUUUUUUGAUCAUGAUCUGCUUCAGGGUACAGUGGGGGUGACUCUUAGACAUGACAAAGGCAGGUUCAUUGUCAGUGGAAAUUGGAGGAUUGAUUGUCGUGCUGAUGUAUUAGUAGCAGAAGUUGUGGCGCUAAAGUUUGGGUUAUUCCUUGCACAGAAGGCGGGUUGCAAUCGUCUUGUUGUUAACUCGUACAAUAUAGAAGUGAUUGACACAAUGAAGAAUGCAGGACACUCGGCCGGUGUGGCGGCUAUAGUUUUCUAUGAUUGCUAUUUUUUGGCUUGUGGUUUUUCUUUUAUUAGAUUUGAACAUUGUAACAGGGAAGUAAAUAAGGUGGCUCAUGAAAUUGCUAAGCUAGCGAAUUUUUUUGUUAUUAGUGAUUGGUUUGAGGAGCCUAUGAAUGAGAUUGUACUUUUUUUUAUUGACGAUGUAACAGUUGUUUCUAAUUAAUAAAGAUGAAGUUUUAUUAAAAACAACAACAAGAAAAAAAAUCUACUCAUCUUGUCCCGAGGGAUCCGAAACCCCAGUAUCCUUGCAUCUUUCUUUUGCAUGGCAUGUACAUAAGAUUUUCUUUGUUAGUAGCAUGUGUUGUUGGCGGCGGCUGCUCGAUGUUAGAGGCGACAUGUGUGGACGGAUAAUUGUUUCGAUCCAUAUAUGUUCUGAUAGCCUUCUUAGGCCCUGUAUAAUGCUACGUGUUUAGGGAGGUGCUUAGGAAAAUAAACCAAGUUUUUAAAGCGUUUUCUAAGCACCAGUGUCUAUUUCUAAUGAGAGACACCUAAUUAAGCGUUUAGCCUAUACAAAUAAACACCGAUGCUUUAAGAAAUACUAGUUUAUUUAUCUAAGCACCUUCCCCACGCGCCUUACAUGGUAAGGUUCUAGAGCUAGUGGUGUUUUGGUUUCUCUUUUUUCUGUCACAUCAAUAUCAUUCUUUCGAAUGGGUCAUGGGUCAACCAAAAUGGGUUUGUCUCGCGACACGAAGGCCGUAAGAGCCGAGCAUCACUAGUCUAAGAAGACCAUCGAACAUGACAUCAUGGAGCGUUUUCUUUUCUUCUUGCCGUCUUCUCCUCCUAGUCCACUAUGUCUCCUUCAACACCAAGGAGUAUUCUUUUUCUCUACAAACACCUCGUAUCGACCUUACGUCCUGCAAAUCACUGAUGGUAACUUCCAUCCUAUCACGAUAACAAUAUUCUCUUUCAAGAAUCAGCCUUCCUCGAGUUACUUAUACCACGUUAAUUGUUGAUGCUGAAAUUAAUAACCUCAACCGUCAACUGCACCCUUGCAAACAUUAAAACACGCGGGUCCAACUUGGUUCAAAACCCAUCGAUCGAUGAUAGUCGGUCAUGUGGGAUUCCGAUCGACUUAGACAUUGAGGCGUUAAAGUCACGUAGAAUAUUUUCUACAAGAAAACAUAUAAUAUAUUCAUCUUCAAUCACGACAGUAUAACAAACACGAGAAAUAAUAAAAAUUACAACCAGAUCCGUAGACCACCUAGCAACGUCUACACCAUAGAUCGAGACAAAGAAGACGAGGACUGAUCCAAAUACUUAAUCACAUGGUGCAUUCGUCGUUCGUUUCAUCAUCACCUCCCGACUGGUAUAGGCACGUCUGGUUCACGUAAUACCCCACAUAACAAUACAGUGGUUGCAUGGCCGGGCAAUAAGAAUAGACGGAGGGCGUGUAGCAUUUUGCUGAGCUCAAUCGCCGUGCAGCCGAUCAAGUUUAGGCAGAUCAAUGUUCCACAAAAUUACAUAGGCGACAAGACAGCCAUAGGCGACAAGACAGUAAAUAAACUACCACAAGCGAUAAUGGCGUACCACACAAAGGAGGCGUCGUCGACCGUCCUCGAAUUACUUAUACCACAUUAAUUGUCGAUGCUGAAAGUAAUAACCUCGACCGUCCACUGCACGCUUGGAAAAAAAAUAGUUCUUGUCAUGGAUAUAAUCAUGACAAUACUAUGGUGAUGUGAAUGUAGAGGCAAUUAUUACCUGAUUGGUACGUAAAGCAGAUGGGAUUAAACACACAGAAUUAUACAGGUUUGGGCUCUCUACGGUGUUGGUAACACCCUACUCCUGUGUGAUCUCGCUCUUGGCGUAGAUUACAAUGUGAGAGAGUUCAACCCUCAGUGUGAUGUCCUACUCUUGUCUUAUAUAUAUGGAGUACGCUAGGAGGGAGUGCCAUAACGGGCUGGUGUAAAUACUAUUGAUGGUCACAUGCAUGAUUGACUAUUCGUGGCUAUUAUUACUGCUAACUGGUGUAACGGCAAUGAUGAAUGCUCAUGGGGGGUCACGGCAUCCUAGGACGUAGCCGACUGUAGAUGGUCCGACUACUCCUGUCUUGCCGAUGUCCGACUGUAGAUGAUCUUACUGCUCCUAUCUUGCUCAUGACCGACUAUCGAGUCUUGUCUGUUAGGGGGCGUGUGAUCCUACUUUAGACACUGGACUCCUUAAUUAGCGAGUAUUCCCCUUGUAUCUGAUGCCCUGGGCUUGUAGCUCCAAUGCCCCAUUUGGGACCGUAUCCUUGAUUAGCCUGGGCUUUUGGCUGGGCCAUAUGUGUACUUAGGCCUAUCCCUUAUAUAUAACCCCAAUACUAUGUUCAUGGAACAAGUAGACGUCAAAAAAUAUAAGUUUAAAAAAGGUAAUCAUGUAUUUGAAAACUGUUGAACCUCUCUAUCAAAAAUAUUUUUGAUAUAUACAAAAAAUAUAUGUCAAAAGGUUGACACUAAAAGAAAGGAAAACAAUGAAAUCCCUAAACCCUAAACAAAGAAAACUGUGAAAGAAACAAAGAAAAAAAAGGAUAGAUAAACGAGUAAAAAAGGAAAACAAGUGUAAAACAUGAAAGAAACAAAGAUAACCAAUGAAGAAACAAAAGAAGAAAGAAAAUAAGAAGAAAAAACUAACCAAACUAGUAUGUGGAACCGAGUGAGCGAAUGACCUGAGCAUGAGCGAACGACCCAAGGUUGUCAGAAACAUGAUUUUGAAUCGGAUAGAAGUUCUGAUGGUAGGAUUGCAAACCUUACAACGACCUGAUGCUAUUCUUGCACCUUCAGGCGUGGCAAAUGCUAAUCUCGCUUUCAGCGAGAUAUAGCAUUCGUGAAGCAAUGAAGGGUGUCAAAUCGUCAUAGCUAUAUCACGCAUAUUCAGGCUCACCUCUGGAGUCCGCAUGUAUGGGCUGGAUCAUUAACGUGUUCUCUCAUAUCUCUGUACGUUCUUUUUCUUUUCGAGUCUUUUUUAAGUCGGGUUUCUUUUCAUCUACAUGAGAAAUAAUUUUAAAUAGAAUCAUUAACAUUAAAAAAAAUACAUGUUUUCAUGUCUAAUUUUUUCAUACACAUUAGAAAUUGUUUUGUAUGCACCAGGAACAUUUUUUCUCUAUACACAUUUAACAUUUUUCAAAUACACGAUUAAUACUUUCAAAAUAUAUCAUUUGAUGUAAAAAAAAUCCAUGUACAUUUUACAUCUGUCUUAUAUAUUAGGAACAUUUUUUUCUAUACACAUUUAACAUUUUUUCAAAUACACAAUUAACACUUUUCAAAUAUAUGUUUUGAUGUAUAAUUUGUUUCAUGUUUUACAUUACAUUAGGAACAUUUUUAAACAAAUUUAACAUUUUUUAUAAUUUCACAUACAAUUUUUUAAGUACGUGAAGAUUAUUUUGUUACCACAAUUUGUUUAAUGCUAUCAAUAUUUUUUUAACAAUGCACAAACAUUUUUUUCAAAAUUUCAGCAUUUGUUUGUGGAAUAUAUUUAUUUAUUUUAAUAUGAAAAAAUAGAAGUAAAAAAUAUAGAGAUAAUCUGAGAGAAAAAACAAAACUGAGGGUAGAACUGAACAAAUCUGUCUCUAGGGCGGCCCACCCGGGCGUUUCUUCAGGAGACGCUGGCUUUCGUGUCGCUAUAAGCUACCCAUAGCCGCGCGCAUAUCGAACCAGACAUGAUUGGGUGUUUGCCAUCUUCUUUCACAAGGUGUGGAUAUUGUAGGCAAGCAGCUUAUAUUCAGUGAUGGCUUUUGUCGUAACACGACAACGGUUUGCUCUUUCAGUUUCUUACCAAAGCAACUGCGGUCAUAACAUGAACCUAUCAAUCACACUUGUAACAUUCCCAUGCAACUCUAGCUAGAUUGGUUCAAACACAUUGGCUCACACAUCGAGGCGAUAUAACCGUAGAGUUCACAACAGGCAACCGAAUAACAAAACAUAUGCAACCCUAAUAUCACAAACUCAAAAAUGAAAGAUGUCAUAGCUUGACAAAAAGAAGGCACCGUAAUGCACCAGAUAAGCGAUCGAGAGACUUAAUCACAUUGUGCAUACGCUCGUUCGUGUGGUCAUUUGCUCCCUGGUCCGUGCAGCUACCCUACAACAGACUGCAAGCAAGUCUUUUGAUCGUGGCCAUUGCCGAAGCACCCUUGAUCCCACUUGUUCCCCGCCAAGAAAAAGGCAUCUAAGUACAGCUAGCGCGGCAUAAUUCAAACGUGACACUGGAACCGAUAUAGGUGGACCGGGGUGGUCAGGAACACUGUCAUCGAGGUUAUUAGGCAUGGUUUUCAUAUUUGUACUUCCUACCCUAAAACACGGUUCGGAUUAGCCGUGUUUUUUUUUUCCUUUCAUCGACCUUAGAAAUGUAGAGGCGAUUGCUGCGUCACCCUGUUUCUGUUUUUGCCGCCAUUUCUGAUAUAGCGAUAUAGGUACGGUCCCUAACUGUCCAUUGCAUGGCCGGAGCCUAAGAAUAACGGACGGCGUGCAUCACUUAAUUUGCAUGCUAAGCUUAAUCACCGUGCCACCGGUCAAGUUGAGGCAAAUCUACCCCGGCCGGCUAAAUUCUCGCUGAGCAAUCAAUGGAAAGGAGAUCGCCCUGUUUGAAAAACCAUAAGAAGGAGACGUUGUCAUCGUCGGGAAGCUAGUUAGAAUGGCGUACCACGGGAAGGAGAGCUCGCCGGCGGCGGGGCAGGUGCUGGUGGUGGCGGUGGCGAUGGCGGUGCUGCUGCUGGCGCAGCAUGCGGGGCGCGCCGACGCCAAGAUGAUCUUGUACGACGUGAUGCAGGGGGACGAGGUGCCGGGACGUAACGGGCUGACCCACGUGGAAGACGAGGCCAACAAGUACACCCGCGGCUGCGAGAGCUCCAACAAAUGCAGAGGCUGAGAACCACGGCAUAGCCGGGAUGGUAGGCAUGGGCUGAUGCAUGCCUGCCCGCCUGGGUUCGAGCCUCCGUGCUCGCAAUACCAGCGCGUACUCACCUAAUUCUUCUAUAAAAGUAAACCGAGGGAUUCUUCCCCUCCGGUCUCGAAAAAAAAUACUAACCAAUUUGCACUCAUUACAUUCCUUCCUACCUUUUUUUUGUUAAUAAGCGGGAGAUAAAUACCCACGCGAUUGCCACGGAAUUCGGUUGUAAUUAUUUUAAUAAGAAUUGGUUGUAUGAAAUAUCAUUAGUUAGAUUCACUUGUAGAAAACAGGGCUUUGGUUCGGGCAGAAAAAAGCAUUAAUCCCGGUUGCAUUACGAACCGGGACUAAUGUGAGCAUUAGUCCCGGUUCGAGCGGCUAGGGCACCGUACAGGCAUUAGUCCCGGUUGGUGCCACGAACCGGGACUAAAGGGUGCGAUGCCCAUUAGUACCGGUUCGUGGCACCAACCGGUACUAAAGGUUAGACCUUUAGUUCCGGUUCGAGCCACCAACCGGUACUAAUGGGGUUUGAGGCAUUAGUACCGGUUCAUGGCACGAAUCGGUACUAAAGGUCCCAUUUCCAAACUCUACCCCCUAUCGCCUUUUCAGUUUUGUAAAAAGCAAAAGAAAAUGAUAAAAACUUCAAAAAUUAAAAUCCUUCCAGAUGUAGUUAUGUUACUACAUGUACUAGUUAGGAAAAUUAAAAAACUUAAAAUUGGACAUGUUUUGCAAAAAGUGUAGGGAAAAUGUAAAACGGCUAUAACUUUUGCAUAUGACGUCAGAAAAAAACGUAUAAUAUAUCAAAAUGUUCAGCACGAAAAUCCGCAUCCGAUUUUGACUGCCUACGGCUUGUUUGCAAAUUUUUAGAAUCCUCAAAUUCUAAAAGGAAAAAAAGUUAUGCUCAAAUUUCUGUUUUUUUGAAUUUUUGUUAAAUCUGGUCAAACUAUGGUCAAACUACUUAUUCAAGAAGUAUUAGUGUUACUAAAUAAUUAUCCAAGAAUAUUAUUGUUACUAAAUAAUUAUUUCAAUUUUUUGAAUUUUGGUCAAAUCUGGUCAAACUGUGGUCAAACAAUGGUCAAACUAAUUAUUCAAGAAAUAUUAGUGUUACUAAAUAAUUAUUUCAGUUUUUUUGAAUUUUGGUCAAAUCUGGUCAAACUGUAGUCAAACUAUGGUCAAACUACUUAUUCAAGAAAUAUUAGUGUUACUAAAUAAUUAUUGUUUUUUAGAACAAUAGUUUCAAAUUCAAACAAUGAAAUGUGUGACUUCAUGCUCAAGCUAAAUUCCUGAGGGUUAAUAGGAUUGACAUCUUACUAUUGUCAGGAAAACAACAAGUGAAGACUUGGAAACGAGGGAGAAUAGAACCCGGAAGUUAAGCGUGCUCAGGCUGGAGUAAUGAGAGGAUGGGUGACCGUGUGGGAAGUUAGAUGAUUUGGAAUGAUGAUGGGUGAUUAGAGAUUAGAGGUUAAAUUGAGCAGUGAUGAGGGGUGAUUAAAGAUUAGAGGUUAAAAUAAUUCAGAAAUUUGAAAAUAAAAAAAAAUUCAAAAAAAAUCAUAAAAUUUCCUUUAGUACCGGUUCAACCGGGACUAAAGGUGGACCUCCAGGCAACGGCCACGUGGAGGGCCUUUAGUCCCGGUUCAUGUAAGAACCGGGAUUAAAGGGUCGUUACUAAGUUAAUGGAGAUAACUAUUUAGCUUGGUACUGAUUGAUUUGUUGUCACAUGCACAUUGGCCAAUUUCAUCGAUUCAUGUCGUCCAAUUAGCUAGCCAAGACCUGGCCGUACAUGCUCUGCUGAUUCCUAACUAACAUAGGUUAGAGACCAGUCGAGUGAAAAUGAAUUUUGCGUUUGUCCAAUCGUUUCCACCCUUCAGAUACAGAUCCAACGGUGUAGGUGCCUUUUUCUACCUCUCAAUCAUUUUCCCUGUUCAUCUUCUACCCUAAGCCGUCCGCGGCCAGCGGCGCUCCGGCACCUGCCUCGCCUCCCCGCGCACCGCCGCGCUGCCAUCGUCUCUGGCCAUCCCUCUAACCCUGGCGAUGAACAGAUUUUUCCGGCGGACCAGCACCCUCCCCCCUAAAAUAGAUAGCCGGCGAGCCUACCAUCCUAAUGUAGACACCGGGGUCGCCUGCCAUCCUAAGAUAGACACAAAGGGCUUCGCUGGCGAGCCGGCGGCUGUUUCCUUCAUGUGAACUCGACUGACCCAUAUAUUAUUUUGAUGCAACUUACAAGUAGCUAAAUUGGAAUAAACAAAGCCCAUAUUCCAUAAAAGUGUUAGUAAAUGAGGUUUCCCAAUGUUAAUAAUGCUGUCGAUCGAUGGGGAUGUCCCGGUAGAGAAAGUCAUCAUGCUACAUGAGCGCAUGGCCACCCAUGUGUACAUCACGGCUUUCUUCUUCUCAUCCAACUUAUCUGCAUUGAUCGAGACCACGCACCAGGCCACCUAGGCGGAUUAGGCGCCAUAGCUCCUUCCAGGAGGACAAGUUGCUAGUGGUAACCGGAAUCGUCAUGCCCUUUUGUCGUUGCCACUAACCAGGACGAUCGUCGAUUGAAGUGUAGACGCAUGAAGGUGACGCUUGCGUAGCAGCUACUACAAAACAACCUAUUUUAUUCAUCUCCCGCUUAAUUUAUUUUCUUCCCUCUGAAAUGCUUGCAUAUUUCACAAAACAAAACAUUAAUAACGUCGUGAAGGCGCCUUAGCACAAUCGAGACAAGGAGAUUUCAAGUGGCUCCUCUAUUUUCUCCGACGACGACGUGAACACCACGGAGGGCCGUCGGUUUGAUCCGGGACACUGAGAUUAGCGAAGCACGAAAUGAAAGAGAAAUCUAGCCUUUUUUUUUCUUCUAAUGGAGGAGACGGGUACUAGUAGUCAGCUGAGAACUACGAACUAAAACCGCGACAUUCUUUUUUUGGAAUGGAGGAAGUAACUAUUUUCGAAUCGAUCAAGUCGUGUGUGCUUGAUUAUGAAAACAUUUCAGUUUUAUAAUUAAGAAAAUCUCCUUAAUCGCCAGAAAGAAAAUGAAAGGAGAAAGAAUACUACUACUAAUAUAAAGAGCUGCUUUUGUAGCUAGGCAACAUUCUCGCAGCAUCAACGUUAAGGCGGUAGCUGCCAUGGUAGUGGUUGGACCGGCAGUGAUCACCGUCAGCUUGAUCACGACUGAUCGACUGAUUGGUGUGAGACUAGGGCGUGCCAUACGUGCACACCGGCCAGCCGCCCACCCGACCCGGGCAGGCAUCAACAGCACAAGAGUACAGUGCAGUACGACUGCACAAUGAUUUCCCUCAUCUUCCUCUUUGAUUGGAAUGCACAGGACUAACAAAAUUUUAAAAAGUAUUCAAGCAUGUAUUAUGUGUGAUGGAAAGCGUAUGUGUGGGUAGCUAGUUUUCUCAUUGAUCAACGUACGUACUUAAUUGAUGGAGUAUUGCAUAAUUACUUGGUUAAAUUCAGCUAUCAUCAAGUAGCUAAUUCAUUGUAUCAGCAGAAUCAUGAACCCAAGAAUAACACAUGGGUAAAACUACUGAUUAUAAUCAAUCCAUACUCUGGAUAUCACAAGGGAGGGUUGUAGGGGUAGUUGAAAAGCGCUGUAGCUGAAAAGAAGGUCGUUGCUUUGCAAGAAAAAAAAUAAUGCAAACCUUACUAUAUGUACACAUCUACCGGUUAAUCUAGAGCUUCAGAUGAUUAAAUAACUUUGUAUGUGCCACUCCAUGGAAAAUUGAGUAAACACAUCUCUUUAUUAAUCAAGAAGCUACAUACGCGGCAACAAACAAACAUGAUCACAUGUACUACUACAAGUAGUUGCAAGCAGCAAGAGCAGAACAGAACAGAAGAUAGGCAGGAGUCAGAUGGAUCGGAUGAAAAAAAGAAAACGGAAGAAGGGGAAGAGCAGCUUAAUUGGAGCUGGCCGGCCGGGGUGAUGGAGCUCAGCCGGUCUCUAGUCAGUGGUGAUGUGCACGCCGAUGACGAUGACGAAGAGCGCGAUGAGGGCGAAGUAGAUGAUGGCGUGGACGAGGAUGGCCAUGGCGCUGGUGUGCAUGUUGCCGAACUCCACGAAGUGGUGCUUCCCGGGGAGCUGCAGCAGCAGCCCCGGCGACAGCAGCACGAACAGCACCACCGCGAUCACCACCGGCCCCCAGUCCGACAUCCUCCCUCUCCCUCCCCUUCUCCGACUCCGGCAAGCUUCUUUCUUUCUCUCUAGCUAGCUCCUCGCGGCAGAGAAAGGAAGGCAAUGGAGCAGAGCAGAACAGGAGCGGGGGCGCAGAGUAGAGCAGAGAAGGAUGGUGUGAUUGUGGAGGGAAAGGCGUGAGGGCUCCCUUUCAUCGCCAUUCGGUUGGUGACGUCUCGCUUUCCCUACCGCCUACGACCACAUCGCCCGUUUUCUAGUCACACCUUUUGCACUUGUAUUUUCUAGUCACGCCUUUUGCACUUGCGCUUCAGAAAAGAAAAGAAAAGUUUUUUUCUAAAUUAUUAUAUACUGUUAGCAGCUCCAUGCAUGAAUUUUUUUUAAUCAAAUCUUAUGAUUAGGUAGUCCUUUUUGCGAAAAAGGACCUAGAUCUUUUACAAAGGUUUGUAAAAAGGGCAAAGCAUCCUAUAUACAUAAUAAAAUAAAAUCGAGCACAACCGAAGGACCACUGCCACCGUCGGAGUGGCCAUCUAUGCGCAGCUAUUGAUGCUCUCCUCUACCUGAGCCGGUUUGACUUCGUUGAUGACAGUCGGGAAGUCUUCAUGCACGUGCCCCUAAGGUGCGGCGUACUAGAGCUGAUAUCAUCGCCACUGAACCCUUGAAUAGAUCUAAAACAUCUGACUCCAAAUCUAAUCAUCGCACACAAACAACGAGAAACUGUAACCUCAUCACACCAAGGAGACAUCAUGGAUCUACACCGGAGCUCCAUCGAAUCCAUCCCGAUGGACAAACUCGAUGAGAAUCGAUGUCCGGAAGACCAACUCGAAAUGAACCACCGACAUCUACCUAAACGCCGCUUAUGCGAGAACAAAAACCCUAACCUAAACUACUACCCAAAGUCGAGGCACCGAGAUCCCCCUUCCCCAUCACGGCCGCCUGAGCGGCACGCAGAGGGGAGGUGGAUCCAUGGGCUCACCGGCGAAGCCUGAAGGGAAUGAGUGCCCUAGCCGCCGGAGUCACGAAAGUGAAAAGGAAACCCUAACUUGGCGGGAAGGUUUGUGUAUUUUCUUUGACCAUUUAUAAUUAGGUAGUUAAAUAGGUGAUUUCGACAACAACAGGAGCGAGGAGAACAACUUCAGAAACGAAACCUUUUUUAAAUUUCACUUGUUUAACUCCAUGGAUGGGGAGUUCAAACAAUUAUGAUUAGCUAGCUAUAUCUAGGUGAUUUCAAUGCCACAACAACAUCAAGGAGGAGAACAACCGCAAUUUUGCUUUUUUUUAAUGAGCUUGUUGAUAACAGACAGGCAGGCAGGCAGGCAGGCUGGUGGACAGUGAGUGUGAGAGUGAGGUCUCUCUGGCGGGACACCUCUCACUCUCGUCCUGUCCUCCAUGAGAGUGAGUGCUGAGGUCAACUGGCAAUGCUCAUUGCGUGACCAAUAUCUCCUCCCAACUGACAACGACUUGGCCUGAACUUUUCUUAUCUAUUCGAGCAUAUCGUACCUUAAUCUAGAAUACAAUCCAGUGGAACCAAUGCGGGAGAUGUAAUUGCGAUUAACCUUCAGGAAGCUGCAUGAAGAAGAUGAUGAUGGUCUCUCAUGUUUUAUGGCCGUGCCUGAAACUUCGCUUUCCACCGAGCAAGAACAAGUGGCGGAGGGCGAAAUGAGGAAAAGGUGGAGAAGAAAAAUGUGCGUGUAGAGGAUACGCAACACCUAAAGCCACACACACAAAAACAAUAUGCUAGCUAGCUAGCUGGUCCAUGCCAUGGCAUAUUGACAUGACAACUCCGCUUAUUUGCUGCAACCAUUUCAAAGGACACAGUGGAUAUGCUAUACUCCCUCCGUUCCUAAAUAUAAGCCUUUUUUAGAGAUUCCAACACAGACUACAUAUUAAGCAAAAUGAGUGAAUCUACAUUCUAAAAUAUGAUUAUAUACAUCCAUAUGUAGUUCCUAUUGAAAUAUCUAAAAAACUUAUAUUUAGAAAUGGAGGGAAUACAUUAUUUAGAAACUUAUAUUUAAAAAACGUAUCGAAAUAUCUAAACAAUACAUUUUUUUUUAAUUUUCAUAAAUAUUACGCUGGGUAAUUUUUUUCAAAAAUAAUACUCCGUCGGCCCGUUGCAGGCCGACUGGGCCUAGUCGGCCCACAGCAGGCCGAUUGGACUGGCCCCUGUCGGCCCACUGUGGGCUGAUUGGGUCCUGUCGGCCCACUGUGGGUCGACUGGAGCUAAUUAGCUCGUUGUGGGCUAAUUGUUUUUGCAAAAAAAGUAGGCAUAAAAAAUAUGUUUAAAAAAUAUUAAUUAUGUAAUUAAAAAAUGUUAAACGUGUAUAAAAAAAUGUUCCUAAUGUAUAAAAAAAAUGUACAAUAUAUAUGCAAAAAAGUUGACAUAAAAAAUAUGUUUUAAAAAGUGUUAAGCAUGUUUUUAAAAAUUGUUAAAUGUGUCUAUAAAAAAUGUUUCUUAUCUAUUCAAAAAAUAUAGAAUGUGUAUGAAAAAAAGUUGACACCAAAAAAAUAUGUUUGAAAAAAAUAUUCCAGUUCCAUACAAAAAGAGCAACCAAUCAUACUUAGGUCUGUGAUGCUCCCAUACCGGAUCCGGAGCUGGAACAUUUUUUAUACACGUUUAACCUUUCAUUCCAAUACAUGAAACAUUUUUGUGUACUCGUUGAACAUUUUUUCAAAUACAUGAUUAACUUUUUUUCAAACAUAUUUUUUUGGUGUCAACUUUUUUCAUACACAUUCUAUAUUUUUUGUGUAGAUAAGUAACAUUUUUUCAAAUACAUGAUUAAUAUUUUUUUCAAACAUAUUUUUUUGGUAUCAACUUUUUUUCAUACACAUUCUAUAUUUUUUGUAUAAAUAAGGAACAUUUUUUAUACACAAAUUUAACAAUUUUUAAAUACAUGCUUAACACUUUUUAAAACAUAUUUUUUAUGUCAACUUUUUGCAUAUAUAUUGUACAUUUUUUGUAUACAUCAGGAACAUUUUUUUUAUACACAUUUAACAUUUUUUAAUUACAUAAUUAACUUUUUUUAAAACAUAUAUUUUUUAUGCCUAAUUUUUUUGCAAAAAAAUUAGCCCACAGCGAGCCAAUUAGCUCCAGUCGGCCUACAGCUGGCCGACAGGAGUCCAAUCGGCCUGCUGUGGGCCGACUAGGCCCAGUCGGCCUGCAACGGGCCGACGGUGUAUUAUUUUUGAAAUUUUUUUAUCCAGCGUAAUAUUUAUGAAAAUUAAUUAAAAAAUGUAUUAUUUUAAAAAAAUAGCCAUUAUUUGCAUGGAUGAAUAUAUCGUCGAGGAUAUAACAAGAAAAAGAACACUGACAAGAGUUACCAAGCAAGAUCUGCUGCAUAUCAGUUUGUGCUCCUUAAUUAUAUCCAAGUGUAUCGAAACGGCAGUAUGGCUUUUGUUUGCUGCAUGAUGGAGACUGGUUCCCCCAUUCAGUUAGGCCGAUCUACAGUUUACGCAACUCAGCCAUACUCAUUCCUGAUUUCAUCUAUUCUCAUAUCGUGGGGAAACAAUGAAACACUUUCUUUCCUGCCGGCUCCUUGCUUGCUUAGUCUUUCUCUGCUCCCAUAAAAUCGACGAUGAUAAGAAGACAAAAAUAAAAUUCACCAGACAAGCUCAACCCCUUUCGUUCCUGAAUGCGUGAUCCACCCAAGUGUAUUCACAUGCCUUUUGUUGAUGCUAUGAUGGAGACAUGUUUUUCCCAUUCAGUUAGGCAGAUCAACGUUUUUCUUUCUAGCAUAUUGUUAACUCCAUGGAUGUGUUUAUUUAAUUCUUAAUUAUGAUUAGGUAGCUAAGUAGGUGAUUUCAACAUCAACAACACCAAGCACUAGGGCAUCAAUAAAGAGAACAACCAACUUCAAGAAAGAAAACUUCUUAAAAUUUCACUUGUUUAAUUCCAUGCAUGGGACUUUCUUUCCUUUCUUUUUUUAAGAAAAUGAGGAUUAUGAUUAGCUAGCUAAUUAGGUGAUUUCAACACAAGAUUAACAUCAAGGAGAAGGAGAAGAGUGAUUUCACUUGUUUUUAAUGAGCUUGUUGUUAACAGACAGGCAGGCAGGCAGGUGGGCAGUGAGAGGGUGAGAGCUAGGUGUCUCUGGCUGGACACCUCGCACUUUUUCCUCUGUGGGAGGAAAAAGUGCUUAAUUGUGUAGAGGAUAAGUAACACCUAAGGCCACACAGACAUUGACAAUUUAAUUGAUUUGCUGCAACCAUCUCAAAGGACAUGUCGGAUAUACAUAUAUACGCAUGGAUAAUAUCAUCACAGAUAAUAAAGAAAAAACAAUCGAUGAUUCUUACUUUACGGGCAGAUAAUACAUGGAAAACAAUGUGUGUAGAGGAGACGCAACACCUGAAGUGUCACACACACACACACACACACACACACAAACAGUACUAUGCUAGCUGGCUUGUCCCUGACAUGGACAAUUCAAUUGAUUUGCUACAACCAUUCGAAUGACACAGUGGACACAAAAACAUAUAUGAAUGAAUAAUUUCUCCAAGAUAAGAAGAAAAAACUGUAUGCAUACCGGUGUGUUCUUCUUUUGUUCAUGCAUGCAUGUUGGAUGGACCAAGUGUAUCAGCAGUAUGGCUUUUAUUUGCUGCAUGAUGGCGACAGGCUCCCCCAUUCUGUUAGUCCGAUCUAAGAACUUCACAAUUCAGGCAUGUGCUUAGUCCAAAAUUCAAUUAUUUAUCGUAUCCCGGAUUUAAAUUAAACGAUAAAACGCUUGAGACAGGUUUCUCUGCAUGGAUAAAAACAACAAGGAUAACAAAAUAGAAAAACCCAAAUGAUAAGUGCCACACGUCAGGUGCGUGGCACUCCGGCCCUGACGUUUUUCGAAGGAAAUUCCAGUCAUGCAAGGAUGACAAAUUGCAGUGAUCUGUCAAAAAUAAACUGAAGCACGAAAGUUGUCAUGCUUGUCAACUAAAGUUGCCAUCCUUGUGUAACUAAACUUGCCAUCAAAAACGUUCGAAGUUGCCAUAUGCAUGCACCUGACGUGUGGCACUUAUGAGGGUCCUAGAAAAAGGAAACAAAUAUAGUUAUCAAGCAAAAUCAACUGUAUGUUGCUCUCUUCGCCCAUUGUUCCUGAAUGCAAUACCCAUCUAAGUGUAUUCACAUGCCUUUUGUUGAUGCUAUUGCAAUGGUUGAGACAUGUUUUUCCCGUUCAGUUAGGCAGACAUUUUUUUAGCAUACUGUUAACUCCAUGAAUGUGGUUAUUUAAUUCCUAAUUAUGAUUAGGUAGCUAAGCAGGUGAUGUCAACAUCAACAACAACAACUACUGCAUCCGUAAAGAGAACAACAACUUCAAGGAAGAAAAACUUCUUAAAAUUUCACAUGUUUAAUUCCAUGCAUGGGACUUUCUUUCCUUUUUUAUAAGAAAAUGAGGAUUAUGAUUGGCUAGCUAGUUAGGUGAUUUCAACACAAGGUUAACAGCAAGGAGGAGGAGAAGAGUGAUUUCACUUGUUUUUAACAAGCUUGUUGUUCACAGACAGGCAGAUGGACAGUGAGAGGGUGAGAGCGAGGUGUCUCUGGCUAGACACCUCCCACUUUUCCCCUGUGAGAGUGAGUGCUGAGGUCAAUUGGCCACAAGGCAAAUGCUUAAUUGUGUAGAGGAUACGCAACACCUAAAGCCACACACACAAACAACAUGGUAGCUAGAGGUCCAUGACAUUGUCAAUUCAAUUGAUUUGCUGCAACCAUUUCAAAGAACACAGUGGAUAUACAUAUAUACGCGUGAAUAAUAUCAUCAAUCAAAGAUAAUAAAGGAAAAACCACCGAUGAUUGUUACCGACGGGAAAGAUAAUACAUGGAAAACAAUGUAUGUAGAGGAGACGCAACACCUAAAGUCACACAAACAAAAACAAUACUAUGCUAGCUAGCUGGUCCAUAAAAAGGGCAGGGUCUUUGGGUCUUUUCUAUGCAGUUUUUCUCUAUAUUUUUGCUAGAGGUUUCAGGACUCGAACCCGUGACCUGACCAAGACAACAGCUCUACCGCUAGCUAGCUGGUCCAUGACAUGGACAAUUCAAUUGAUUUGCUACAACCAUUCGAAUAACAAGGUGGACACACAAACAUAUAUGAAUGACUAAUUUCUCCAGGAUAAGAAGAAAAAACUGUAUACAGACCGGUGUUUUUUUUGUUCAUGCAUGCAUGUUGGAUGGACCAAGUGUAUCAGCAGUAUGGCUUUUGUUUGCUGCAUGACGGCGACAUGCUCCACCAAUCAGUUAGGCCGAUCUAUGAACUUCACAAUUCAGCCAUGUGCUUAGUCCUAAAUUCAAUUAUUUAUCGUAUAACUAAGGUGUCCAGCAGGGUUACGCCUUGGAGGGGGCGCUACAAUUCUACUGCUGGAAGGGUCUGUUUGAUCAAUGUGUGUUUGUCUUCUCUUCGUAUGUAUGUUAUGGGUUUCUAUCGCCUUAUGGAGGGUAUUCAUGCCGGUUUUGAUAAAUAUCGGGGUGGUUUCUAUUGCAAUACCAUGGACAAUAAAAAGAAGUACAGAUUGGUUAAGUGGAAACUCAUGUGUAGGCCCAAAAGUAUGGGGGGUUUGGGGAUCCUUAACACUUUCAUUAUGAACAAGUCUUUGAUCCUUAAGUGGUGGUGGCGUAUUCUUUCAGAUGAUCAGGGCAAGCUUUGGUUCCACAUAAGCCCAAAUAUUUUCCUCACUCCUCCCCCCUCAUGUGCAAUCCUGUGGCCAGCUCUUCCGUUUCUCAAUUCUGGCGCUAGCUGCUCAAUGUUCGGGAUGACUUCAAAGCUUUGGUGAAAUUCUCUGUUGGCAACGGUGCCUCCGUUCGUUUUUGGUUGGAUUGGUGGGUUGGGGAUGGGACCUUUGCGCUUUCCUUUCCUGUUUUUUUCUUUUGUUACUUAUCCUUCUGUCUCCAUCGCGGAGCUGGCGGCUAGUGGUUGGGACCUCGGCUUUCGCCGGGUCCUAUCUCCUGUAGAGUUGGAGGACUGGCACCGGCUUGUUGCCUGCGCUCUCGGAGGCUCAGGACUUGGCCCCAUUCUGCUUCUGGCCGCUUUUCUGUUAAGUCCUGUUAUCGUGUUUUGUCCUCGAGGUCAGUGGUGUCUAAGUUUAAGCCCAUCUAGGUGGUCAGAGUGCCUCCGAAGAUCAAAAUUUUCAUGUGGCAGGCCUUGAGGGGCUGACUGCCCUUCGCGGAUUAUAGUAAGAAGAGGCACGGCCCGGGUUCGGAGUUUUGCUCCUUGCGUGGGAACUUAGAGGAUAUUAAUCACAUUCUAUUCUCGUGUCCUCUGGCCCAGCUACUUUGGAGUUGUAUUAGGGACUGGAUGGUUGUGUCGUGGGCGCCUGCUAACUUUAAUAAUCUUCUUGCGCUUUUGGUUCCUUUGUCUAUUCAAGUCAGAUGGGUGUUUUGGUUCGCCUUCCCUGCCAUGUGCUAGACCCUCUGGACGACCAGAAAUAAAUUUACUAUCGAACAGGUGUUCCCUAACAAGGCGGUUCAUGUUGUUUCCAAUCUCUCAAUAUUUUUGAUGCAGUGGAAAUCUCUGAUUAAGGAAGGCAACAAGGCAGCUGUGGAGUUGCUCAUUUCCCGUGUUCGUGCUUCGGGAAUAUCUGUCUCAAGGGGUGAUCGACUCAGGCCGCAGUAGGUAUUGCUACUUGUCGUCGUUUGGUGUUAGUCAUCUGGGGACUCUUGAUGCUGGCCUGCGUGCCAUUUUGCCGGUUGUGGCCGUCUGUUGAAUUCGGUGCUGUGGUGUGUGUCCGUCCUAAACUCUUGUUGUCUGUCCUACUCGGUUGCCUGGUGCCUUUAUUAAUUUAAAGCCGGGCUGAGGCCUUUUCUCUAAAAAAUUAUUUAUCGUAUCACGGAUUAUAUGAUAAAACGCUUGAGACAGGUUUCUCUGCAUGGAUAAAAACAACAAGGAUACGAAAUAAAAAAAAGACACGGAUAUAGUUACCAAGCAAAAUCAACUGUAUGUCGCUCUCUUCGACCUUUGCUCCAGAAUGCACGACCCAUCCAAGUCUGCUGACAUCCCAUUUAUCGACCAAUGAUUGGCACAGGUUUUUCUAUUCAGUCAAGCUAAUUUAUGGAUUUCAGUAUUUCAAACUAAUGGAACUAUUUCUUUCCUGUCGAUACCUUGCUUGGCCUUUCUCAGCAAGAUGAAAUUGAUGACACCCUUUUUCACUGCCAUUGAUCCGACCUGUCUCUAGCUGUCCAUUGGUGCUGGUCACCGCGACGGCAAGGAGGGCAAGGAGGGCUGCCCACCUUUGAUUAAUCAUGCAUGCAUCUGAAUUAUCCAAAUUCAUCAAGAUAUCCUAAAUAGAUCCAACCUGAAGAUUAAACGUAGUGCAGUGGAGGAACAUAGGAGUUGUAAAUGUAAUUAGCAUGCACUGAUUGUUGGGCAUAAGCCACCGCAGGACGCGUUGGGUGCGAGCCAGGGCGCGCCGGAUCCGUGGCCGUGUGUGUGUGCGCGCUUGAGUUUGUGGCUUGAGUGAAAUAGUGGCUGUUCGUGCAGCCGGGUGGCGUUCGUGCGCCGGAUAUAUCUGCUGUGUGCGCCUCGUUCUUCUUCCUCCUUUCCUCUAGUCCUGAGCGAGAGAGAGUGAGAGCUCCGUUGAGAGGCACGGCAAGGCUACGGUAACAACAAUUGGUAUUCAGAGCCACUAGUUCGGGGGGCGGCCGUGGCGCGCGGCGGACAUGAAGGUCUCGGCAACGCGCGGCGAGUCCACGGCGGUGUGGCGUGAUGCCGGGUGCGCGGCGAGCGCGUGGCGUCAGCAACGCGCGGCGAGUCCACGGUGGUGUGGCGUGAUGCCGUGCGCGCGGCGAGCAGCGACGGUCGCAGAGACGAGGAGGUCACGAAGGACCUGCGUGGUGUCGCAGAGGCCGCGGCGGCUCGGCGCGACGACCGUGGAGGCGCUGCGCUGUGGUUGACGGCGCAGCGGUGCAGGGCAAUAAGCGCGGCGGCGAGCCGGGCGCGACCGGUGCGUGUUAUGGAUGCGCACCGGACGCGUCGGGCACGUCGGGACCGCGGGAGUGGACCGCGUCGAGGCGCAGGACCUGGUUGCGCAGACCGCGUACGUGCGCGGCGGGAGCGCGGGGACGUGGGGAGUGCACGCGAAGGGCACGGCGGCACGGUGGCAGGCGUGGCAGCGACGUCAGGGCGGCGGCGGCUACAACAACGUCGACGGCACGACGGAGGCCGCAGCGGUGCGGUGCGACGGCCAUGGCGACAUCAACGACGAUGGACUCACCUGCUGUAGUUCGUGGCUUAGGGGGGUGUGUGUUGGGCAUAAGCCACCGCAGGACGCGUCGGGUGCGAGCCAGGGCGCGCCGGGUCCGUGGCCGUGCGUGUGUGUGUGCGCUUGAGUUUGUGGCUUGAGUGAAAAAGUGGCUGUUCGUGCAGCCGGGCGGCGUUCGUGCGCCUCGGUCUUCUUCCUCCUUUCCUCUAGUCCUGAGCGAGAGAGAGUGAGAGCUCCGGUGAGAGGCACGGCGAGGCUACGGUAACAACACUAAUCAACUAGGUUAUUCGGCCAUCCGUUGUUGUACUAGCUAGCCAGAGCCAUAAGGAGGAGGAUGUGAAGAUGACACGCACACAAUAUCAAGUUUUUGGGUUUGUGCUCGUGUUGCAUAUUUCACUUUCCAUCAAGAAAAAAAAAUUGUGGUAUAGGAUGGCAGAAUGAAAAUAACGAAAAUCAAUAUAUGGAAUUACGGAUGCAACAACUAAGGUCAUACCCACCACAAGAAUUGUGUGUGUUAUAGCUAGUUCAGCAGAUGACAGUAUUGCCAGCUUCUCCUUUGUUCUAGCUAGGACACAAAUUCGAUCCACUGAUUUGAGGCAUCGAUCUGCCGCAAGUCCUCAAAGGACAUAUAGACAAGGCGAAGAACUAAAUAAAGUUGCAAAGCAAAAUUAUCGAAAAAAUAUGAUCCCAGAGAUACACAGUAAUGUUGUCAUCAAAUCUCAAGAAUAUAAAUUUCACAUGAUCCCACCAUGUAACAUAUCCCAGGUCAGCAAUGACUGAGCGCAGGCUAACUAAUUAACAUGAAGCAAGAACCAAACAGACAGAAAGAGCAAAAGAAACAGCUAGAACAGGAUGAAGCAGAGUAUUGUACUACUCAUGAUGACGAGCCGAACUCGAUGUGGACGCCAACGACGACGAGGAAGAAGGCAUCGAGGGCGAAGAAGAUGAUGGUGUGGAUGAGGAUGGAGACGGCGCUCGUGUGGAAUUUGCCGCACUCGAUCGUCCGUGAUUUGCCAGGGAUCUGGAAGACAAGCCCUGGGGACAGAAGGAUGAAGAGCAUGAAGGAGAUGAGAACUGGACCCCAGUCUUGCAUCUUCUUCUUCUUCUUCUUCUUCUUCUUCUUCUUCUUCUUCUUCUUCUUCUUCUUCUUCGAAGUCUUUGGGAUGACGAUGAUGAUGAAUACUCAAGCCAGCUACAGCUAUGCUUCUUCUUCUUCUUCGAAGUCUUCUGGUUCGUGUCUCAAACCGGGACUAAAGGGGUUCUGAAAUUUGUUAUUUGUUUUCUAUUUUUAGUUUAUGUUUUAAAUUGCUUAUAUUUUUUAGGAUAUUUGAUGUUUUUGAGUGAUUCUUUUUGCAUUAGAUUCAAAAUUUUGUCUAGUUUUUGUUUGUGCCAUUAGUUUACAAAUUUGAAUGUUUUAAAUAUGAAUUUUUUUCAAAUUUUCUUCAAACCCUAGAUUGUGAAUAAUUUGAGUUUAAAAAUGGGUUUUAAUUUAAUUGUUUUUGCUCCUAGUCACAUGUAAGACUGUUGUCACACAGUAAGAUUUAUUUGGUUAUUUUUAGAAUAAUUUGAAUUAGGAUUUUAGUUAAGUUAAAAAGUAAUUCUUUUUGCCACUUUAAUAGAACGUGACUCUGGCUGGGACGGUGCUAGCAGAUGUAGUGGACGGUACGAUUGGAUGGACACCAUCCGGGACUAAAGGGGUUCAAACUCUACCCCCACUAGUGCAGAACCGGCCUUUAUCACCGGUUCGUAAGGGCCUUUAGUGCCGGUUCUGCAACCGGCACUAUGGAGUGGAGACUAAAGGCCCCCCCUUUAGUACCGGUUUGGCACGAACCGGCGCUAACGUGCCACCACGUGGCACGAGCCAGGCCCGGGUGCGUGUAGGACAUUAGUACCGGUUGGUAACACCAACCGGUACUAAAUGUUUGGGUGUGUUUUGGUUUUAAUUUUUAUUUUUCCUUUAGUUUUGUGUUUUCAAUUUAAUUUAGUGAUUGUUUUACAUUAUAAUGAGUUGUUAAAUCAUUAGGUGAAAGUACCGCAGAUUAGUUUCGACUGGAUGCAUGUGGAUCCUAGCUAAGUGAUCUAAGUAAUAUGGAUAUGGCAUAUACUUGAUUACUUAGCUAGGAUCCAUCCAGUUGAAACUAAUAUGCGGUUUCUUUCAUAAAUGUUAUAAUAACUCAUCAUCAUCAUCAUCAUAUUAUAAGCGUUCAUAACACCACAAAAGCAAAUCACUCUUUGAGAUUAAGUUCAGGACGAAGAACACGGACACGCAUGAGAGGACAACAAGUACUAAGAGCAUGAUAACUAGCUAAAUCACUCCUGCUGCUCUCUCACAGGUAAAAUAGCAUAGAACAUGUAUAGCUCUCUUGAUUCAUCAUAUUGGAGCAUGCAGAUGAACCUGUCUCCUAAUCGUGGGCUGCGCUUCUGAUUGGUGCCCCCUAGUACUUCUCUGCGAUCGUUAACAAUUUUGCUCCAAUCUUUCACUAUUAAGCAUUCAUCGCUUUCAGAAAUCCUGAAUGCACUCAUGUGCACUGUAGGAUAUCUUGGCCGUAAGCUAACAAUUGACAUGCGACCUUUAGUCUCGAUCCACUGAGGCACAACUGUCAUCGGGAGUCCCUGUUGAAGAACAUCGUAUAGUAAUUAAUAUACUUAGCAAUGAAAGUUUAGCUUGAAAAAUAAUGUAUGCAAAAGAUGCACUGAGGACUAAUAGUAAAAAUCUUACCAUCUUUCCUAAAUACAUGUGACCGUAGUUCAAUACGAUCACUAUUGGUCGCACGUUUUGAGUACUAAGAUUUUCAAAUUCAGGAAAAUGAUUUCUCUUAACAGCAUCAAGAUCCUCAAGCCAUGAAACAUAAUGACUUAUCUCCUCGCAGUUUAGUUCAACUCCGGGACAGUAGUAGGUCCUGUCUACCAAGCGCCGGACAUGUUUGCUUGAAUGGAAAUAAGCUGUCAAUAGAAAUUAGUUGUGAACUAUUUUUGAAUAAACAAUAUCAAAGACAUAAAUAUGGUUGAGAAACUCACAUAAUGGUAGAACUGGAGGCGUCUGCACAUCGACCCAGAUGUCUCUAUUACCUUCAAUAUCAUCUUCCGGACGAAUAUCAAAGGUGAUAACCAUAUCAGGCUCAAAUGCAUAAGCCUUGCAUAGUGCUUGCCAAGUUUUGCAUUCAAAAUAGGUGUACGUGUCUGCAUUGUAUAAUUUGAUGUUGAAAGUAUAACCAUGCUCGGUCUUCAGGUAAACUCUUUUUACCUCCAUAGUUUCCAUAGCACUGAAACCUAUCUUAUCCAAGACAAAAAUUCUUGCAUGGCAGGGGAUGCGCUAGUAGAAUAGUGAAAAUUUAAAAUUAUAAGUUGAAGCAAAUGAAGCAUAUAUAAGUCAUGCUUAAUUACGAAAAAAGACUUGUCGUUGUGACUUACUGUAUCCACUUCGAAGGUCUCAUCCAGCUUGAUGCUGAAGCGCCUAUCAUCAACAAGGAAAUUUCUGUCGCACAGGCCGCGCUGGUCUUCACAGGAUUCGCACUUAAUGAAAUCUUUUUCGUCGUCAGACGACAUUUCCUAUGUUCAUAUAGGUGAAACAUUAAACACUUACUAGUUCUAUUAAUUCAACUAAUUCAACUACUUCUAUUAGUUCAACUAGUUCUAUUAAUUCAACGAAUUCAACUAAGCAUUUACUAAAAAUAAACGUGUUCUAUUAAUUUUCUUACUAAAAUAAAGUAGCUAGUUCCAUAUAGUAAUAUUUUAAUUAGAUCAUCAAAUCUCAGGUAUCUAAAUUUUCUUACUAAAAAUAAACUAGUUCUAUUAAUUCAACUAAUUCAACUAAGAAUUUACUAAAAAUAAACUAGUUCUAUUAAUUUUCUUACUAAAAUAUAUAAGGUAGCUAUAUAUAUAGUAAUAUUUUAAUUAGAUUAUCAAAUCUCAUAUACCUAAAUUUUCGUACUAAAAAUAAACUAGUUCUACUAAUUCAACUAGUCCAACUAAGCAUUUACUAAANNNNNNNNNNNNNNNNNNNNNNNNNNNNNNNNNNNNNNNNNNNNNNNNNNNNNNNNNNNNNNNNNNNNNNNNNNNNNNNNNNNNNNNNNNNNNNNNNNNNNNNNNNNNNNNNNNNNNNNNNNNNNNNNNNNNNNNNNNNNNNNNNNNNNNNNNNNNNNNNNNNNNNNNNNNNNNNNNNNNNNNNNNNNNNNNNNNNNNNNNNNNNNNNNNNNNNNNNNNNNNNNNNNNNNNNNNNNNNNNNNNNNNNNNNNNNNNNNNNNNNNNNNNNNNNNNNNNNNNNNNNNNNNNNNNNNNNNNNNNNNNNNNNNNNNNNNNNNNNNNNNNNNNNNNNNNNNNNNNNNNNNNNNNNNNNNNNNNNNNNNNNNNNNNNNNNNNNNNNNNNNNNNNNNNNNNNNNNNNNNNNNNNNNNNNNNNNNNNNNNNNNNNNNNNNNNNNNNNNNNNNNNNNNNNNNNNNNNNNNNNNNNNNNNNNNNNNNNNNNNNNNNNNNNNNNNNNNNNNNNNNNNNNNNNNNNNNNNNNNNNNNNNNNNNNNNNNNNNNNNNNNNNNNNNNNNNNNNNNNNNNNNNNNNNNNNNNNNNNNNNNNNNNNNNNNNNNNNNNNNNNNNNACGGGGACGGCGCAACGACGAGCGGCAGGCCGGGGGCGACGGCGCGAUCGAGACGGCGACGUGGUACGGGGCGGCGGCGACGAGCGGCGGGGGCGACGGCGGUGACGGCGACGAUUGGCGGUGAGGGCGACGGCGGUGACGGCAACGACGGGUGGCGGGGGCGGCGAGGGCGGCGGCGAUUUUGCGCGAAGGAGUUGGAGAAGAAGUGGUGGUCGAUGAAACUGAAUUUUUUAUAAGUGCCAUAUAUAUAGGAGGGGCCUUUAGUACCGGUUGGAGCCACCAACCGGUACUAAAGGCCAAUUUUUGCCAGGCCAAGGGGCGGAAAACUGCCCCUUUAGUACGGGUUCGCGGCUCCAACCGGUACUAAAGGCCCCCCUUUAGUACCGGUUGGAGCCACGACCCGGUACUAAAGGUAUGCGCUGGCGCAGGAGCGGUGCGGGCAAGUUUAGUCCCACCUCGCUAGCCGAGAGGCGCCCGCACCAGUUUAAAAGCCCCGGCGCGGCUGCUGUCUUGAACUCCUCUCUAUAGCAGGCUUUUGGGCCUAACUCUGGCGCGCUGCCCGUUGAGCCUGCUGGCCCUUCUGGGCCUGUAUUUGCAAACCCUAUGGUUGGCAGGCGCAGCGGGCAGCGCCCCAACAAUUUUUUAUAUAAUUUUCUUCUAUUUAUUUCCGAGUAAUUUUUUUGCUGUAUUUAGUUUCUUUGUGAAUAAAAAAGAAUUAUAUAGUUUUUUUUCUUUUCUGCAUUAUUUAUUUUCUGCUAUUCAUUUUGUAGUGAUUUUUAAUUUCACUGUCAUUUAGCUCUCUAAACAAAUCGGUAAAUGACUGAAAAACAACAAAUGAUGUCAGAACGUGUUGGAAAUUGAUGACGUCGCUUUGAAUGAUGCAUACUGAACGCAAAAAUAGGCUGGAGUUCAAAUAAGUUUAAAAAACAUUGAAGUGCCCGUGUAACAGAUGAGUUCUCGUCCGAAACCCUGAUACUCCGAAAGAGAUUGUCCAGUUUGUACACGAGGUGCGUCCAGUUUUCGCCGUGACCCUCUCUACUCUUUUGCACAUGCUAUGCGGGCGAAAUGAUGAUACCAUGCCAAGUUCCAACAUUUUCAGAGUUCAUUUUGUAGUAAUUUUCAAUUUCACCGUCAUUGAGCUCUCUAAACAAAUCGGUAAAUGACUGAAAAACAGCAAAUGAUGUCAGAACGUGUUGGAAAUUGAUGACGUCGCUUGGAAUGAUGCAUACUGAAUGCAAAAAUAGGCUGGAGUUCAAAUGACUGAAAACAACAAAUGAUGUCAGAACGUGUUGGAAAUUGAUGACGCCGCUUUGAAUGGUGUGUACGGAACGCAAAAAAGUCUGGAGUUGUAAUAAGUUUAAAAAAAUGAAGUGCCCAUGUAACAGAUGAGUUCUCGUCAGAAACCCUGAUACUUCGAAAGAGAUUGUCCAGUUUGUAUACGAAGUGCGUCCAGUUUUUGCCGUAACACAAGAAGUCCGGAGUUGUAAUAAGUUAUUAAAGAUAAAAAAGACCCUGAUACUUCGAAAGAGAUUGUCCAGUUUGUACACGAAGUACGUCCAGUUUUUGCCGUAACACAAGAAGUCCGGAGUUGUAAUAAGUUAUUAAAGAUAAAAAAGAGGCACAAUGCUCGUUAAUUAGCUUCAAGUCUUUCGGAAUAGUGCAAACUGCACUGCACAUAGCUCCGUGCAGUCUACACUAUUCCUCAAGGCUUAAAGCUAAGCAACAUGCAGAUGAGCAUUGCGCCUCUCCUUCAUCGUCUCUGCACUCAGAGCUUAUAAACCGCUCCUAGUGCCUCUCUCUUCGCGAGGUGGGACUAAAAAACAGCUUACUAAGAAACUAUAGUACCGGUUCAUGGCACGAACUGGUACUAAAGGUGCCCGUGGGGCCCCAGCCUGACCACAGCCUGACGCAACAUCAUUAGUACCGGUUCGUGACACGAACCGGUAUAAAAGGUUGCUCACGAACCGGUACUAAUGAUCUCCGUCCGCCUAGCCGUUGGAACCGACACUAAUGGACACAUUAGUGCCGGCUCAAAAUCAAACCGGCACUAAUAUGCUUCACAUUUGACCUUUUUUCUACUAGUGCCCCCCCCCGCGUGUAUCGCCAUUCCAGUUUUGAAAAGAACAAAAGAAACUGAUAAAAACUUCAAAAAUUAAAAUCCUUCGAGACGUAGUUAUGUUACUACAUCUACUAGUUACGAAAAUUUAAAAACUUAAAUUUGAACAUGUUUUGCAAAAAAGUGUUAUGAAAAAGUAAAACGGCUAUAACUUUUCCAUACAAUGUCGAAAAAACGUAUAAUAUAUCAAAAUAUUUAGCACGAAAAUCCAGAUCCGUUUUCGACGGCCGUAGGCUGUUUUGCAAAUUUUUAGAAUCCUCAAAUUUUGAAAGGAAAAAAAGUUAUCUUCAAAUUUUUUUUUUGAUUUUUUGGUCAAACUCUGGUCAAACUACUUAUUUAAGAAAUAUUAGUGUUACAAAAUUAUUGGUUUUAAGAAUAAUAGUUUCAAACUCAAACGCGAAACUGUGAUUUCAUGCUCAAGUUCAACUCCUAAGGGUUAAUACGAUUGACAGCUUACUAGUCAGGAAAACAACAAGUGCAGACUUGAAACGAUGAGGAAUAGAACUCGGAUGUUAAGCGUGCUCAGGCUGGAGUAGUGAGAGGAUGGGUGACCGGCCGGAAAGUUAGACGAUUUGGAAUGAUGAGGGAUGAUUAGAGAUUAAAGAUUAAAUUGAGCAGUGAUGAGGAGUGAUUAAAGAUUAAAUUCUCAAAUAAUUCAGAAAAUUGAAAAUCAGAAAAAAUUAAAAAAAUAUUCAAAUAUUUUUCUAUUUUUUUUUCAAAAAAAUUCCUUUAAUCCCCAACCGGGACUAAAGGUGGAGCUCAACAGACGUGGAGCCCCUUUACUCCCGGUUCGUAGGUGAACCGGGACUAAAGGUUUUGGGCUUUAGUCCCGACAACCGGGACUAAAGGCCCUCUGAAACCGGGACUAAAGACCCGUUUUCUACUAGUGCAUGGUCCCUCUUACCUUUUAUUUUCACAUUAGAGGUAAGAGUAUAUAAUAAAUUUGAGCCGUUGAUUUCAUUAAGUAGUCGGUCUGAGUAACUCUUACCUUCUUACCUCCCAUGUGAAAAAAUGAGCUACGUGAGAGGGACUAUGUUAAAAUUUCUCGUCGUCAAGGAUAUAAGAAGAAAAUGAACAAUGGUAAGAAUUACCAAGCAAGGAUCAGCUGUAUAUCGAUUAUAUAUAUAUAUAUAUAUAGACUAUUCGUCACCUUGGGUGAGAAAUAGUUAUUCUUCACCCCCCUCUAUUUUACCUUCAAUGCACCGUAAUUUUAUGUUCCGUAAGUUUUGUCUUAUUUCUGACACAAAAAGAGACCGUAAGAAAAUAUAUAAUCGCCGUAAAAAAUAUUUCAUGUUCUGUAAAAUUACAAACGUAAAAACAUAGUGUAAAAUACACAUAAACUGCAAAUUUUCUUGUCUUAUGACCUAUAUUUUUAUUUUCUUAUGCCAAAUUUUACAUAAUGAAUCAAUAUGAAUGUAACUAUAUAUCGCUCUCUUCUUCGCCUUUUUUUCCUGAAUGUGGGAUCCAUUCAAGUGCAUUGACAUGCCUUUUCUUGAUGCUAUGAUUGAGGCAUGUUCUCCCAUUCAGUUAGGCCGAUCAAUGUUUUUUAUUAUACUGUGAACUUUUUAUUAUGAUUAGGUAGUUGAGAAAGUGAUUUCAGAAAACAACGGCCGCGGCAAAGAGAACAACAACCUUAGAAGAAGGAAAAUAAAACUUUUUACAAUUCACUUGUUUAACCUUAGUUGAGAAGAGGAUUUCAGAAGGUGACUUUCUAUUCUUUUUAAGAGAAGGGUGAAUAUGAUUAGCUAGCCAGUUAGGUGAUCAACACAAGAUUAAUAUCAAUGAGAAGGUGAAGAACGAUUUCACUUGUUUUUAAUGAGCUUGUUGAUAACAGACAGGCAAGGCAGGUGAAAAGUGAGUGAGGUCUCUCUGGCUGGACAUCUCUCACUUUUCCUUCUGUGAGAGUGAGUGCUGAGGUCAACCGGACACAAGGCCAACUCUGCUAGUCGUCCUUCUACUCCUAUCACUUUUCUUUCCUGACAAAGACUUGCUCUGAACCCGUAAUUCAGAUUCACGGUGAUGACUAAUCCAUGAACAGGAAAGAAAAAACAUGAUUUAAACAUCCGAUGUUCAAAUUCUGAAUCCACCGAUCCACUAAUCCAGCAUAUUUACACGAAUCUAGAAUGACAUCAACUAGGAUUAACAGGAGCAAUAACUAUGAUUAGCCUUCACGAAGCUUCAUGGAGGAGGAUGUAGUCGUGUUUUCUUGCCGUGCCUGAAACUACGCUUUCCAUCAAUCAGAAAACAAGAGGUGGAGCGGGCAAAAGCGGAAAGGAAAACAAUGUAGAGCGGUCACACACACACAACAGUACUGUACAAUGCUAGUUGGUCGAUGACACUGACAAUUCAAUUGAUUUGCUGCAACCAUUCCAAAGGACAUAGUGGAUAACUUGAUAUACAUACACACACACACAACAUGUUUUGGUUCGCGAAGAUAAGAAGGAAAAACCACUUAUGAUUGUUUCCAAGCUCAAUCAAUUGUAUAUUUUUUUUGAUACAGUGUGAUAUAUAAAUAUCAAGAUGAUAUCAAUUACACCUGGCUUCUGCAACGACACUAUAUCAAGACCAAGUCGUGACAUCGAGGAUGCACACAAUCAAUCGUGUAUAUAUGGGUAUGUUCUCCUUAUGAUCAUGCAUGCAUGUUGCAUGGGCCAAGUGUAUCAGCAGUAUGGCUUUUGUCUGCUGCAUGAUGGAGACAGGUUUCCCGAUUCAGUUAGGCCGAUCUACGGAUUUCGCAGUUCAGCCAUACUUUGUCUGAAAUUCAUUUAUUCUCGUUUCGUGGAUGGCUCUUUUCUGCAGGGAUAAAAUGGACAAGGAUAAGAAGAAAGAAGACACUGCUAAACCAAAGUUACCAAGCAAAUAAACUGUAUAUAUGUCGCCCCCUUCGCCUUUUGUUCCUGAAUGCGUGAUCCAUCCAAGCUUGUUGACAUGGCUUUUGUUGAUGAAUGACUGAGACAGGUUUUCUCAUUCAUUAGGCUGCUCUAAGGAUAUCCGUAUUUGAACUAACUCAACGCUUUCUUUCAUGUCGAUUCCUUGCAUGGACUUUCUCAGCAAGAUGAAGUUAGUGAAACCCUUUCACUGGCAUUGAUCCUGCUGCCCUCGAGCUGUUCAUUGGCGCUGGCCGGUGCAAUGGUGGUGAGGGAAAGGAUGGGGAUUUGUCUUUAUGGUGAAUUGCUCUUGACUACUGCUACUUGUCUUCGAUGUUUCAAUUUGUAUUUUGUACUUGUGAUGAUCUUUAUCGCACAAGUCCAUUUAGGGCAUAAUCUCUUGCCGUCUUUGCAUUUUUUUCUCUUUUUGUUUUGGACGUGUUGGAUUGUGGACAUCUUGUUAUGUAGAUGUCGGAUUGCAGUCAGUGUGGUUGUACCAGCUUUGAUGGGAUGAUUGAAUGAAAUUCCAGCUAGCGAUUUUUUUCUUUUUUUGCAUCCAUUUUCCAUUUUUUUGCAUGCAUGCUUCUGAAAUGGAUCAUUUUGGAUAUUCUGUCAGGUUGCACUAGCCACAAGUUUAAUAGAGGAUUGAUCAUCAAAAGUUGUUUGUCUAGUUGUCCAAAAGAUCGUAUGUUUAUCACGAAAGCAUGGUGCUUGGUAUUUUAUUCUGAGGAAAAACUGACUCUCCGUUUUCACUUUACGUAUCAAAUCCUUAUCAAGGUUUUGUACUUUUUUGCGGUAGAGGUUUGGAACUUUCUACAGUUUGUGUAGAGUUCAGUAUCUGAACUUUGUACAAGAUUAGUAAAGCUUUACACAUCGAGUUUUUUUUUCUGGAACCAACUUUGUUGUGUUUUCUAAAGUGAUAAGACGAAGUGGAAUUGGUAGAGUGACACGACUCGUCAAAUUUGCUUUAAGGCAUCAAGAACUGUAAUCCAAAAACAAGAAGUUUAACCAUUUCACUUAAUUUUAAUGAGUUUACUGAUGUUUGAUGACAGACAUGCAGAGACGGUGAGAGCGAGGUCUUUUAUUUUCUAGAUCAUGGAAGAACAUAUAACUUUUCUCCUUUGUGUGAGUGAGUGGUACUAGUAACUGGUGAGGUCAACUAGCAGGCAAAUGUUCAAUGCUCUCUUUUCUGAUGAAGGUUGUUCUUAACUAACUCUGAAUUACAUGGAGGAUCGGCUGCCUGCCUUUGAUAAAUCAUGCAUCUGAAUUAUCCAAAUUCGAUCCAACCUGAAGAUUGAAUGUGAUGAAGUGGGGGAACAUAGGAGCUGUAAAUGUAAUUAGCUUGCACUGAUCAACUAGGUUAUUUGGGCAUCCGGUGUUGAACUAGCUAGCCAGAGCCGUAAGGAGAAUGAUGUGAAGAUGACACACACAUCCAAUCUCAAGUUUUCGGGUUUGUGCUCGUGUUGUAUAUUUUGCUUUCCAUCAAGAAAAAAUUGUGGUAUAGGAUAAUAGAAUGGAAAUAAAUAAAAGGAAUAGACACUUGCAACAUCUAAGACCAUACCCACCACACGAAUUGUGUGUGUUAUAGCUAGUUCAGGAGAUGACAGUACUGCCAGCUUCUCCUUUGUUCUAGGACAAGAUUUCAAUCCUCUGGUUUGAGGCAUCUUUGCUGCAACUGCUCAAAGGACAUAUAGACAAGGUGAAGAACUACAUAAAGUUGCAACGCAAAAUUAACUAUGCAUAUAUCUAUAUGUUCUCCUUUUCUUCCUGCAUGCAUGAUCCAAGUGUGCCGACAUGCCUUUUGUUGCUGCACCUGCAUGACCGAGAUUAUUUCCCAAUUAUGAUGUCUGAACAUGACUUUUCUCUUAUGCCAAAAUUCAGUUCAAACGAUCCAUGGGUUUCAUCAUUAUGCCAUACUUAUUUUUAAAUUAGUUCACCAAUAUAUACCAUGGAGCACUAGUGAGACCCUUUCUUUCCGGCCUACCAGUACCUUGCCUAGCCUUUCCGUUGAUUCAUUAAGAAGACUGGUCUCUUUUAUGCUGAAACUAGACGCAAAACCAUAGAACUUUCUUUUUCUUUUUCAAAAAGGAGGAAGACCCACGGCCUCUGCAUCAUGUGAUGCACACAGCCAUUUAGAACUAGAAACUGGUAAGUUACUUUCAGUUAACUAGCUAGUGGUUUCCGAGAAGUUCAAGAGGAAACUCAUGUCUUUCUUCGAGAAAUAAGUGAACUUGAGAAAAAUUGACCAACACGUUUAUAAAAGAACAGAGCAACCAUAAUUGCCGAUGUGGUUAGACAAUGGCAUGUAGUACUUGGAAUCAGACUCACACCAAUCAAAAGGGUCUCAAAUCUCUAAGCAUUAAGAUUUUUCAGAUAGUCCUAGCUUGGCUUGGUUUUAGUUCAAUCCAAAUUUAACAAUAGCGCUAAUGUACUUAUAUUAAUAUUAUUGCAGUACAUGAUAAUUAAUUAAUGCAUGAGGUUGUGGUUGUGACCAGGCAAGACCAACUUAUGAACUUGCAAGCAUGGCAUUCAGAUUGAUGUGCAGACAACGCCAACAUCAACAUUGUCUAGAUAAAGAUUAAUUUGUAUUUUAUUCCAUAUUUUAAACAGCUACUUUGGNNNNNNNNNNNNNNNNNNNNNNNNNNNNNNNNNNNNNNNNNNNNNNNNNNNNNNNNNNNNNNNNNNNNNNNNNNNNNNNNNNNNNNNNNNNNNNNNNNNNNNNNNNNNNNNNNNNNNNNNNNNNNNNNNNNNNNNNNNNNNNNNNNNNNNNNNNNNNNNNNNNNNNNNNNNNNNNNNNNNNNNNNNNNNNNNNNNNNNNNNNNNNNNNNNNNNNNNNNNNNNNNNNNNNNNNNNNNNNNNNNNNNNNNNNNNNNNNNNNNNNNNNNNNNNNNNNNNNNNNNNNNNNNNNNNNNNNNNNNNNNNNNNGCGACUAAUAAAAUUUUGACCUCUUUUACAAAAAAAGUGGGUUGUCUAGAUAUGCAACUAGAUGAACAAUAUAUAUGACAAUCUUAAGAAGUAACAAGUGCAAGAAAGAGUAAAACACAAGAUAUAAACUUGCAUAACCGAAAUAAUCACAAGUGGAGUCGUGGAGACUGGGAUGUGUUUUCGAAGUUCCCUGCUUUGAAGAGGUACGUAAAUAAUAGAUGGUGUGCUUUUGUUUGUGCUCCACAUGGUGGCAAUUUUAAAUUCAUAUGUUUGUCUCUUCAUUUAUAUAGAAAAAAUAGCAUGUAAAUUUUUAAUCCACAUUUCUUGCCAUCAUGGUACAGAUGCAAAAUUGCCAUGAACUUUUUCUUUUUUGCCAUCAAAAAUUACACAAACAAUAAUUCCCCCAACAACAACAAUUACCGCAACAACAAUUGCGCCAACAACAAAAGUUCCCCCAACUGCAACAAUUCCCCAAGCAACCACAACAACAAUUUCCCAUACCAUACCCACCCCAACAACCAUUCCCCCAGCAACAACAACCUUCCCCACACCAACAACCAACUGGGAGCGAUGUUAUAAGUAUCAGUGGCCGAUGAAAUGAAGAGAUGUAAUACUAGACGGGUGAAUCAUCGUUGUUAGUCAAUUGAGCAUUUAAUGUAACAAUGAUAAAUAAAGUGAUGUGCACCAUCAUGUGUAACCCCGACCUAUACUAGUUCAAACAUGGGGUAAAAGACAAAUAAGUUCUUUUCUAAAGCACAUUGCUGGCAAUUGUUACAUUCAUGCCAUAUUUCGAUUUUCAUCCCUAACUACAAUCUCAAUGUUAUGCGCUAUCUACUUAUUUAUGAAGUGUAGUAUUAUGAACAUAACAUAUUAACGUGUGUGAAACUUGGUUCAAAUUGAUGUACUAUUAACUCGGGAGUAAGGAUUAAUGACAAUUUAAUAUUUCAAUGGAGAGCCACAUGAGUUGUGCAACCUUCUUAUCUGACAUGGAUCUACAUCAAACUAGGUGUUAAUGUUCUCCACAAACUCCAUGUCAGAUUUCAUUGUUCAUUUAUAGUGAGAAUAAUUGAUUACUUAUGCACUUUUCGCCUUUGAUGUUCCACUCACAAAAUAAGUUUAACUACCAACUAUCUCCAAAAACAAUCUUAGCGGGACAAAAAGUAUCCUCUGACAAAUCACGACCCAUCAAACAAGGUUCAAAUUUGAAGGAAAAUGACCCCUUCAACUUGAGUCAAACAAAUAAUUUGCAUACAAUCAACCGAAAUCAUUAUGGGCUUCUUCAGCCCUCCACUCGAUACACACCUACGCAGGGAGUCCACCAUUGCCGCUACCGAACAACAUUUUUGGAGGCGCACAUUAUCACCCAUAAACACAAAAUAAAUCAAAACGCAAUACAAGCCUAAAAGCGGUCAGUUCCUAGGGCCAGAAAAAGCUUGUUGACCUGCAAUUGCACAUGGUUUAUUUUUCACCUAUUUAAGUAUGAGUAUAAAUCCCACAGGGAAUACAUGAAUUGGACUUUGUCCCUAAGAGACACUUAUGGUAAUGUGCCUGCAUAUUAGUUUUUGACACAAAGCAAAGUGAACGCCAAAGAUUAUAAUGACUUCUGAGUUUAGUGCGAACAAAAGUAAAUAAUGCAAAAGAAUUAAAACAGCGCAGCGGAACGAAUAAAGCAGGGAAACCGGUGGAGGAUUGAAGCAUUCUCAAGGACUCCAUAAUUCCCAUUGCAGUGUGUCUAAGGUAACAUAUGCCACUUCAUAAUUCUAAGCUAGAUACUUGAGUCACUCUUGACAUUUGUUAUUGGGCGUAUCCGGGUACAAAAUACGUUCUACUCGAGGUGUACUCCGUACCACGAAGGCCACCACAGAAGCUUCCCCACUCUAGUUCUCACUGCGGUAAUUAAGGGUUUCCCCGUGGAAGCGGCCUUAUCAAGGGUUCUCCGUUAUGCCCCUAUCAGUUGCAAAGGCGAGGUAAAGAGUCUUUUACACUCACCUUGAAUUACCUCAACAUCCUAACCUUUACAACCAUGGUAAUAUGCCUCGUGGCCUUGCGACAGAAAUGGUGAGUGGGGCACCUUCACAAAAUUCAUGAAGGCUAUUGAAAAAAACAUUCAACAGAGAAUAUCACAUCCUUAUUAACAUUUCAGCCUCCUAUACAUACCAUGGUUCAUCCAAAUCCCUGAGAACUGAGGAAACUACUCACACGUUGAGACAUGGAUGAAACAUCGGAUAAUACAUGUAUGGAUCGUACGAAUAGUGGAAAUAGUGGUGGUAAACAUGGUUUAAACACACGGAUAAUACAUGUAUGGAUCCACAAGGUUUCGGUAUUACAAUGGGAAGGAGAUGGAUGAUGCUGACGUCCCCUUGCACGAGCUGGUGGUGAUAGUGAUCUCCUCCUUUCCUUAAAUCUGCAAGCACAUUUAAAACAACAUCUUGGAGAGAACAGGAAAAAAGAAUUGUGCAGACGCGGUAAAAGCUAGCAAAUUUUACUGUGUAGGCGGGCUUGUGAUGGCUGUGGCAGUGUGGAUCUGACUACCGAGUUGUGACAAGUUGUGUGGGGCGAUGGUGGAGGUCCUCCCUCUUCUGAGCGUGAUAUCUGGCGACGGUGGGUUUCGACAGUCCCUCUCACGGGUGUGGAGGCGGGUCAAGGGGCGGUGAGUGUUGGCCGUGGUUUAGGCUGGCACUGGCGGAUCUGGGCAGGGGGAUUCAAUGGAGAGGCGGGGCUGGCAUUGGUGCGACUUCUCAGCGACUGGAGUUGCCGGCUGUUCGGAGCGCCCCCGCCCCUCUUGAUGGGGUGGCGCCCCCCUCGUGCAUAUGUCGGCAGCGGGUCGGUGAUGCAGACUAGCCGCCGGGCAAGGAGUUUGACAUGGUCGUCCUUGUCGGGGUUAGUUGCUCCCCACACAAGUUUUAGUGCUUAGUCGCCUAGGAUUAGGGUUUUUUGACUCUGGGUCGUUGUCGGUCAAGCCAAGGUGAAUGCUUGCAGCUCUGUUGGGGGAGGCACCUCCACACAUUGUAGUGUCGGUGAUGAUUGGUAGAUGUGGUGGUCAGGGCUAUGAUAUGCCGGCUGGUGGACCAGUGCCUCAGUUCACAGACUUGGCAUCUACGCUGGUCUCGACGAUGGUCGUCGGCAGUCACCUAGCGAGGUGACUGAUGCCGGGCUUUACUUGCUGCGAUUUGUGCAUUGUGAAGCGAGCGGGUCUAGGUGGUGCUCGGUGGUGAUGGUUGUGUUAGCAUUGCAUUCGUGCGCGGAUCAGUGCCGGUGAUCGCAAACAUGGCGUGGUGCGAGCUCGCCUGGCCAAGGGCUCGGUGCUGGCUCACCGGCGGUCCCCCUACUCCACCGACCAUUGGCUGGGGAUGCAGGUGUGGGUGCGUCCUAUGGUGGAGGUGCCCAACCAAACUCUUGGACUGAGUCUGGGCUAGGAGUAGAUGGAGUGUCGUCGCUCUUCCUACCAUGGUUGGCUACGUUGUCAUGUGAGCGGCGUAUGGUAUUUCGCAACAAGGAUGCCGGGUUGGCGGCCCCUGAUGGCGGGCCGCAUGAUUGCUCUUUGGCAGCCAUUAUUUCGUUGGUGGUGGCUCCCCUCCUGGGUUGUGGGGGCAACGGGAGGUGUUGCGGUUAGUAGCUCAGACGUGCCCUCUCUCUCGGAGGGGCAGCGUCCUGAUCAAGAUCUGGGGAUCUAACAUCAACGCGCUAGUCCUGAGGACCUCGUGGUGGCACAGGUGAGUUGUCGAGCAAAAGCUCCGUGCCUUGGCGUCGCCGCUGACGACACUCAUGGGUGCCACACUCUUCUUGAAGACGUCGUUGUGGUUCUUCUCUCCGUGUCAGGGCUCCGGGUGUAGAACUUUGUCUGGUGUGGACUCAGCAGGGGCGACGCUGUGCGGAGUUCUCCCACUUGGGGCCGUUGUCGUGGAGCUUAGGUGUGCUAGGUCGUAGCGUGAGGAUGUUUUGUUCUUCCGGUGCUUGUUGCUGGUAGCGUAGAAGCGUGCGUUUUGCAUGUGCCGGACAACUCAGGACCGACUUUGUAAGGUCUACGUGACCAUAUUGUAUCGUUUGGCCGUGUGCAUCUUUGGAUGUUGCUUUGUUUAUAAAGCGGGGCAAAAGCCUAUUUCGAGAACAACGAAAACAACAGCAACAACAAACAAAUCAACAACUUCAGAAUAGUUUAUCUUUUAAAAUUUCACUUGCUUAAUAAACUACAUGCAUAGGACUUUCUACAGUGUUUUAGAGAAGGACAACUACGAUUUGCUAGCUAGCUAGUUAGGUAUUUCAACACAACAUCAACAGGAAGGAGGAGAAGAACUGUUAACAGCCAGGCAGGCAGGUGGAGAGUGGAUGUGUGAGAGUGAGGUCUCUCUGGCUUUUUCCUGUAUGGUACCCCUACUUCCUUCGCUGACAAAGACCUGUUCUGAAUCUGUAAUACUGAUUCACAGUAAUGAUGGUGGAUCGACUAUAUCUUGACUAAUCCAUGUACAACGAAAAUUACUACGUACAUGAUUAAAAAUCCAAGGGUCAAAUCCUGAUCAAUCGAUCCGGCAAAUUCUGCACGAAUCUAGCAUGACAUCAUGUGUGAUUAACAAGAGUUUCAAUUAUAAUUAGCCUCCGAGAAGCAACAUGGAGGAGGAUGUAGUCGUGUUUUUGGCCUUGUUAGAAACUUCGCUUUCCAUCAAUCUGAAAACAAGUGGUAGAGGGCAAAAAAAUUAAAAAAAACAUGUGUAGAGGAUACCGCAACACAUAAAGCCACACACACAAAAACAGCAGUAUGCUAGCUGGUCCAUGACAUUGACAAAUCAAUUGAUUUGCUGCAACCAUAUGUAUGAAUAAUAUCGCCAAGGAUAAGAGAAGGAAAAAAUAUAAAUAUACCGAUAGGCUCUUCUUUUGUUCAUGGAUGCAUGUUGCAUGAGCCAAGUGUAUUGGCAGUAUGGCUUGUGUUUGCUGCAUGAUGGCGGCAGGUUCCCAUUCAGUUAGGCAUGCUAAGUCCUAAAUUCAUUUAUUCACGUAUCAGGUAGAAGUAGAACAAAUUUCAUUUCUUUUCUGUAGGUUCCUUGCUUAAAAGAAAAUAGAAAAAAAUACACUUCUAUAAUUACCAGAAAAAAUCAACUGUAUGUCGCUCAGCCUUCCCUUUUUGUUCCGUAUCAGUAUCAACAAUCAUAGUACUAAUAGCUUUCUAUACUGGCGGUAGUAAAUUCAAUAAAAGAAACCUGGAGACUAUCUGAACAAUUUGAAACAAUAUAUACAAAUUGAGAUCAACUAACGACAAAAAUCCAAAAGAAAUGUUCAUGUCUACGUGGAGUGAAUCGAUCAAGCCGUGCAAAGCCCUAACAAUUCGUUUUGUAUUAAUAACUCAUAUGACAAUACAACCGCUCCAUAUGAAAAUGUAAUAUGAUGAUUCAUGAAUGCUUAUCCAUCUUAUAAAUAUAUUGUGCAAAAAAUAUCGAGUUAGUUCAGAGAAAACGCUGUCUAGAACAAUCUUCACAUUAAUAGUGUGAUCUAUCUCAACGACUCACACAAGAUUACAUAGUUUGUUCCCUUAAGUAUGCCAAUCUGGAUACGCCUAACAAUAUGUAGAACAUGACAAACUAAAUCAGAACAAGGGACAAAAUCUAGAUCAAUGUUUGAAGUGUAAAGUGAAUACGAUGAGUCAUUUGUCGUUAUCAAGCAUUCCAUACACCUAGAUGAUAUGUGCAAGAACAAUCAACUAUGACGAAUAAUCCAAAAUCACGAUAGUAAGUAGUACCAUAAAACACGACAUACCAAAUUAUUGUAAAUGAUAAGCUUAAGAGCACUUUUUCAAGAAGCACGUGUAAAGAUUACAAACUUAGUUCCCUUAAGUUAUGCCAAUCUGGAUACACCUAACAACAUGUAGAACAUCACAAACUAAAUCGGAAAGACGGACAAAAUCUAGAUCAAUGUUUGAAGUGUAAAGUGAAUACGAUGAGUCAUUCAUCGUGAUCAAGCAUUCGAUACAGCCAGAUGAUAUGUGCAAGAACAAUCAACUAUGAUGAACAAUCCAAAAUCAUGCUAGGAAGUAGUGCCACCAAACACAACAUAUCAAAUUAUUAGGUCGAUAAUCGUAAGUGCACUUUUUCAAGAAAAGAGUGGGAAGAUGAAAACAAAAUAUGUCAUGCCUGCUAUAAAUACGACUACACCAUGUGGGUCUCUUCCAUCAUCUAACCUUCAAACACCUAAAGCAAAAACACCAAAGCCAAGUGAGCAAUAGUAAACACAAAUCAAACAUGAAGACCUUCAUCAUAUUUGUCCUCCUUGCUAUGGUGAUGAGCAUCGCCAGUGCCACUAGGCAACUAAGCCCUAGAAGCAAGGAGUUGCAAACACCACAAGAACAAUUCCCCCAACAGCAAUUUCCUCAACCACAACAAAUCCUCCAACAACAAUUCCCCCAACAACAACAAAUCCCCCAGCAACCGCAACAAUUCCCCCAACAACAAAUCCCGCAACAGCAAAUCCCGCAACAACAAAUCCCCCAACAACAACNNNNNNNNNNNNNNNNNNNNNNNNNNNNNNNNNNNNNNNNNNNNNNNNNNNNNNNNNNNNNNNNNNNNNNNNNNNNNNNNNNNNNNNNNNNNNNNNNNNNNNNNNNNNNNNNNNNNNNNNNNNNNNNNNNNNNNNNNNNNNNNNNNNNNNNNNNNNNNNNNNNNNNNNNNNNNNNNNNNNNNNNNNNNNNNNNNNNNNNNNNNNNNNNNNNNNNNNNNNNNNNNNNNNNNNNNNNNNNNNNNNNNNNNNNNNNNNNNNNNNNNNNNNNNNNNNNNNNNNNNNNNNNNNNNNNNNNNNNNNNNNNNNNNNNNNNNNNNNNNNNNNNNNNNNNNNNNNNNNNNNNNNNNNNNNNNNNNNNNNNNNNNNNNNNNNNNNNNNNNNNNNNNNNNNNNNNNNNNNNNNNNNNNNNNNNNNNNNNNNNNNNNNNNNNNNNNNNNNNNNNNNNNNNNNNNNNNNNNNNNNNNNNNNNNNNNNNNNNNNNNNNNNNNNNNNNNNNNNNNNNNNNNNNNNNNNNNNNNNNNNNNNNNNNNNNNNNNNNNNNNNNNNNNNNNNNNNNNNNNNNNNNNNNNNNNNNNNNNNNNNNNNNNNNNNNNNNNNNNNNNNNNNNNNNNNNNNNNNNNNNNNNNNNNNNNNNNNNNNNNNNNNNNNNNNNNNNNNNNNNNNNNNNNNNNNNNNNNNNNNNNNNNNNNNNNNNNNNNNNNNNNNNNNNNNNNNNNNNNNNNNNNNNNNNNNNNNNNNNNNNNNNNNNNNNNNNNNNNNNNNNNNNNNNNNNNNNNNNNNNNNNNNNNNNNNNNNNNNNNNNNNNNNNNNNNNNNNNNNNNNNNNNNNNNNNNNNNNNNNNNNNNNNNNNNNNNNNNNNNNNNNNNNNNNNNNNNNNNNNNNNNNNNNNNNNNNNNNNNNNNNNNNNNNNNNNNNNNNNNNNNNNNNNNNNNNNNNNNNNNNNNNNNNNNNNNNNNNNNNNNNNNNNNNNNNNNNNNNNNNNNNNNNNNNNNNNNNNNNNNNNNNNNNNNNNNNNNNNNNNNNNNNNNNNNNNNNNNNNNNNNNNNNNNNNNNNNNNNNNNNNNNNNNNNNNNNNNNNNNNNNNNNNNNNNNNNNNNNNNNNNNNNNNNNNNNNNNNNNNNNNNNNNNNNNNNNNNNNNNNNNNNNNNNNNNNNNNNNNNNNNNNNNNNNNNNNNNNNNNNNNNNNNNNNNNNNNNNNNNNNNNNNNNNNNNNNNNNNNNNNACAACAAUUCCCCCAACAACCACAACAACAAUUCCCCCAACAACAAUUUCCCAUACCAUACCCACCCCAACAACAAUCACAAGAAGCUUCCCCAUACCAACAAUACCACAACAACAACUAUCUGGGAGCGACGUUAUAAGUAUCAGUGGCCGAUGAAAUGAAGAGAUGUAAUACUAGACAGGUGAAUCAUCGUUGUUAGUCAAUGGAGCAUAAUGUAACGGGUAUAAAUAAAAUGAUGUGCACCAUCAUGUGUAACCCCGACCUGUACUAGUUCAAACAUGGGAAUAAAAGACAAAUAAGUUCUUUUCUGAAGCACAUUGCUGGCAAUUGUUAUAUUCAUGCCAUAUUUCGAUUUCCAUCGCUAACUACAAUCUCAAUGUUAUGGUCUAUCUACUUAUUUAUGAAGUGUAGUACUAUGAACAUAACAUAAUUAACAUGUCUGAAAAUUGGGUCAAAUUGAAGUACUAUUAAUUCAAGAGUAAGGAGUAAUUACAAUUUAACAUUUCAAUGGAGAGCUCUAAUUGUAGACUGCGUUGUUAAUUCCCCGAAGAGGAGAGGAUGAUGUAGUAUAGUAGAGAUAAGUAUUUCCCUCAGCUAAGAACCAAGGUUAUUAAUCCAGUAGGAGAACCACACAAAACCUCGUUAGCAGCACCUGCACACACAACAGCAAACACUUGCACCCAACGCAAAUAAGAGGGUUGUCAAUCCUCUUAGCGAUUAUUUGCAAGGAUUAGUUCUGACAGUGAUACAUAGAUAAAAUAAAUUACUAAAUAAAAUAAAAAUAAAUAAAUUGCNNNNNNNNNNNNNNNNNNNNNNNNNNNNNNNNNNNNNNNNNNNNNNNNNNNNNNNNNNNNNNNNNNNNNNNNNNNNNNNNNNNNNNNNNNNNNNNNNNNNNNNNNNNNNNNNNNNNNNNNNNNNNNNNNNNNNNNNNNNNNNNNNNNNNNNNNNNNNNNNNNNNNNNNCAGAGUUUUCACUAGAGGAUUCUCUCUUGAUCAUAGAGCAUAUGGUGGGUAAACACAUUACUGUUGGGCAAGCUAUUAUAUACUAAAAGGAAAAUAUUGGUCCAAAAUAGAGAAUAGGCUAGAAAAUCCGGCGUUAAUUAGAAAAUAUGAACCCUUGAUCCGUUUAAUUUUAAAAAUUAUAAAUCUAUGACCGUUCAAUAUACGUAACAAGGUAGGGCGUGGAUAACUUCCCGCGUAACGUGACACAUGUAAGAAACACAAACAUGGGUCCAGUUAAGGCAAACACGUAGAUGUGUUGAAGUGGGAAUGAAUAGAAUUGCUACGUCCGAAUAUGCAAGAGAUAUAAAAGAAGAAGAAAACUAAAGAACAUGUCGUGUUCAGAUUGGACUAAACGUAUGUGCGUAUACAACCACAACCACAAUCCGAAAGGUCCAGCCAUUAAUCCCGUGGGUCCAUCCAAAACAAAAGGUGGAUAUCCAUCUAAUUGCCCCACGUCCAUGGAACAUACUUAUUAGAGUCCACAAACAACAGCUGCUGGUCUCUUUUACAUGAUCCUCCUUGCACUGUUAGGACUUUGCCGUCGGACAUCCCAAAGUUCUUGUGAAGUUCACAUCUAAAAAUACUAUCAUAAUAAAAAAAAUCCAUUUCAUACUCCAGGAAAGAUAUCACCGUCCCAAAGUUUCAAUUGCAAUCUAAGUUUUGCCACAACUGGGUAUUUAAAGCUUAUUUUGCCAUAGCCAGGCAAUUUCAGCCACUAAGGUUUUUGUGGCAGAUCAAGCAUCUUCCCAUUGGAAACUCCCAACUGUAAAAAGACCAGCAAAUUAGCAAUCAUUGGCAAAUCAGCAAUCUUAUAGCGGCAGCAGCUCCCAUCAAUCAGGCAACUCAUCUUUCAAAAAUCAGAGACAAUAAGCAACCAUACACAUCAUGGACAUAUGAUAUUAACGAUAAUUACAUAUGUGAUUUCUGUGUUGAAUUUCGUACAACAUCACCAUGAAGAGAAGCGCAUCCACAUGGCAAGUAAUUUCCAAAAGCCGCCAAGAAGGUGAAAAGCAAUCAAAUAUGCAAUCCAACAAGUUAAUUAUUAAGCUAUAGACCAUGCAUGUUUCAGUGGUGCAUACAAGAUCAGUAGAACAAAUUCCUAGCCGUUACGACAUUCAUCAGGGAGGCGAGGACUGUGAAGCGAGGGGUUGCGAGCUGGAGGGAAUGGCGGCACACCCCGUGUCUCAGCCGAGAGAGGAGAGGCCGGGGAUAGAAUUAAGAGAGACACGAGAGAUGACAGAUGAUAGGCUAGGGAUCGUUGGGCGUUCUCACAUAUUGCGUGGAGGUGGUUAGCUAAAUGGGGCAGCACAAAGGCCCAGUCAACCGCAGGUGGCAGAGUUUUCUCCCAGUGCAGCAGCCCUUUAGGACAGUUGAGCCAAGAAAUAUAAUUACAAAAUUAGGGAUUCAUCCAAUAGUCAGAAAUGAUCUAUACAAGUGAUCUGAUAGUUACAAAUGUUGAAUGCUUGAGAGAGCUGGGAUAAGGCUAGGUUUUACUGUCCUAAAUGUAUUAGAUAUGUAGAAUCUGACAGUUAUUAAAGUUUAAUUGUCCUUCGAAACAAACUAUGGCUAAUCACCACUACGCUAAUUACUUUUUACAAUUGUUGAACAUGAAUGGGGGUUAGGGGGGCGUAACACUGCUGAUGAGGGUCCCAACCCCGAAAAAGGUGGAGGGUGCAUGAUCAAAUUAACAUCUAACACUAACAUGCAAUACCUUUUAAGUUCUUAUAUUGAUUCAAUCGCAAAAGGGAGAAAUGAAACAAAAGUAGGCAGCGGGACCUGGAAGUCAACAGAGGAAACAGAAGGGUAUGCUCAUCGUGUGGAAUCGUUUGUGGGGGCGAGCUGAGUAAACAGAGGAAGGUGAUCGAAUGACGUCUCAGGUUUAUUUGUUUACUGAACAGACAGACAUGUGUAAGUUUUUUUUCCCUUUGAGGGGAAAGACGUGUGUAACUAGGGAGAGAUGAUUUUGCACGUUCUGUAUUUUUUUCCACCAGAAAACAGAUACUACUUUAACAAAUAAAUCCUACACUAAAUAUUUUAUAUGCUGCAAAUUACAGGCCACAUACGCAUGAGCCUAAAUUAUAGGCGACUAUUUCAUAGGGUGAAAGUAAACAAAAUAGAAAAUCUUAUAGGCGACAUAAGCAUGAACCUAAAUUAUAUAUUUUAUAUGCUGCAAAUUAUUUUAAAAACAUGUGAAAAUAUAGUGCAUGAUCAUCAGACCAAAAACUCUAGCCUGUACAAAACACUCAUAUUUAGACGUAUAUUUCAUAUGGAGCUGCCAAUUCAUAUCAAUCCGGCACUACAACAGUAACACUAUCGUGCAGCCGCUUAAGUCAAAUCUAAGGUUAAAGCUAAUCAACACAAAAUAUCCAAUGUAAAAGGAAUUACUUAUACUAAAAAAUAUAAAAUAUACCUAAGAGUGCGAACAAUGACGAAUAUUUACUAUAAGAGUGCUAGCCCUCGCAUUUGCGAGGGCCACCUUGCUAGUUGAUAAAAAACAAAUAAUUAUGAUGGAUUCAUGGCAAUGAUCAUGUAUAUAGGCAUCACGUUCGAGACAAGUAGACCGACUCCCGUCUGCAUCUACUACUAUUACUCCACCCAUCGACCACUAUCCAGCAUGCAUCCAGAGUAUUAGGUAUAAAACAGAGUGACGCCUUAAGUACGAUGACAUGAUGUAGAUAAAGUAAAUUCAAGAAAUAUGAUUAAACCCCAUCUUUUUAUCCUUAAUUGUCAGCCCAUUGGCUGUUAUUUUCCCCGAUCUGACCGUCCGCGACGCUCCUGUUGUUCGCAACGCUACCGCUACGACUGCGGGAGCAUGUCAUUUUCGUUAUACAUGUAACCCAAAAAUAUCUCUAACAUUAAUGACAACAAUACAAAUACGUGUUAUGUCCGUUUUUGUCACUGGGAUUGAGCAAUGCAAGAUUGAAUCCAUCACAAAGCACCUCUCCCCAUUGCAAGAUAAACCAAUCUAGUUGGCCAAACCAAAUCGAUAGAUCAGGGAGAAAUAUAAAGCUAAAAUAAUCACGCAUAAAAGAGCUCAGAGAAGACUCAAAUAUUUCUCAUGAAUCAUAUGAUCAUAAACUCACGAUUCAUUGGAUCCCAACAAACACACCGGAAAAGAAGAUUACAUCGGAUAGAACUCCAAGAACAUCGGGGAUAACUUUGUAUUGAAUAUCAAAGAGAGAGAAGAAGCCAUUUAGCUAUUGGCUAUGGACCCAUAGGUGUGUGGUAAAAUACUCACACAUCAUCGGAAGGACAGCAUUGUUUAUGUGGAAGCCCUUCGUGAUCGAUUCCCCCUCCGGCAGAGUACUGGAAAAGGCCUCCAGACGGGAUCGCGGAAGAACAGAGGCUUGCGGCGGCGAAAAAGUUUUGUCAUCUAUCUCUCUGGUGGUUAUGGAAUAUUUGUGAAUUUAUAGUGGAAGAAUUAGGUCAGGAGGUGCCACGAGGGGGCCAUAAGCCUAGGGGCGCGGUGAUACGUCCAUUUUGCAUCAUGUUUUAUUACGGUUAUUUAUUAAGUUUUGAGCCAAUAUAACACUUCAUGGAGUAUUUCUAAUGCCUUUUCUCUCUUAAUCUGCAAGGUUUACACAAAGAGGGAGAAUACCGGCAGCUGGAUUUCAGGGCCUGAAAAAGCUACAUCAGAGAUCCCUAUUCUGCACAUCUCCAAAUGGGCUGAAAAUUCACGAAGAUUUAUUUUAGAAUAUAAAAAAAAUACUGGGCCAAAGAUCCACGGGAGGAGGCCACCCAGGUGCCCACACAACAAUAGGGCGCGCCCCACCCCUGGGGCGCGCCCUGAUGCUGUAUGAGGCCCCUGGCCCACUUCAGCCCCCCUCCUUCUGGUAUAUAAGUCAUUUUACCAUAAAAUAUUUAUGGGGAGACUUUCAGGACGAGGCGCCGCCGCCACGAGGCGGAACUAGAGCAGGAGAAAUUUGGCUCUCCGGCGGGCAGAUUCCGCCGGGGAUACUUCCCUCCGGGAGCUGGAAAUCAAAGCUUACGCCAUCACUAACAACCCUCUCAUCGUGGGAGGGCCAAUCUUCAUCAUCAUAAACCACAACACCAUCUCAUCUCUAUCCCUAGUUCAUAUCUUGUAUUCGAUCUCUGUGUCAAAACAUUAGAUUGGUACUUGUGUUUGACUAGUAGUGUUGAUUACUUAUCGUAGUUGAUGCUAGUGGAUUUGUUUGGUGAAUUACCAAAUGUUCUGAUCGUGCAUCCAAAUUAUAUCCUCUCUGAUCAUGAACAUGAUGAUGAUGUGUGAGUAGUUACUUUUAUUCUUGAGGACAUGGGAGAAGUCUUGUCAUUAGUAAUCAUGUGAUUCCACUGGUAGAAAACUGGGCUUUGGUCACAGGGCAAUAUUCACAUUAGUCCCGGUGCAGUCACGAACGGGGACUAAUGUGAGCAUUGGUCCCGGUUCGUGCGGCCAGGGGCCUGCCGGGCCUCGUGGGGGCAUUGGUCCCGGUUCGUCCGGCCCCUUUGGUCCCGGUUGGUGGGACAAACCGGGACCAAUGGGCCACGCUCCUGGCCCACCACCCUUUAGUCCCGGUUCAUACCACAAACCGGGACUAAAGGGCUGGUCCUAGUUGCGGCCAGUGUUUAGUCCCUCCUCGCCAACCGAAGGGCGCUCACACCAGUUUAUAAGCCCGUCCCUCUCUGCCUUGUUGAGCUUCUCUUAAAGUGAAAAUAGAUGCCCUUAUACAGGGAAUUUGACCUAAAUUCACAGUAAAUUUCAUAGAAAUUUGUUAUGAAUUUAGGUUUAAUUUUCUCUAUAAGCGCAUCUAUGUUCAUUUUUUAUAUUUAUAAAAUAAAUAAACAUUAAUAAAAUAAAUAAAACUAAAUAAACCUUAAUAAAAUAAAAUAAAAUAAACUAUAGUAACUACAAUAAAUAAACCUUAAUAAAUUAAGUAAAAAUAGCAGCAGUAAAAUAAAUAAAAAUAGCAGCAGUAAAAUAAAUAAAAAUAAAAUAAUUAAAGUAAAAUACAUAAGUAAUUAUAAAUAAAAUAAAUAAGUUUUUUGUUGUAAGUAGAACAAAACAAAACAAAUAAAGCAAAAGAGAAAAAAAACAGAGGAACAAAAUUAUGCCACCUACUGGGCCACCACGGCCUGAAUACGACUAGAAACCCAUCCAUGGGCCAGGAUUCANNNNNNNNNNNNNNNNNNNNNNNNNNNNNNNNNNNNNNNNNNNNNNNNNNNNNNNNNNNNNNNNNNNNNNNNNNNNNNNNNNNNNNNNNNNNNNNNNNNNNNNNNNNNNNNNNNNNNNNNNNNNNNNNNNNNNNNNNNNNNNNNNNNNNNNNNAAAAAAUUAUGCCACCUACUGGGCCACCACGGCCUGAAUACGACUAGAAACCCAUCCAUGGGCCAGGAUUCAGGCCCGCAGAAGGCCCAGUAGGCCCCACAGGCAAAGAGAACAGUUAGGCCCGAAAGCCUGCAGUUGAGAGGAGUUCGAGAGGGUGGGCGCAGCAGCGCUUAUAAACCACUCUCGAGCUCUCUCAACUAGCGAGGUGGGACUAAACUUUUGACGCGGGGCAGCACAAGGCCUUUGGUCCCGGUUGGUGCCACCAACCGGGACUAAAGGAGGCAUUGGUCCCGGUUCGUGGCACCAACCGGGACAAAGGCCUUUAGUCCCGGUUGGUGCCACGAACCGGGACCACCGAGUUCCCUAUAUACCCCAUCGCCACAGCAGAGCACUCCAGAGUGCUCUGUUUUUUCUGGCCGCGAGGGGAGGGCAUUUGGGUGCUCUAGCUCACCUCCUAUGCACAUGAGGUGUUCGAUGAAAUGUCUGAGCCACACUAGUUAAUCUUUGUCCUCUCGAAACUCGACCUCCGAGCUCCAUUUUCCCCGAGAUUUGUCUAGGUUUAGCGGUCCGUCACGUCCCGUCCCCGUCUUCACCGCCGUCGAUCGCCCGCGCCGAUCUCGUCGCCAGCACCACCGUGGUGAGCCUCUUGUUCUUAUCUUCUUUCUGAAAGGAAAAAAAUUCUUACUUUAGAUAGUUACUUGUCUAAUUUUGUUACUUUUAUUAUUCCUUCUUAUUACAUAGUGCGAUGGUUUUGGUAUCCGCCCCCGUCGGCCCUCAUCCUGUCUAUGAUUCGGAUGUGGUAUAUAUUAUCUUUUUAUAACUAUUUGGUUCAUUUACUGUUUAUGACAAAUAUACCGACCAACGUGACAUAGAUUUUAUUUAUCUAGGAGGUGGUUGAACCGGAAAUUCUAACCGACCCUAUUGUUGAGAGGUUAAAUUUAGUUGAAGAAGAAAACAAUUAUUUGAAGGAAAAAAUAAAAAAAAUUGAGGAGGAGAAGAUGAUAUUGGAGUGGCAUGUUGCGGAUGUCGUCGAUGAUCACAAGAUCAAGAUGGAUGCAAUGCGCUUAAAGAUUAGAAAGAUUAGAAAAUAUGCCAUUCAUACUGAGGCUUGGUAUCAUUAUGCCAUUGGAUCAAUUGUUACCUUGGUUGCGAUUAUGAUCGCAUUUGUUUUCGCAUUGAAAUGUUUUACAUAGUUUCAAUGUAUGGUUUAAUUAAUUAGAUGCUCUGGAGAGCUAUAUAUAUGUUGUUAGAUGAGAACUAUGUAUGUACUUUGGUUUUAAUGUGAUGAUGAACUUCUAUUAAUUUGGUCACUUAAUUAUCUAUUCAUGAUGUUCUGUAAUGGUUUUUGACACACUUAAUUAUAUAUAAUGCACGCAGAUGAACCGGCAAUGGAUGUACGAUGACAGACACACCUCCGAGUACAUUAAGGGCGUGCAUGAUUUUCUCGAAGUGGCUGAGGCAAACAAGCAGAAUGGUUUUAUGUGUUGUCCAUGCCCUAUAUGUGGGAAUACGAAGUCUUACUCUGACCGGAAAAUCCUUCACACCCACCUGCUUUACAAGGGUUUCAUGCCACACUAUAAUGUUUGGACGAGGCACGGAGAAAUAGGGCUUACGAUGGAAGACGGUGAAGAAGAAGAGGAUGAUGACAACUAUGUGCCCCCUGAAUACGGUGAUGCUGCAACGGGGGAAGCUGCUGAAGAUCAAGAGGAACCAGACGAUGUGCCCAAUGAUGCUGCAAGGGGGGAAGCUGCUGAAGAUCAAGAGGAACCAGUGCCCGAUGAUGAUGAUCUCCGCCGGGUGAUAGUCGAUGCAAGGACGCAAUGCAAAAGUCAAAAGGAGAAGCUGAAGAUCGAUCGCAUGUUAGAGGAUCACAAAAAAGGGUUGUACCCCAAUUGCGAAGAUGGCAACACAAAGCUCGGUACCGUACUGGAAUUGCUGCAGUGGAAGGCAGAGAAUGUUGUGCCUGACAAAGGGUUUGAGAAGCUAUUGAAAAUAUUGAAGAAGAAGCUUCCAAAGGAUAACGAAUUGCCCGACAGUACAUACGCAGCAAAGAAGGUCGUAUGCCCUCUAGGAUUGGAGGUGCAGAAGAUACAUGCAUGCCCUAAUGACUGCAUCCUCUACCGCGGUGCGUACAAGGAUCUGAACGCAUGCCCGGUAUGCGGUGCAUUGCGAUAUAAGAUCAGACGAGAUGACUCUGGUGAUGUUGACGGCGAGCCCCCCAGGAAGAGGGUUCCUGCGAAGGUGAUGUGGUAUGCUUCUAUAAUACCACGGUUGAAAUGUCUGUUCAGAAACGAAGAGCAUGCCAAGUUGAUGCGAUGGCACAGUGGGGACCGUAAGAAAGACGGGAAGUUGAGAGCACCCGCCGACGGGUCGCAGUGGAGAAAAAUCGAGAGAAAGUACUGGGCUGAGUUUGCAGCUGACCCAAGGAACGUAUGGUUUGGUUUAAGCGCGGAUGGCAUUAAUCCUUUCGGGGAGCAGAGCAGCAAUCACAGCACCUGGCCCAUGACUCUAUGUAUGUAUAACGUUCCUCCUUGGAUGUGCAUGAAGCAGAAGUUCAUUAUGAUGCCAGUUCUCAUCCAAGGCCCUAAGCAACCCGGCAACGACAUUGAUGUGUACCUAAGGCCAUUAGUUGAAGAACUUUUACAGCUGUGGAAUGGAAACGGUGUACGUACGUGGGAUGAGCACAAAAAGGAGGAAUUUAACCUGCACGCGUUGCUGUUUGUAACCAUCAACGAUUGGCCCGCUCUCAGUAACCUUUCAGGACAGACAAACAAGGGAUAGCACGCAUGCACGCACUGUUUAGAUGACACUGAAAGUAUAUACCUGGACAAAAGCAGGAAGAAUGUGUACCUGGGCCACCGUCGAUUUCUUCCGACAAACCAUCAAUGUCGAAAGAAAGGCAAGCAUUUCAAAGGCGAGGCAGAUCAGCGGAAGAAGCCCGCCAUGCGUACCGGUGAUCACGUACUUGCUAUGGUCAAUGAUUUACACGUAAUCUUUUGAAAGGGUCCCGGCGGACUAGCUGUUCCGAAUGACGCUGAGGGACACGCACCCAUCUGGAAGAAGAAAUCUAUAUUUUGGGACCUACCCUGCUGGAAAGAGCUAGAGGUCCGCUCUUCAAUCGACGUGAUGCACGUGACGAAGAACCUUUGCGUGAACCUGCUAGGCUUCUUGGGCGUGUAUGGGAAGACAAAAGAUACACCUGAGGCACGGGAGGACCUGCAAUGUUUGCACGAAAAAGACGGCAUGCCUCCGAAGCAGUAUGAAGGUCCUGCCAGCUACGCUCUUACGAAAGAAGAGAAAGAAAUCUUCUUUGAAUGCCUGCUCAGUAUGAAGGUCCCGACUGGCUUCUCGUCGAAUAUAAAGGGAAUAAUAAAUAUGCCAGAGAAAAAGUUCCAGAACCUAAAGUCUCAUGACUACCACGUGAUUAUGACGCAACUGCUUCCGGUUGCAUUGAGGGGGCUUCUACCAGAAAACGUCCGAUUAGCCAUUGUGAAGCUAUGUGCAUUCCUCAAUGCAAUCUCUCAGAAGGUGAUCGAUCCAGAAAUCAUACCAAUGCUAAGGAGUGAUGUGGCGCAAUGUCUUGUCAGUUUCGAGCUGGUGUUCCCGCCAUCCUUCUUCAAUAUCAUGACGCACGUCCUAGUUCAUCUAGUCGACGAGAUUGUCAUUCUGGGGCCCGUAUUUCUACACAAUAUGUUCCCCUUUGAGAGGUUCACGGGAGUCCUAAAGAAAUAUGUCUGUAACCGCGCUAGGCCAGAAGGAAGCAUCUCCAUGGGCCAUCAAACAGAGGAUGUCAUUGGGUUUUGUGUUGACUUCAUUCCUGGCCUUAGGAAGAUAGGUCUCCCUAAAUCGCGGUAUGAGGGGAGACUGACUGGAAAAGGCACGCUUGGAGGGGACUCAAUAAUAUGCAGGGACGGAUAUUGUUGGUCUCAAGCACACUACACAGUUCUACAGAACUCUACCUUGGUGACCCCGUAUGUCGAUGAACACAAGAACAGUCUGCGCUCCAAACACCCGGAGCAGUGUGACGACUGGAUUACAUGUGAACACAUCAGGACUUUCAGCAGUUGGUUGGAAACACGUCUCAUAGGUGACACCACUGUUUGUGUUGAGUUGUACUCAUUGUCCAGGGGACCAUCUUCGACUGUAUUGACUUACAAAGGAUACGAGAUAAAUGGGAAUACAUUUUACACGAUCGCCCAAGAUCAAAAGAGCACCAACCAAAACAGCGGUGUCCGCUUUGAUGCAGCAACCGAGAGGGGAAAGGACACAUAUUAUGGUUACAUAAUGGACAUAUGGGAACUUGACUACGGACAUGAUUUUAAGGUCCCUUUGUUUAAGUGCAAAUGGGUCAAUCUGUCAGGAGGUGGGGUACAGGUAGACCCACAGUACGGAAUGACAACAGUGGAUCUGAACAAUCUUGGGUACACUGAUGAACCGUUCGUCCUAGCCAAUGAUGUGGCACGGGUUAUCUAUGUGAAGGACAUGUCUACCAGACCGAGGAAAAGAAAAGAUAAGGAAGCGAAUACAUCAUACGAUGAGCCAAAGCGCCACAUAGUUCUUUCAGGAAAAAGGGACAUUGUGGGAGUGGAGGGCAAGACAGACAUGUCUGAAGAUUAUGAAAAGUUUCAUGAAAUUCCUCCCUUCAAAGUCAAGGCUGACCCAAGCAUCCUGAUAAACGAUGAAGAUUAUCCAUGGUUAUGGCGCAAUAAGCCAAUGACACAAGCGAAGAAAAAGUGAAGACUUUCUCCCGCAACUAUUAUGAUGAUACCAUGCCAACUUUGUAAUAGACGAGUAUGAUACCAUUGUCCGUUUUGUACAAGAAGUGCAUCUAGUUUUUUGCCGUAACCCUCUCAACUUUCUUGCACAUGCUGUGUGGAUGAAAUGAUGAUACCAUGCCAACUUUCAAUCUUUUCAGAGUUCAUUUGAAAUGCUUUUCAAUUAGUAAAUGCAUGAAAAAUAACAGGCCAAAAAUUAAAAAUUAUGCCACCUACUGGGCCACCACGGCCUGAAUACGAUUAGAAACCCAUCCAUGGGCCAGGAUUCAGGCCCGCAGAAGGCCCAGUAGGCCCACAGGCAUGUACAGAGAGGUUAGGCCCGUAAGCCUGCUUUAGAGAGGAGCUCGACAGCUCAGGCGCACCGCACCUUAUAAAUAGGUGCGGCUCUCUCUUAGCUAGCGAGGUGGGACUAAACUCACCACCACGCCGCUGUGCAAGGCCAUUGGUCCCGGUUGGUGGCACGAACCGGGACCAAUUCCACCCUUUGGUCCCUGUUGGUGCCACGAACCGGUACUAAUGAGGCUGUGGCCCCACGAGCACCUUUAGUACCUGUUCGUGGCACGAACCGGUACUAGAGUUUCUUACUAAGCAGUUUUUUAGUCCCACCUCGCUAGCUGAGAGGCACUAGGAGCGGUUUAUAAGCCCUGAGUGCAGAGACAAUGAAGAAGAGGCGCAAUGCUCACGUUGCUUAGCUUCAAGCCUUGAGGAAUAAGGUAGACUGCAUCGAGCUAUGUGCAGUGCAGUCUACACUAUUCCAAAAGGCUUGAAGCAAAUCAACGAGCAUUGCGCCUCUUUUUUAUUUUUAAUAACUUAUUACAACUCCGGACUUCUUGUGUUCCGACAAAAUAAAAUGAACUUUAAUAAAAUUUAUGAAACUAAAAUUAACAAAGUAUUUUACGUUCAAAACAUUAUAAGAAACCUCUAUUAUUAUUGAAACUAAAAUCAUAUAAAAUUGAUGCAACUAAAAUUAUUGAAGUAUUUUCUGUUCAAAAUCAUUAAAAGCAAAAAGAAUUUUCAUAAAGAACUUUUUUUGAUCGAAACUUUAAUAGCAAAAAGAAUUAUCAUAAAGUAAAAUAAAUAAGUAAUUAGAAACAAAAUAAAAUAAAAUAAAUAAGUUUUUUGUUGUAAGUAGAAACAAAACAAAAUAAAUAUAGCAAAAAAGAAAACAAAAAAACUAAAUACAGCAAAAAGAAUUUUCAUAAAGAACUAAUGGCACUAAUAGAAAGUNNNNNNNNNNNNNNNNNNNNNNNNNNNNNNNNNNNNNNNNNNNNNNNNNNNNNNNNNNNNNNNNNNNNNNNNNNNNNNNNNNNNNNNNNNNNNNNNNNNNNNNNNNNNNNNNNNNNNNNNNNNNNNNNNNNNNNNNNNNNNNNNNNNNNNNNNNNNNNNNNNNNNNNNNNNNNNNNNNNNNNNNNNNNNNNNNNNNNNNNNNNNNNNNNNNNNNNNNNNNNNNNNNNNNNNNNNNNNNNNNNNNNNNNNNNNNNNNNNNNNNNNNNNNNNNNNNNNNNNNNNNNNNNNNNNNNNNNNNNNNNNNNNNNNNNNNNNNNNNNNNNNNNNNNNNNNNNNNNNNNNNNNNNNNNNNNNNNNNNNNNNNNNNNNNNNNNNNNNNNNNNNNNNNNNNNNNNNNNNNNNNNNNNNNNNNNNNNNNNNNNNNNNNNNNNNNNNNNNNNNNNNNNNNNNNNNNNNNNNNNNNNNNNNNNNNNNNNNNNNNNNNNNNNNNNNNNNNNNNNNNNNNNNNNNNNNNNNNNNNNNNNNNNNNNNNNNNNNNNNNNNNNNNNNNNNNNNNNNNNNNNNNNNNNNNNNNNNNNNNNNNNNNNNNNNNNNNNNNNNNNNNNNNNNNNNNNNNNNNNNNNNNNNNNNNNNNNNNNNNNNNNNNNNNNNNNNNNNNNNNNNNNNNNNNNNNNNNNNNNNNNNNNNNNNNNNNNNNNNNNNNNNNNNNNNNNNNNNNNNNNNNNNNNNNNNNNNNNNNNNNNNNNNNNNNNNNNNNNNNNNNNNNNNNNNNNNNNNNNNNNNNNNNNNNNNNNNNNNNNNNNNNNNNNNNNNNNNNNNNNNNNNNNNNNNNNNNNNNNNNNNNNNNNNNNNNNNNNNNNNNNNNNNNNNNNNNNNNNNNNNNNNNNNNNNNNNNNNNNNNNNNNNNNNNNNNNNNNNNNNNNNNNNNNNNNNNNNNNNNNNNNNNNNNNNNNNNNNNNNNNNNNNNNNNNNNNNNNNNNNNNNNNNNNNGCCGCCCCUGCCUCGACGCCGCCCCUCCUCCCCGUUCGGUCUGGCUCCGGCGACCCCCUUUCCUCCCUGUCCCCUCGAUCCUCUUCAUAUAAUUUGUUCAUAUAUUUUUUUUCAUAUAAUUUUUUUCAUAUGCAUAUGUUGAUUAUAUGGAUGGAUGGAUGAUGUAUAUGUUCAUUAUAUGGAUGGAUGGAUGAUGUAUGCUUUUUUUCAUAUAAUUUUUAGGCAGAUUUUUAGAAUUUUUUGUGUAUGUAUGUUAUGUUUAUAUGUAUGUAUGUAUGUAUGUUCAUAUGUAUGUAUGUUUAUAUGCAAAGCAUAUGCAAAGAAAAUGUAUGAAUGGUCAUAUGCAAAGAAAAAAUGUAUGUAUGGUCAUAUGCAAAGAAAAUGUAUGUAUGUAUGUUCAUAUGAAAGAAAAAUGUAUGGAUGUAUGUUCAUAUGCAUAUGCAAAGAAAAUGUAUGUUCAUAUAUAUGAUGAUAUGUUCAUAUAAAAAGGAAAAUAAGAAGAGGAAGAAAGGAGAAGAAGAGGAGAGGAAGAAGAGGAGAAAUAAAUAAGAAGAGGAAAAAAGAAGAAAAAGAAGAGGAGAAGAAGAAAGGAAUAGAAGAGAAGAAGAAAAAAUAGAAAAAAUUCUAUUUUUUCUUCUUCUCUCCUCUAUUCCUUUCUUCUUCUCCUCUUUUUUUUCUUCUUUUUUUUCUUCGAUCUUCUCCUCUAUUCCUUUUCUUCUUCUCCUCUUUUUNNNNNNNNNNNNNNNNNNNNNNNNNNNNNNNNNNNNNNNNNNNNNNNNNNNNNNNNNNNNNNNNNNNNNNNNNNNNNNNNNNNNNNNNNNNNNNNNNNNNNNNNNNNNNNNNNNNNNNNNNNNNNNNNNNNNNNNNNNNNNNNNNNNNNNNNNAUAUACCCCUCUCCCGAUAACUUCAACACGAGGGGGGGUCGAUAUACCCCCUCCCCGCCGAUAAUAUUAUUUUCCCAUGCACGUAUGUCGUCGUUGUCGAUAUAACCCCCUCCCGAUAACUUCAACACGUGGGGGGGGGUCGAUAUACCCCCUCCCCGAUAACAUUAUUUUCCCAUGUAUGUAUGUCGUCGUUGUCGAUAUAUAUAACUCCCUCCCAGAUAACUUCGACAUGAUGGACGGUCGAUAUUUAUACUCCCUCUCGACCGUGAUAACUUAUACCACGGGAGCACCCCCUAGCCCUCUCGCUCGACCAAAACUCUCGAGGACACCCAAACCCUAGAAAAAACUAUGUCGGUCUCCUACCCCCUCCCGCCGCGCCCCUACCCUUGAAGCGUUGCCUAGGCCACCCCAAACCCGGAAUAAGCUAGGUCUACGUUUGCACUAAUAUAUCCACCUGCUGUCAUGUUUGUGUAAUAAUUGCCAUGUUGUAAUAUUUGCAGAAACAAUGGAGCACGGACGAGAUGAGCAAGCAGAAGAGGUGUUGGGGGACAUAAUCUUAGCCGGAGGUGAUAUCUUGUCGUAUCUUAACGACAAUGAUGGUCUGGAAGAACAGGGUGAAGAAGCAGGCUACGGUGAUUGAAGAGUGGAGGAGGAAAGACAUGAUUAUGAUGGCUCCGGUGACCCAAUGCUGGUGCAAGAAGGAGCCCGUGGUGACGGCUCCGGUGACCGAACAGAGUCCGGCCAGGUAAAUAUAUUAGUUAAGCCUGUGCUGACUAGCUAAUUGAUGCAUUCAUUGUUUUGGUAUGUACAUAUAUUAAUUAACACUCGUCUUUCUUCUUUUUUCUAGCCCUCCGGAUCGAGCACAACUGCGGUAAAGAGACGAGGCCCGAAGAGAAAGUUGCGCUCGGAUGAAAGGUUUGAGAUCACAGCAAUCGCGCGCGACGGCCAACCGAUUGAACCCAUCCGGACAAAGGAUGCAUUUGCUGCUCAGUGCGGGAUUCUAGUUAGGGACAAGAUCCCGAUCAGCAUCCACCAAUGGUAUAAGCCUAAGAAGGAAGACCCUGAGGUGUCUUAUGUCAAUGAUAUGCAGAAAGAUGAUCUUUGGACUGAUCUGAAGGCAAAUUUCACCCUACCGCCAGAGGAGGAUUCGGAGAAGCCAGUUAUAGAGCAAUUAAUCAAGUCUCAUGCUCUUAAGAAGAUGGCAGACCUAUUCAGGAGGUGGAAGAAUGAGCUGAAAACGUUUGUCGACAAACAAGAGACACCAGAAUUCAUCGGCCGGUAUGAGAAGAUCAGAGAUCACUGGCCCGCAUUUGUGGCCCACAAGACAUCGGAAAAGAGUAAGAAGAUGUCAGCGACAAACAAGAAGAAUGCUGCGAAGAAGAAGCUUCACCAUCGCACGGGGUCAGGUGGCUACCUCAAAGCCCGACCUAAGUGGGCAAAGGCUGAGAAUGAUCUGCUUGAAAAAGGGAUCGAACCACAGACAAUGAACUGGACAGACUGUUGCCGGACUUGGUUCUUCGGGGCUGGCGGAACCUUGGACCCUGUAUCAGGGAGGUGUGUUUGGACGAACGAGCUUUUGAGAAUACUAGUCAAGAAGAUUCGGCAAUAUAUCGAUGCAGCGCAGGAAGGGACGUUCGUUCCAGACAGAGAGAACAACGAGCUCACAAUGGCCCUCGGGAAUCCUGAGCACCCUAGACGGACACGAGGCAUGCCAGGCUCCGUUCCGUGGAAGGCUGGUUUUCCGGACGCAGGCGGUUACAAAAGCCAGGAGAGGAGGAAAAAAGUGGAGCAGAUCCAAAUUCAGAAGCUGCACGAAAGGGUUCAAGCGCUAGAGGAACGAGACGGCAAUCGACAUGCCGAAACUGCCCCCGAAGCUACACCGCCAUCUCAGCGGAGAAGCAGCAUGGCUUCCACCGAGCUGCUUCAGCUGGAGCAUGCGGCUCCUGCUAGCUACCCCGUGGAUGCUAUCACGGAGUCUCAACAUUGCCACCUUAUGGCGGAAUGGCAGAACUUCAAAGUCAAGGCAGCGGUUGGCUCUGUUUUACCUCCUGAACCCGGCGCAACCUACCACUGCCGGCCGAUUCCAGAAGGAUAUGCUAGGGUGAUGGUUGAUGAAAUAACGGAGGGAUUUGAGGAGCUCCAGCUUGACCACCCUACCGGUGAAGGGGAGACUUGGCUGGGUUCUGCUCUGAAGACUCCAUGCCUAUGGCGGAAGGAGCUCAUCAAGCUUCCGAACUCGACGGCUCCGGCGAGUAAGGGCACUCCGCCUCCUCCUCCGCCUCCUCCUCCGGCGAGUGAUCAGGGCACUCAGCCUCCUUCUCCGGCGCGUGACGGCACUCCGCCUCCUUCUCCGCCAGCGCCGGCGCCCCAGAGCAGCCAGCCUCCUCCUUCUCCGCCUCGUCAGCAAGGGCGGAAGAGACCCGCCACCGCUGCGGCUGCUCCGGCGCGUCGUAGUCCUUCUCCUCCGCCUCGUAAGCAAGGAAAGAAGACAGUCGCAGCCGCUCCGUCUGCUCUGUCGGCGUCUAGCAGUACAGCUGCCAGAGGCGGGAGGCAAUACAGAUUCGGUCCUUCUCUGAAGACUCCAGAGAAGUUACCAUACGAUAGGACCGAGGAGGAAACCAGGAAGAUCGUGCGAGCCGAAGUGACAAACUUCUUUGAAGGGGUGAAUGCAAAGAAACAUCCACCUCCGGAGGAGAAGGUAGAUCCGGUGAAAGUAAAGCGCACUCUGGCUGCCUUGACAAAACCACCAAAGUCUCCGCCGAGAGGCCACUAUGAGCGCAUUCUUGCAAAGACAUAUGCCGAAGCGGAGCGGUCGGGAAGUACUGUUAGUGAUAAAAGGUUAAAAGAACGACGAGCUGGCAAAAAAAUUGCCCAGCUCGGCGAACAAGCGAACCAAUCGUGCCCCCCGCUCAAGGUGUCAAAAGACAUCGUCGCUAAUGAUCCGAGUAUGGUGCCCGGUUAUAGCAAUCUUGGAGAUUACCUGCCCGACGAUGUACAUUAUGAAAUCAUGGAGGUGGACGAACACAAAUACCAUUACGGGAAGCCUCUCGUCAAAGAUGAAAGAUCUCUAACAACGAUGAUGCGAAGACUACAUGAUUGGUACAUGAAAACCUGCAGAGAGUCUGAUGGGAUGGAUAAUUUGACGCUGAGAGUUAAACCGGAGCAUGACCUCAUUGGAAUUGAUCUGCUGAAUGUUCCAUUUGAGGAUUUCUUCCAGUUUUACAAUCAAAAGGCCCUCAAUAAAACAACGAUCACUUGCUACUGUCUGUAAGUAGUACUACUUCUGUCAUUAAGUCUCUCUAUAUAGGUCAGCUCUUUCAUUGCAUGUAUUUAUACUUAUCCUCACUAUAUUAUGCAGAUUGAAGAUCGCCGAAUUGAAGAAAAGACAAAUCGGUGAUAUUGGGUUCAUUAACACAAAUCUCAUAUAUGCAUAUACGGUUGAAAAACAUCCAAAGAAGCCGAGGCCAACUUGCUACAAUCGUUGGUAUUAAAUCAAAACAAAGAUAUAAUACUCUUUCCUUACAACUUCAAGUGAGUGUUACUGUCUUGUGCAUAUUCGGUUUCCCUUAUUAGUCCAGGUUAUGGUAAUGUAAUUGAUGACUUAUGCAUGCAUGCGCAGCUUCCACUAUAUUCUCCUAGAGAUUAAGCUUGAGCAGGGAGUAGUAACCGUCUUAGACUCGAGACGAAAAGAUCCCUAGGACUAUGAGAACAUGACUCAAAUGCUCGAGAAGUAAGUUAAAUCGAUCAUUAUCCACCAUAUCAGCAACUUUGUUCAUUUCAUAAUAUCAAGUAAUUGUUUUCUUUGUCUGGCAGGGUUUGGAGAAAAUUCACCUCAAAAGCUCCGGGACUGCCGAAGAAGCUGCAAUUUAAUCACCCGAAAGUAAGUACUAUAGUAGCAUGUUCCGCGCAUCUCCUAGUGAUUCAAGCGCUAGUUUCUUCAAUACCAUUUAGCAUGCUUGCUUAUCAAUUUGAUUGACCUCUAUUUCUUGUAAAGUGGUUGUGGCAGGAAACCGGGAAUAAUUACUGUGGAUACUACGUUUGCGAGUCCAUCCGCUACACGACCUGUGAGCGGGGCUACACUGAAGAACAAUAUGAAGUGCGUAAGCAAUAAUAUUCACAAUUUUAUUUUAUUACCAUCAUUUGUGUUGAGUUUCAUUUAUUCAUAUAUAUAUAUAUAUAUAUAUAUAUGUAUUGACCCCCUUCUUCAAAUUAGAUGUUUCGGAAGCGGGAUGAACUCCUAGCACCAGAUCGUAUGCGAGGAAUUCAAGAGGAAUUGGCGGCAUUCUUCCUUGACCACGUGAUCGCUGAAAACGGAGAAUACUAUGUGGACCUUGUGUUCCUACAAUUUAAUUAGGAGAUUGUAUUGUAAGAGAUAAUUAUUGUAUAUAUGUAGCCGGUAGUGUCGGAUAGAUAUACGAGAACUUGUUGUUCGACCAAUAUCUCGGAGAAGGAGAGGUGGUCGAUAUCACUUCUCUCUGUAUGCAUAUGUUCAUGACGAUCUUCUGUUUCCUUCAUUUGAUUACUAGCUAGCGUGUCUACUCCUCUCCAUACGUAUAUAGUAUGUAGCGUCGACCAAGCACGGAGAUAAGAGAGGACACUUCUCUCUAUUAAUUAGCUAGCUAACACAAUAUAUGAAACACCUAAAUUAACCCCCCAAAACCCCUAAACCACCCCCUUUCAAAAAAAACAAAAACCUCAGCUCCUGCCAGCUGCUGACGCGUGGAUGCCUAUUGGUCCCGGUUGGUGACACCAACCGGGACAAAAGGCCCUGCCUAUUGGUCCCGGUUGGUGCCGGCCCCCUGCCUGGGCUGGCAGCAGCGGCCACGUGGAGGACCUUCUGUCCCGGUUCGUGUAAGAACCGGGACUAAAGGGGGGAGGCAUUAGUAACGACCCUUUAGUCCCGGUUCGAGAACCGGGACAAAAGGCCCUUACAAACCGGGGUAAAAGCCCCUUUUCCUACUAGUGUUCCGGUAUUCGUUCAAUAUUUUGAUGAUAUGUAUGUUGUGAUUCUCUUAGUGGUGUCAUGUGAACGUCGACUACAUGACACUUCACCAUUGAUGGGCCUAAGGGAACUCAUUGUGGAGUAGUAAUUAGAUGAUGGGUUGCUAGAGUGACAGAAGCUUAAACCCCAGUUUAUGCACUAUUCCGUAAGGGGCUGAUUUGGAUCCACUAGUUUAAUGCUAUGGUUAGACUUUGUCUUAAUUCUUUUUUCUUAGUUGCGGAUAUCGGUGUCAAAACCGACAGAUCUCGGGUAGGGGGUCCCAAGUUGUGGGUCUAGGAUCAAUAGGUAACGGUGACGAUGAACACGGUGUUUUACCCAGGUUCGGGCCCUCUUGAUGGACAAUUUUUUUUAAAAAAAAAAUUUAGAAAUAUUUUUUUCAAUUUUUUUUUCAUUUUUUCUUAAUCUCGGGUCACUAUGGCUUAAUCUCGAGUCAAUAUGAUUAAUCUCAAGUCAAAUCGCACUAAGUGGUCAAACUUCCCGGAAGGUCACCCAUCCUCACACUACUCCAGCCCGAGCACGCUUAACUUCACAGUUCUAUCCAACCCCAGCACCACCUCACUCAACAGGCACUUGUUGAUAUAUCUACCAUAUCAAUCCUAUUAAACCUUGUUGAUGUCUAGGACUUUGUUCAUGUUCAUGAGUAUGAUAAAAUUUUGAAAAAUAUUUCAAACUUCCCGGUCAUAUCACGUAUCAUUUUUUGAAAAAAAAUUCCAAGAAAAAAUUCAACACCAAUUUUUUUUCUGUUACUAGUGGCGCACCUAGCAAACGGUGCGCCACUAGUAAGUUUGAAAUUUUUUGAAUUUUUUUGCCUCUAGAUCUUGAAAGCCCCGUAACUUUUUUUCUGUUAGGUUUUUGAGGAUUUUGAAAAUGUUUAACGGGGUUCCCCCGAUUAAAUUCGGAUGUAACUUUUCGAGUAGAUGAUUUUUCAUACAAAAAACUUUUUAAUCCGAGUUCGUAUGCAAAAGUUAUGCCCAUUUUACAAAUUCCAGAGAGAUUUUGCAAAUAAAGUUGAAAUUCAUAUUUGUAAAUUUUCCCAACAACUAGACCACAUAUCACAUGGGAAACUUAUUUUCUUUUAUUUUUUUAACAUUUCCAUUAUUUUCUUUUAUUUUUUUAAAACUGAAAAGGCGGUCCAUGAGGGGGUGCAUUCGGUGGAAUUUUUGGGUCAAGUUAGUAAUGGCGCACCGUGGGAGUGGUGCGCCAUUACUAGUUCAACUAGUAAUGGCGCAACACUCCCAUGGUGCGCCAUUACUAGUUUUGAAAAAAAAUAAAAAAAAUUUGAAAAAAAAUUUGAAUUUUUUUUACUAGUGGCGCACCGUGGAUGUGGUGCGCCAUUACUAGUUUAACUAGUAAUGGCGCACUAUCCCCUGGUGCGCCAUUACUAGUUUUGGAAAAAAAAUAAAAAAAUUUGAAAAAAAAAUUACUAGUGGCGCACCGUGGAUGUGGUGCGCCAUUACUAGUUUAACUAGUAAUGGCGCACUAUCCCCUGGUGCGCCAUUACUAGUUUUGAAAAAAAAUAAAAAAAAUGUUACUAGUGGCGCACAGUGGAUGUGGUGCGCCAUUAGUAUUUGGACACUAAUGGUGCGCCAUUAGUAUAUAGUAGUGGUGCACCACAUGUCUGGUGCGCCAUUAGUGUCCAUAUGAUCUAUAGCCCUUUUCCUAGUAGUGUUAGGGGUAUGAUCAGUAAUGUCAUAAUGAUGAUAAUAAUCUAUCGACUAGCCUGGCCUCGGCUUAUAUAAUGUACCAGAGGCCUAUGAUAACAAGACUCCUAGUUGGCUAUGUUGGUGGAGAGGAGUCCUUGUCUUGAUCAUCAAGUCUUGUGGAAUCUUCCCUGUAUAUGUCAUCGGUUGUCCGAACUGGCCCAUUAGUGAGGUCCUCGGCCCGACCCACUGGUCGGGAGACAACGUGGUGAGUACCCCCUAGUUCAGGACACCGUCAGCGGAUGCUUGCGAGAGGGGGUAAUCAUAAGUGGGAGGCUUGUUCAAGUAAGAACAACACCCAAGCACCGGUCCACCCACAUAUCAAAUCAUCAAAGUAGCGAAAGCGAACCGAAUGAACAUGAUGAAAGUGACUAGAUGAAAUUCCCGUGUGUCCUCAAGAACGCUUUUCUCAUUAUAAGUACUAGUUCUGGCCUGUCCUUUGCACUAAAAAGGAUUGGGAUAUCUUGCUGCACUUUAUUUACAUUUGUCACUUGCUACUCGUUACCAAUUAUCUUGCUAUCAGACUACUCGCUACCGCUUGUUUCAGUGUUUGCAAAAAUAUCGUUAUUGAAAACCGCAAGUCAUUUCCUUCUGCUGCUCGUUGGGUUCGACACUCUUACUUAUCGAAAGGACUAUGAUUGAUCCCCUAUACUUGUGUGUCAUCACGGGGCCACCCACCUGGGGUGCUCCCUCCCUAGCUUAUCACUCCCUCGAGACUCCUCGGGUCUUCCCCGAAGCUUCCAGGGUCUCUUUUGGUCCAGAAAACUUAAUCCAAUGUUUUUCUGUGUUUGUACCUUUUUUAUAAUGAUAUUAUAAAAUGAUAAAAACAAGCAAAAAAAUAACAACUGGCACUAGGCACUACGUUAAUAGGUUAGUCCCAAAAAAUGAUACAAAAAUAGCACAAAGUUGCAUAUAAAACAUCAAAGAUUGCUAAUAUAAUAGCACGAAACAAUAAAACAUUACAGAUAGGAGGCGUAUCAAGCAUCCCCAAGCUUAAUUCUUGCUCUUCCUCGAGUAGGUAAAUGAUAAAAACAAAAAAUUUGAUGUGGAAUGCUACCUAACAUGUUUCAUCAUGUAAUCUCUCUUACGGUAUGAAUAAUAAGAUCCGAAUGAUUCAAAGCAAUAGUCUAUAAUUUGAUAUAAAGACAUCAAUACUCAGGCAUACUAACAAACAAUCAUGCCUUUCAAAAUAACGAUGCUAACCCAAGUUAUCCCUACAAAAUCAUAUAAUCCUAUCAUGCUCCAUCUUCUUAACACAAAGUAUUUAUGAUGCACUACCCCAAUGACAAUCCAGGCAAUUGGUUCAUACUUCUUAACGUGCUUCAGCUUUUUCAACCCCCACGCAAUACAUGACGGCAAGCCAAGGACAUAACACUAUGGAUGGAAUAGAACAUGAUGAUAGAGAUCAAUAAGGGGAAAUCAAAAAUAAGAAGAUGGUCUCACAUCAAUGCGGCUAACAAACGGGCUAUAGAGAUGCCCAUCAAUUGAUGUCAAUGCAAGGAGUAGGGAUUGCCAUGCAACGAAUGCACUAAGAAGGCACCCAAGGUAAUAUCCAAGGAGACUCAAGCGUCGAAGCCUGGGGAUGCCCCGGAAGGCAUCCCCUCUUUCUUCUAAUGACUAUCGGUAACGCACUUGAGGCUACAUUUUUAUUCAUCACAUGAUAUGAGUUUUUCUUGGAGCGUCUUGUAUGAUAUGAGUCUUUGCUUUGUUUAUUUUUAGUAUAUCACAAUCAUCACCUCUGAACGCAUUUGCUUGAGAUAGCUUCAUGUCAUCAUGAUUUGCUUGAAUUGCCCUUUGUGCUUCACUUAAAUUUGUUGAGCUAGGUGGUUGCUCUAGUGCUUCAUUUAUAUCUUUUUUUAACACGGUGGUGCUUUUGUUUUGAAGAAACUUGUUCUCAUGCUUCACUUAUAUCUUUUUGAGAAUGCUAGAAAUUUUAUAAAAAUAUUAGUCUCAUGCUUCACUUAUAUCUUUUUGAGAGUUUGAAAUUAGUUAUGGUAAAAUGUACAGCUAUAAGCUUGGUCUCCAUAUGAUGAAUAUUCAAGAAGGAUAAUGAUAACUAGUAUAAAAAAUUUAUGGGACUUCAAAAACUUGAUUCUUUGCAACAAUUUUGAGAUAUGUAGAUGAUAAUACGUGAGUUAUGUUCAUGAAUAAUUAUACUCUAGUAUGAAUAUUGAUGUUAAGGUUUAUGAUUCCCUAUGCAAGCACGUAAAGUCAAUAGUUAUGCAAUGAAGUUACAUCCUACUUGUGGUGCAUUAUUCGGUGUUGGUUAUGUUUUCUGUAUGCAUGUGCAUCAUUACAAUUUCUUAGUUGGUCGCUUCUCAACCAUUUUGCUAGCCUCCAUUCGUACUAAGCGGGAAUACUGCUUGUGCAUCCAUUACCUUAAACUUGUUUUGCCAAUUGUGUCCAUCAUACCUACAUAUAUACGGUAUUUCAUUGCCGUCCCAAGUAAAUUUGCAUGUGCCAUCUCUAAUAAUUUUCAAAAUAAACUUCUCUUUUGUGUGCCUGUAUUGCUCAUGAAGUGAUAAGGGGUGGACGAUGAAUUCCGUGUUGUAUAUGUCAUUUUCAUGAUGAGUGUUUAUUCACUUGUCAUUGCACGAGAGUGUGGCGGUAAUAAAAGGGAUGCCCAGUCCCAAAAAUAAAUUGAAUUUCCUGGAAUAUGUUGUUAUGGAGGGCACCCGUGAAUACGGCUAGACAUGGAUUGUGAAAGGAAAGGUGGAAAAACUAACUCCUUCGGAUGUGAAUGGAAAAAAGGGACAAAAGUCUCAAAACCAUGGAACGAUGACAGGGAGCAAAAAAUUUCUUUUCAGUUUGGGAGCCGCCUAUGAUGUAUAUAACGUGGAAGGUAAGGAAAGCCUUGAGUCGCUGUCGUUGACGAGAAAACCAGGCCUCCCAAAAUAAAUUUUUUAUCUCUUUUUAAAACUUGAGGUCUGGCACCACUGUAAAUCAAUGCUUCCCUCUGCGAAGGUCGUUCUAUUUAUUUUUAUGUUGAGUCUCAUCCUUCUCAUUAAAAACCAACUAGGGGGUCAUGUGAUCAUGUGUGUGCAUGGAGUAUGAUUGACACUCGACUGUGUUUCAUAAAUCGAUCAAUGGUUGAGCAUAAUGGGCUAGGGAUAAUUUUCUUUAGCAUUGUUAUUUUGAAAGGCAUGGUUGCGUGUUAGCAUUGGAGGGGGUAUAUAUAGCCACAUCAUUGGUCCCGGUUCGUGGCUGGAACCGGGACUAAAGGCCACCCUUCUGUCCUGGUUCUAGGCACGAACCGGGACCAAUGGCUGUGGGCUAGGAGCGAGGACCAUUGGUCCCAUUCGUGCCUAGAACCGGGACAAAUGGGUCCACACGAACCGGGACAAAUGCCUCCCGAGGCCCGGCCGGCCCCCUGGGCGCACGAACCGGGACGUAUGACCCCCAUGGGUCCCGGUUCGUGACUGAACCGGGACUAAUGGGCUGGCCAGGCCCCAACCAAAGCCCUGUUUUCUACUAGUGAGGGGCGAUGCUCUGCGGAGUUCUCCCUCUUGGGGGCGUUGUCGUGGAGCUUAGGUGUGCUAGGUCGUAGCGUGAGCAUGUUUUGUUCUUCUGGUACUUGUUGUUGGUAGCGUAGAAGCAUGCGUUUUGCAUGUGCCGGAUAUCUCAGGAUCGACUUUGUAAGGGCUACCAAACCAUAUUGUAUCAUUUGACCAUGUACAUCUUUGGAUAUUGCUUUGUUUAUAAAGCGGGGAAAAGCCUAUUUCGAGAACAACGAAAACAACAACAACAACAGCAAACAGAUCAACAACUUCAGAAUAGUUUUUCUUUUAAAAUUUCACUUGCUUAAUUAACUACAUGCAUAGGACUUUCUACAGUGUUUUAGAGAACAACAACUACGAUUUGCCUGCUAGCUAGCUAGUUAGGUAUUUCAACACAACAUCAACAGCAAGGAGAAGGAGAAGAACUGUUAACAACCAGGCAGGCAGGUGGAGAGUGAGUGUGUGAGAGUGAGGUCUCUCUGGCUCUUUCCUGUAUGGCUACUCCUACUUCCUUCGCUGACAAAGUCCUGUUCUGAAUCCGUAAUACUGAUUCACAGUAAUGAUGGUGGAUCGACUAUACCUUGACUAAUCCAUGUACAACAAAAAUUACUACGUACAUGAUUAAAAAUCCAAGGGUCAAAUCCUGAUCAAUCGAUCUGGCAAAUUCUGCAUGAAUCUAGCAUGACAUCAAGUGUGAUUAACAGGAGUUUCAAUUAUAAUUAGCCUCCGAGAAGCUACAUGGAGGAGGAUGUAGUCGUGUUUUGUGGCCUUGUCAGAAACUUCGCUUUCCUUCAAUCUGAAAACAAGUGGUAGAGGGUAAAAGAAUGAAAAAAAACAUGUGUAGAGGAUAAGCAACACAUAAAGGCCACACACACAAAAACAGGGGUAUGCUAGCUGGUCCAUGACAUUGACAAGUCAAUUGAUUUGCUGCAACCAUAUAUAUGAAGUGUAGUAUUAUGAACAUGUGUGUGAAACUUGGUUCAAAUUGAUGUACUAUUAACUCGGGAGUAAGGAUUAAUGACAAUUUAAUAUUUCAAUGGAGAGCCACAUGAGUUGUGCAACCUUCUUAUCUGACAUGGAUCUACAUCAAACUAGGUGUUAAUGUUCUCCACAAACUCCAUGUCAGAUUUCAUUGUUCAUUUAUAGUGAGAAUAAUUGAUUACUUAUGCACUUUUCGCCUUUGAUGUUCCACUCACAAAAUAAGUUUAACUACCAACUAUCUCCAAAAACAAUCUUAGCGGGACAAAAAGUAUCCUCUGACAAAUCACGACCCAUCAAACAAGGUUCAAAUUUGAAGGAAAAUGACCCCUUCAACUUGAGUCAAACAAAUAAUUUGCAUACAAUCAACCGAAAUCAUUAUGGGCUUCUUCAGCCCUCCACUCGAUACACACCUACGCAGGGAGUCCACCAUUGUCGCUACCGAACAACAUUUUUGGAGGCGCACAUUAUCACCCAUAAACACAAAAUAAAUCAAAACGCAAUACAAGCCUAAAAGCGGUCAGUUCCUAGGGCCAGAAAAAGCUUGUUGACCUGCAAUUGCACAUGGUUUAUUUUUCACCUAUUUAAGUAUGAGUAUAAAUCCCACAGGGAAUACAUGAAUUGGACUUUGUCCCUAAGAGACACUUAUGGUAAUGUGCCUGCAUAUUAGUUUUCGACACAAAGCAAAGUGAACGCCAAAGAUUAUAAUGACUUUUGAGUUUAGUGCGAACAAAAGUAAAUAAUGCAAAAGAAUUAAAAGAGUGCAGCGGAACGAAUAAAGCAGGGAAACCGGUGGAGGAUUGAAGCAUUCUCAAGGACUCCAUAAUUCCCAUUGCAGUGUGUCUAAGGUAACAUAUGCCACUUCAUAAUUCUAAGCUAGAUACUUGAGUCACUCUUGAAAUUUGUUAUUGGGCGUAUCUGGGUACAAAAUACGUUCUACUCGAGGUGUACUCCGUACCACGAAGGCCACCACGGAAGCUUCCCCACUCUGGUUCUCACUGCGGUAAUUAAGGGUUUCCCCGUGGAAGCGGCCUUAUCAAGGGUUCUCCGUUAUGCCCCUAUCAGUUGCAAAGGCGAGGUAGAGAGUCUUUUACACUCACCUUGAAUUACCUCAACAUCCUAACCUUUACAACCAUGGUAAUAUGCCUCGUGUCCUUGCGACAGAAAUGGUGAGUGGGGCACCUUCACAAAAUUCAUGAAGGCUAUUGAAAAAACAUUCAACAGAGAAUAUCACAUCCUUAUUAACAUUUCAGCCUCCUAUACAUACCAUGGUUCAUCCAUAUCCCUGAGAACUGAGGAAACUACUCACACGUUGAGACAUGGAUGAAACAUCGGAUAAUACAUGUAUGGAUCGUACGAAUAGUGGAUAUAGCGGUGGUAAACAUGGUUUAAACACACGGAUAAUACAUGUAUGGAUCCACAAGGUUUUGGUAUUACAAUGGGAAGGAGAUGGAUGAUGCUGACGUCCCCUUGCACGAGCUGGUGGUGAUAGUGAUCUCCUCCUUUCCUUAAAUCUGCAAGCACAUUUAAAACAACAUCUUGGAGAGAACAGGAAAAAAGAAUUGUGCAGACGCGGUAAAAGCUAGCAAAUUUUACUGUGUAGGCGGGCUUGUGAUGGCUGUGGCAGUGUGGAUCUGACUACCGAGUUGUGACAAGCUGUGUGGGGCGAUGGUGGCGGUCCUCCCUCUUCUGAGCGUGAUAGCUGGCGACGGUGGGUUUCGACAGUCCCUCUCACGGGUGUGGAGGCGGGUCAAGGGGCGGUGAGUGUUGGCCGUGGUUUAGGCUGGCACUGGCGGAUCUGGGCAGGGGGAUUCAAUGGAGAGGCGGGGCUGGCAUUGGUGCGACUUCUCAGCGAGUAGAGUUGCCGGCUGUUCGGAGCGCCCCCACACAAGUUUUAGUGCUUAGUCGCCUUGGAUUAGGGUUUUUUGACUCUGGGUCGUUGUCGGUCAAGCCAAGGUGAAUGCUUGCAGCUCGGUUGGGGGAGGCACCUCCACACAUUGUAGUGUCGGUGAUGAUUGGUAGAUGUGGUGGUCAGGGCUAUGAUAUGCCGGCUGGUGGACCAGUGCCACAGUUCGCAGACUUGGCAUCUACGCACUGAUGCCAGGCUUUACUUGCUGCGAUUUGUGCAUUGUGAAGCGAGCGGGUCUAGGUGGUGCUCAGUGGUGAUGGUUGUGUUAGCAUUGCAUUCGUGCGCGGAUCAGUGCCGGUGAUCGCAAACAUGGCGUGGUGCGAGCUCGCCUGGCCAAGGGCUCGGUGCUGGCUCGCCGGCGGUCCCCCUACUCCACCGACCAUUGGCUGGGGAUGCAGGUGUGGGUGCGUCCUACGGUGGAGGUGCCCAACCAAACUCUUGGACCGAGUCUGGGCUAGGAGUAGAUGGAGUGUUGUCGCUCUUCCUACCAUGGUUGGCUACGUUGUCAUGUGAGCGGCGUAUGGUAUUUCGCGACAAGGAUGCCGGGUUGGCGGCCCCUGAUGGCGGGCCGCAUGAUUGCUCUUUGGCAGGCAUUAUUUCGUUGGUGGUGGCUCCCCUCCUGGGUUGUGGGGGCAACGGGAGGUGUUGCGGUUAGUAGCUCAGACGUGCCCUCUCUCUAGGAGGGGCAGUGUCCUGAUCAAGAUCUGGGGAUCUAACAUCAACGCGCUAGUCCUGAGGACCUCGUGGUGGCACAGGUGAGUUCUCGAGCAAAAGCUCCGUGCCUUGGCGUCGCCGCCAACGACACUCAUGGGUGCCGCACUCUUCUUGAAGACGUCGUUGUGGUUCUUCUCUCCGUGUCAGGGCUCCGGGUGUAGACCUUUGUCUGGUGUGGACUCAGCAGGGGCGACGCUGUGCAGAGUUCUCCCUCUUGGGGCCGUUGUCGUGGAGCUUAGGUGUGCUAGGUCGUAGCGUGAGGAUGUUUUGUUCUUCCGGUGCUUGUUGCCGGUAGCGUAGAAGCGUGCGUUUUGCAUGUGCCGAACAACUCAGGACCGACUUUGUAAGGUCUACGUGACCAUAUUGUAUCAUUUGGCCGUGUGCAUCUUUGGAUGUUGCUUUGUUUAUAAAGCGGGGCAAAAGCCUAUUUCGACAACAACGAAAACAACAGCAACAACAAACAAAUCAACAACUUCAGAAUAGUUUAUCUUUUAAAAUUUCACUUGCUUAAUUAACAACAUGCAUAGGACUUUCUAAAGUGUUUUAGAGAAGGACAACUACGAUUUGCUAGCUAGCUAGUUAGGUAUUUCAACACACCAUUAACAGCAAGGAGAAGGAGAAGAACUGUUAACUGCCAGGCAGGCAGGUGGAGAGUGGGUGUGUGAGAGUAAGUCUCUCUGGCUUUUUCCUGUAUGGCUACUCCUACUUCCAUCGCUGACAAAGACCUGUUCUGAAUCUGUAAUACUGAUUCACAGUAAUGAUGGUGGAUCGACUAUAUCUUGACUAAUCCAUGUACAACGAAAAUUACUACGUACAUGAUUAAAAAUCCAAGGGUCAAAUCCUGCUCAAUCGAUCCGGCAAAUUCUGCACGAAUCUAGCAUGACAUCAUGUGUGAUUAACAGGAGUUUCAAUUAUAAUUAGCCUCCGAGAAGCUACAUGGAGGAGGAUGUUGUCGUGUUUUUGGCCUUGUCAGAAACUUCGCUUUCCAUCAAUCUGAAAACAAGUGGUAGAGGGCAAAAAAAAAUAAAAAAACAUGUGUAGAGGAUACCGCAACACAUAAAGCCACACACACAAAAACAGCAGUAUGCUAGCUGGUCCAUGACAUUGACAAAUCAAUUGAUUUGCUGCAACCAUAUGUACGAAUAAUAUCGCCAAGGAUAAGAGAAGGAGAAAAAAAUAUAAAUAUACCGAUAGGCUCUUCUUUUGUUCAUGGAUGCAUGUUGCAUGAGCCAAGUGUAUUGGCAGUAUGGCUUGUGUUUGCUGCAUGAUGGCGGCAGGUUCCCAUUCAGUUAGGCAUGCUAAGUCCUAAAUUCAUUUAUUCACGUAUCGGGUAGAAGGAGAACAAAUUUCAUUUCUUUUCUGUAGGUUCCUUGCUUAAAAGAAAAUAGAAAAAAAGACACUUCUAUAAUUACCAGAAAAAAUCAACUGUAUGUCGCUCAGUCUUCCCUUUUUGUUCGGUAUCAGUACCAACAAUCAUAGUACUAAUAGCUUUCUAUACUGGCGGUAGUAAAUUCAAUAAAAGAAACCUGGAGACUAUCUGAACAAUUUGAAACAAUAUGUACAAACUGAGAUCAACUAACGACAGAAAUCCAAAAGAAAUGUUCAUGUCUACGUGGAGUGAAUCGAUCAAGCCGUGCAAAGCCCUAACAAUUCGUUUUGUAUUAAUAACUCAUAUGACAAUACAACCGCUCCAUAUGAAAAGGUAAUAUGAUGAUUCAUGAAUGCUUAUCCAUCUUAUAAAUAUAUUGUGCAAAAAAUAUCGAGUUAGUUCAGAGAAAACGAUGUCUAGAACAAUCUUCACAUUAAUAGUGUGAUCUAUCUCAAUGACUCACACAAGAUUACAUAGUUUGUUCCCUUAAGUAUGGCAAUCUGGAUACGCCUAACAAUAUGUAGAACAUGACAAACUAAAUCAGAACAAGGGACAAAAUCCAGAUCAAUGUUUGAAGUGUAAAGUGAAUACGAUGAGUCAUUUGUCGUUAUCAAGCAUUCCAUACACCUAGAUGAUAUGUGCAAGAACAAUCAACUAUGACGAACAAUCCAAAAUCAUGAUAGUAAGUAGUACCAUAAAACACGACAUACCAAAUUAUUGUAAAUGAUAAGCUUAAGAGCACUUUUUCAAGAAGCACGUGUGAAGAUUACAAACUUAGUUCCCUUAAGUUAUGCCAAUCUGGAUACACCUAACAACAUGUAGAACAUGACAAACUAAAUCGGAAAGACGGACAAAAUCUAGAUCAAUGUUUGAAGUGUAAAGUGAAUACGAUGAGUCAUUCGUCAUGAUCAAGCAUUCGAUACAGCCAGAUGAUAUGUGCAAGAACAAUCAACUAUGAUGAACAAUCGAAAAUCAUGCUAGGAAGUAGUGCCACCAAACACAACAUACCAAAUUAUUAGGUCGAUAGUCUUAAGUGCACUUUUUCAAGAAAGGAGUGGGAAGAUGAAAACAAAAUAUGUCAUGCCUGCUAUAAUUACGACUACACCAUGUGGGUCUCUUCCAUCAUCUAACCUUCAAGAACCUAGAGCAAAAACACCAAAGCCAAGUGAGCAAUAGUAAACACAAAUCAAACAUGAAGACCUUCAUCAUAUUUGUCCUCCUUGCUAUGGUGAUGAGCAUCGCCAGUGCCACUAGGCAACUAAGCCCUAGAGGCAAGGAGUUGCAAACACCACAAGAACAAUUCCCCCAACAGCAAUUCCCUCAACCACAACAAAUCCUCCAACAACAAUUCCCCCAACAACAACAAAUCCCCCAGCAACCGCAACAAUUCCCCCAACAGCAAAUCCCACAACAGCAAAUCCCGCAACAACAAUUCCCCCAACCACNNNNNNNNNNNNNNNNNNNNNNNNNNNNNNNNNNNNNNNNNNNNNNNNNNNNNNNNNNNNNNNNNNNNNNNNNNNNNNNNNNNNNNNNNNNNNNNNNNNNNNNNNNNNNNNNNNNNNNNNNNNNNNNNNNNNNNNNNNNNNNNNNNNNNNNNNNNNNNNNNNNNNNNNNNNNNNNNNNNNNNNNNNNNNNNNNNNNNNNNNNNNNNNNNNNNNNNNNNNNNNNNNNNNNNNNNNNNNNNNNNNNNNNNNNNNNNNNNNNNNNNNNNNNNNNNNNNNNNNNNNNNNNNNNNNNNNNNNNNNNNNNNNNNNNNNNNNNNNNNNNNNNNNNNNNNNNNNNNNNNNNNNNNNNNNNNNNNNNNNNNNNNNNNNNNNNNNNNNNNNNNNNNNNNNNNNNNNNNNNNNNNNNNNNNNNNNNNNNNNNNNNNNNNNNNNNNNNNNNNNNNNNNNNNNNNNNNNNNNNNNNNNNNNNNNNNNNNNNNNNNNNNNNNNNNNNNNNNNNNNNNNNNNNNNNNNNNNNNNNNNNNNNNNNNNNNNNNNNNNNNNNNNNNNNNNNNNNNNNNNNNNNNNNNNNNNNNNNNNNNNNNNNNNNNNNNNNNNNNNNNNNNNNNNNNNNNNNNAACAACAAUUCCCCCAACAACAAUUCCCCCAGCAACCACAACAACAAUUCCCCCAACAACAAUUUCCCAUACCAUACCCACCCCAACAACAAUCACAAGAAGCUUCCCCAUACCAACAAUACCACAACAACACCUAUCUGGGAACGACGUUAUAAGUAUCAGUGGCCGAUGAAAUAAAGAGAUGUACUACUAGACAGGUGAAUCAUCGUUGUUAGUCAAUGGAGCAUAAUGUAACGGGUAUAAAUAAAAUGAUGUGCACCAUCAUGUGUAACCCCGACAUGUACUAGUUCAAACAUGGGAAUAAAAGACAAAUAAGUUCUUUUCUGAAGCACAUUGCUGGCAAUCGUUAUAUUCAUGCCAUAUUUCGAUUUCCAUCGGUAACUCCAAUCUCAAUGUUAUGGUCUAUCUACUUAUUUAUGAAGUGUAGUAUUAUGAACAUAACAUAAUUAACAUGUCUGAAAAUUGGCUCAAAUUGAAGUACUACUAAUUCAAGAGUAAGGAGUAAUUACAAUUUAACAUUUCAAUGGAGAGCUCUAAUUGUAGACUGCGUUGUUAAUUCCCCGAAGAGGAAAGGAUGAUGUAGUAUAGUAGAGAUAAGUGUUUCCCUCAGCUAAGAACCAAGGUUAUCAAUCCAGUAGGAGAACCGCACAAAACCUCGUUAGCAGCACCUGCACACACAAAAGCAAACACUUGCACCGAACGCAAAUAAGAGGGUUGUCAAUCCUCUUAGCGAUUAUUUGCAAGGAUUAGUUCUGACAGUGAUACAUAGAUAAAAUAAAUUACUAAAUAAAAUAAAAAUAAAUAAAUUGCAGCAAUGUAUUUUUGUGCUUUUAUAUAUGAUAAAAGUAGACCCGGGGGGGGCAUAGUUUUCACUAGAGGAUUCUCUCUUGAUCAUAAAACAUAUGGUGGGUAAACACAUUACUGUUGGGCAAGCUAUUAUAUACUAAAAGGAAAAUACUGGUCCAAAAUAGAGAAUAGGCUAGAAAAUCUGGCGUUAAUUAGAAAAUAUGAACCCUUGAUCCGUUUAAUUUUAAAAAUUAUAAAUCUAUGACCGUUCAAUAUACGUAACAAGGUCGGGCGUGGAUAACUUCCCGCGUAACGUGACACAUGUAAGAAACACAAACAUGAGUCCAGUUAAGGCAAACACGUAGAUGUGUUGAAGUGGGAAUGAAUAGAAUUGCUACGUCCGAAUAUGCAAGAGAUAGAAAAGAUGAAGAAAACUAAAGAACAUGUCGUGUUCAGAUUGGACUAAACGUAUGUGCGUAUACAACCACAACCACAAUCCGAAAGAUCCAGCCAUUAAUCCCGUGGGUCCAUCCAAAACAAAAGGUGGAUAUCCAUCUAAUUGCCCCACGUCCAUGGAACAUACUUAUUAGAGUCCACAAACAGUAGCCGCUGGUCUCUUUUACGUGAUCCUCCUUGCACUGUUAGGACUUUGCCGUCGGACAUCCUUAAGUUCUUGUGAAGUUCACAUCUAAAAAUACUAUCAUAGUAAAAAAAUCCAUUUCAUACUCCAAGAAAGAUAUCACCAUCCCAAAGUUUCAAUUGCAAUCUAAGUUUUGCCACAACUGGGUAUUUAAAACUUAUUUUACCACAGCUCGGCAAUUUCAGCCACUAAGGUUUUUGUGGCAGAUGAAGCAUCUUCCCAUUGGAAACUCCCAACUGUAAAAAGACUAGCAAAUUAGCAAUCAUUGGCAAAUCAGCAAUCUUAUAGCGGCAGCAGCUCCCAUCAAUCAGGUAACUCAUCUUCCAAAAAUCAGAGACAAUAAGCAACCAUACACAUCAUGCACAUAUGAUAUUAACAUAAUUACAUAUGUGAUUUCUGUGUUGAAUUUCGUACAACAUUACCAUGAAGAGAAGCGCAUCCACAUGGCAAGUAAUUUCCAAAAGCCGCCAAAAAGGUGAAAAGCAAUCAAAUAUGCAAUCCAACAAGUUAAUUAUUAAGCUAUAGACCAUGCAUGUUUCAGUGGUGCAUACAAGAUCAGUAGAACAAAUUCCUAGCCGUUACGACAUUCAUCAGGGAGGCGAGGACUAUGAAGCGACGGGUUGCGAGCUGGAGGGAAUGGCGGCGCACCCCGUGUCUCAGCCGAGAGAGGAGAGGCCGGGGAUAGAAUUAAGAGAGACACGAGUGAUGUCAGAUGAUAGGCUAGGGAUCGUUGGGCGUUCUCACAUAUUGCGUGGAGGAGGUUAGCUAAAUGGGCCAGCACAAAGGCCCAGUCAACCGCAGGUGGCAGAGUUUUCUCCCAGUGCAGCAGCCCUUUAGGACAGUUGAGCCAAGAAAUAUAGUUACAAAAUUAGGAAUUCAUCCAACAGUCAGAAAUGAUCUAUACAAGUGAUCUGAUAGUUACAAAUGUUGAAUGCUUGAGAGAGCUGGGAUAAGGCUAAGUUUUACUGUCCUAAAUGUAUUAGAUAUGUAGAAUCUGACAGUUAUUAAAGUUUAAUUGUCCUUCAGAAAAAACUAUGGCUAAUCACCACUACGCUAAUUACUUUUUACAAUUGUUGUACAUGAAUGGGGGUUAGGCAAGCGUAACACUGCUGAUGAGGGUCCCAAACCCGAUAAAGGUGGAGGGUGCAUAAUCAAAUUAACAUCUAACACUAACAUGCAAUACCUUUUAAGUUCAUAUAUUGAUUCAAUCGCAAAAGGGAAAAAUGAAACAAAAGUAGGCAGCGGGACCUGGAAGUCAACAGAGGAAACAGAAGGGUAUGCUCAUCGUGUGGAAUCGUUUGUGGGGGGCGAGCUGAGUAAACAGAGGAAGGUGAUCGAACGACGUCUCAGGUUUAUUUGUUUACUGAACAGACAGACAUGUGUAAGUUUUUUUUCCCUUUGAGGGGAAAGACGUGUGUAACUAGGGAGGGAUGAUUUUGCACGUUCUGUAUUUUUUUCCACCAGAAAACAGAUACUACUUUAACAAAUAAAUCCUACACUAAAUAUUUUAUAUGCUGCAAAUUAUAGGCCACAUACGCAUGAGCCUAAAUUAUAGGCGACUAUUUCAUAGGGUGAAAGUAAACAAAAUAGAAAAUCUUAUAGGCGACAUGAGCAUGAACCUAAAUUAUAUAUUUUAUAUGCUGCAAAUUAUUUUAAAAACAUGUGAAAAUAUAGUGCAUGAUCAUCAGACCAAAAACUCUAGCCUGUACAAAACACUCAUAUUUAGACGUAUAUUUCAUAUGGAGCUGCCAAUUCAUAUCAAUCCGGCACUACAACAGUAACACUAUCGUGCAGCCGCUUAAGUCAAAUCUAAAGUUAAAGCUAAUCAACACAAAAUAUCCAAUGUAAAAGGAAUUACUUAUACUAAAAAUAUAAAAUAUACCUAAGAGUGCGAAAGAUGACGAAUAUUUACUAUAAGAGUGCUAGCCCUCGCAUUUGCGAGGGCCACCUUGCUAGUUGAUAAAAAACAAAUAAUUAUGAUGGAUUCAUGGCAAUGAUCAUGUAUAUAGGCAUCACGUUCGAGACAAGUAGACCGACUCCCGUCUGCAUCUACUACUAUUACUCCACCCAUCGACCGCUAUCCAGCAUGCAUCCAGAGUAUUAGGUAUAAAACAGAGUGACGCCUUAAGUACGAUGACAUGAUAUAGAUAAAGUAAAUUCAAGAAAUAUGAUUAAACCCCAUCUUUUUAUCCUUAAUUGUCAGCCCAUUGGCUGUUAUUUUCCCCGAUCUGACCAUCCGUGACGCUCCUGUUGUUCGCAACGCUACCGCUACGACUGCGGGAGCAUGUCAUUUUCGUUAUACAUGUAACCCAAAAAUAUCUCUAACAUUAAUGACAACAAUACAAAUACGUGUUAUGUCCCUUUUUGUCACUGGGAUUGAGCAAUGCAAGAUUGAAUCCAUCACAAAGCACCUCUCCCCAUUGCAAGAUAAACCAAUCUAGUUGGCCAAACCAAAUCGAUAGAUCAGGGAGAAAUAUAAAGCUAAAAUAAUCACGCAUAAAAGAGCUCAGAGAAGACUCAAAUAUUUCUCAUGAAUCAUAUGAUCAUAAACUCACGAUUCAUUGGAUCCCAACAAACACACCGGAAAAGAAGAUUACAUCGGAUAGAAAUCCAAGAACAUCGGGGAUAACUUUGUAUUGAAUAUCAAAGAGAGAGAAGAAGCCAUUUAGCUACUGGCUAUGGACCCAUAGGUGUGUGGUAAAAUACUCACACAUCAUCGGAAGGGCAGCAUGGUUUAUGUGGAAGCCCUUCGUGAUCGAUUCCCCCUCCGGCAGAGUACUGGAAAAGGCCUCCCGACGGGAUCGCGGAAAAACAGAGGCUUGCGGCGGAGAAAAAGUUUUCUCAUCUAUCUCUCUGGUGGUUAUGGAAUAUUUGUGAUUUAUAGUGGAAGAAUUAGGUCAGGAGGUGCCACGAGGGGGCCAUAAGCCUAGGGGCGCGGUGAUACGUCCAUUUUGCAUCAUGUUUUAUUACAGUUAUUUAUUAAGUUUUGAGCUAAUAUAACACUUCAUGGAGUAUUUCUAAUGCAUUUUCUCUCUUAAUAUGCAAGGUUUACACAAAGAGGGAGAAUACCGGCAGCUGGAUUUCAGGGCCUGAAAAAGCUACAUCAGAGAUCCCUAUUCUGCACAUCUCCAAAUGGGCUGAAAAUUCACGAAGAUUUAUUUUAGAAUAUAAAAAAAUACUGGGCCAAAGAUCCACGGGAGGAGGCCACCCAGGUGCCCACACAGCAAUAGGGCGCGCCCCACCCCUAGGGCGCGCCCUGAUGCUGUAUGAGGCCCCUGGCCCAAUUCAGGCCCCCUCCUUCUGGUAUAUAAGUCAUUUUACCAUAAAAUAUUUAUGGGGAGACUUUCAGGACGAGGCGCCGCUGCCACGAGGCGGAACUAGAGCAGGAGAAAUUUGGCUCUCCGGCGUGCAGAUUCCGCCGGGGAUACUUCCCUCCGGGUGGUGGAAAUCGAAGCUUACGUCAUCACUAACAACCCUCUCAUCGUGGGAGGACCAAUCUUCAUCAUCAUAAACCACAACACCAUCUCAUCUCUAUCCCUAGUUCAUAUCUUGUAUUCGAUCUCUGUGUCAAAACAUUAGAUUGGUACUUGUGUUUGACUAGUAGUGUUGAUUACUUAUCGUAGUUGAUGCUAGUGGAUUUGUUUGGUGAAUUACCAAAUGUUCUGAUCGUGCAUCCAAAUUAUAUUCUCUCUGAUCAUGAACAUGAUGAUGAUGUGUGAGUAGUUACUUUUAUUCUUGAGGACAUGGGAGAAGUCUUGUCAUUAGUAAUCAUGUGAUUCCGGUAUUCGUUCAAUAUUUUGAUGAUAUGUAUGUUGUGAUUCUCUUAGUGGUGUCAUAUGAACGUCGACUACAUGACACUUCACCAUUGAUGGGCCUAAGGGAACUCAUUGUGGAGUAGUAAUUAGAUGAUGGGUUGCUAGAGUGACAGAAGCUUAAACCCCAGUUUAUGCACUAUUCCGUAAGGGGCUGAUUUGGAUCCACUAGUUUAAUGCUAUGGUUAGACUUUGUCUUAAUUCUUUUUUCUUAGUUGCGGAUGUCGGUGUCAAAACCGACAGAUCUCGGGUAGGGGGUCCCAAGCUGUGGGUCUAGGAUCAAUAGGUAACAGUGACGAUGAACACGGUGUUUUACCCAGGUUCGGGCCCUCUGGAUGGAGGUAAAACCCUAUGUCCUGCUCUUGUUUGUAUUGAUGAAGUAUCAAGGUACAGAGUUGAUCUACCUCGAGAUCAUAUGUUCUGGUCUAAACCCUAGGGGUAUGAUCAGUAAUGUCAUAAUGAUGAUAAUAAUCUAUCGACUAGCCUGGCCUCGGCUUAUAUAAUGUACCAGAGGCCUAGGAUAACAAGACACCUAGUUAGCUAUGUUGGUGGAGAGGAGUCCUUGUCUUGGUCACCAAGUCUUGUGGAAUCUUUCCUGUAUAUGUCAUCGGUUGUCCGAACUGGCCCAUUAGUGAGGUCCUCGGUCCGACCCACUGGUCGGGAGACAACGUGGUGAGUACCCCCUAGUCCAGGACACCGUCAGCGGAUGCUUGCGAGAGGGGGUAAUCAUAAGUGGGAGGCUUGUUCAAGUAAGAACAGCACCCAAGCACCGGUCCACCCACAUAUCAAAUCAUCAAAGUAGCGAAAGCGAAUCGAAUGAACAUGAUGAAAGUGACUAGAUGAAAUUCCCGUGUGUCCUCAAGAACGCUUUUCUCAUUAUAAGUACUAGUUCUGGCCUGUCCUUUGCACUAAAAAGGAUUGGGAUAUCUUGCUGCACUUUAUUUACAUUUGUCACUUGCUACUCGUUACCAAUUAUCUUGCUAUCAGACUACUCGCUACCGCUUGUUUCAGUGUUUGCAAAAAUAUCGUUAUUGAAAACCGCAAGUCAUUUCCUUUUUCUUCUCGUUGGGUUCGACACUCUUACUUAUCGAAAGGACUAUGAUUGAUCCCCUAUACUUGUGGGUCAUCACGCGGCCACCCACCUGGGGCGCUCCGUCCCUAGCUUAUCACUCCCUCGAGACUCCUCGGGUCUUCCCCGAAGCUUCCAGGGUCUCUUUUGGUCCAGAAAACUUAAUCCAAUGUUUUUCUGUGUUUGUACCUUUUUUAUAAUGAUAUUAUAAAAUGAUAAAAACAAGCAAAAAAUAACAACUGGCACUAGGCACUACGUUAAUAGGUUAGUCCCAAAAAAUGAUACAAAAAUAGCAAAAAGUUGCAUAUAAAACAUCCAAGAAUGAUAAUAUAAUGGCACGAAACAAUAAAACAUUACAGAUAGGAGGCGUAUCAAGCAUCCCCAAGCUUAUUUCUUGCUCGUCCUCGAGUAGGUAAAUGAUAAAAACAAAAUUUUUGAUGUGGAAUGCUACCUAACAUGUUUCAUCAUGUAAUCUCUCUUACGGUAUGAAUAAUAAGAUCCGAAUGAUUCAAAGCAAUAGUCUAUAAUUUGAUAUAAAGACAUCAAUACUCAGGCAUACUAACAAACAAUCAUGCCUUUCAAAAUAACGAUGCUAACCCAAGUUAUCCCUACAAAAUCAUAUAAUCCUAUCAUGCUCCAUCUUCUUAACACAAAGUAUUUAUGAUGCACUACCCCAAUGACAAUCCAGGCAAUUGGUUCAUACUUCUUAACGUGCUUCAGCUUCAACCCCCGCGCAAUACAUGAUGGCAAGCCAAGGACAUAACACUAUGGAUGGAAUAGAACAUGAUGAUAGAGAUCAAUAAGGGGAAAUCCAAAAUAAGAAGAUAGUCUCACAUCAAUGCGGCUAACAAACGGGCUAUAGAGAUGCCCAAAAAUUGAUGUCAAUGCAAGGAGUAGGGAUUCCCAUGCAACGGAUGCACUAAGAAGGCACCCAAGGUAAUAUCCAAGGAGACUCCAGCGUCGAAGCUUGGGGAUGCCCCGGAAGGCAUCCCCUCUUAAUUCUAAUGACUAUCAGUAACGCACUUGAGGCAACAUUUUUACUCAUCACAUGAUAUGAGUUUUUCUUGGAGCGUCUUGUAUGAUAUGAGUCUUUGCUUUGUUUAUUUUUAGUUUAUCACAAUCAUCACCUCUGAACGCAUUUGCUUGAGAUAGCUUCACGUCAUCAUGAUUUACUUGAAUUGCCCUUUGUGCUUCACUUAAAUUUGUUGAGCUAGGUGGUUGCUCUAGUGCUUCAUUUAUAUCUUUUUUAACACGGUGGUGCUUUUGUUUUGAAGAAACUUGUUCUCAUGCUUCACUUAUAUCUUUUUGAGAAUGCUAGAAAUUUUAUAAAAAUAUUAGUCUCAUGCUUCACUUAUAUCUUUUUGAGAGUUCGAAAUUAGUUAUGGUAAAAUGUACAAGCUAUAAGCUUGGUCUCCAUAUGAUGAAUAUUCAAGAAGGAUAAUGAUAACUAGUAUAAAAAAUUUAUGGGACAUGAAUAACUUGAUUCUUUGCAACAAUUUUGAGAUAUGUAGAUGAUAAUACGUGAGUUAUGUUCAUGAAUAAUUAUACUCUAGUAUGAAUAUUGAUGUUAAGGUUUAUGAUUCCCUAUGCAAGCACGUAAAGUCAAUAGUUAUGCAAUGAAGUUACAUCCUACUUGUGGUGCAUUAUUCGGUGUUGGUUAUGUUUUAUGUAUGCAUGUGCAUCAUUACAGUUUCUUAGUUGGUCGCUUCUCAACCAUUUUGCUAGCCUCCAUUCGUACUAAGCGGGAAUACUGCUUGUGCAUCCAUUACCUUAAACUUGUUUUGCCAAUUGUGUCCAUCAUACCUACAUAUAUACGGUAUUUCAUUGCCGUCCCAAGUAAAUUUGCAUGUGCCAUCUCUAAUAAUUUUCAAAAUAAACUUCUCUUUUGUGUGCCUGUGUUGCUCAUGAAGUGAUAAGGGGUGGACGAUGAAUUUCGUGUUGUAUAUGUCAUUUUCAUGAUGAGUGUUUAUUCACUUGUCAUUGCACGAGAGUGUGGCGGUAAUAAAAGGGAUGCCCAGUCCCAAAAAUAAAUUGAAUUUCCUGGAAUGUGUUGUUAUGGAGGGCACCCGUGAAUACGGCUAGACAUGGAUUGUGAAAGGAAAGGUGGAAAAACUAACUCCUUCGGAUGUGAAUGGAAAAAAGGGACAAAAGUCUCAAAACCAUGGAACGAUGACAGGGAGCAAACAAUUUCUUUUCAGUUUGGGAGCCGCCUUUGAUGUAUAUAACUUGGAUGGUAUCGAAAGCCUUGAGUCGUUGUCGUUGACGAGAAAAGCAGGCCUCCCAAAAUAAUUUUUUAUCUCUUUUUAAAACUUGAGGUCUGGCACCACUGUAAAUCAAUGCUUCCCUCUGCGAAGGUCGUUCUAUUUAUUUUUAUGUUGAGUCUCAUCCUUCUCAUUAAAAAACCAACUAGGGGGUCAUGUGAUCAUGUGUGCGCAUGGAGUAUGAUUGACAUUCGACUGUGUUUCAUAAAUGGAUCAAUGGUUGAGCAUAAUGGGCUAGGGAUAAUUUUCUUUAGCAUUGUUAUUUUGAAAGGCAUGGUUGCGUGUUAGCAUUGGAGGGGGUAUAUAUAGCCACCUCAUCGGUCCCGGUUUGUGGCUGGAACCGGGACUAAAGGCCACCCUUCUGUCCUGGUUCUAGGCACGAACCGGGACCAAUGGCUGUGGGCUAGGAACGAGGACCAUUGGUCCCAUUCGUGCCUAGAACCGGGACAAAUGGGUACACACGAACCGGGACAAAUGCCUGCCGAGGACCGGCCGGCCCCCUGGGCGCACGAACCGGGACGUAUGACCCCCAUGGGUCCCGGUUCGUGACUGAACCGGGACUAAUGGGCUGGCCAGGCCCCAACCAAAGCCCUGUUUUCUACUAGUGAGGGGCGACGCUCUGCGGAGUUCUCCCUCUUGGGGGCGUUGUCGUGGAGCUUAGGUGUGCUAGGUCGUAGCGUGAGCAUGUUUUGUUCUUCUGGUACUUGUUGCUGGUAGCAUAGAAGCAUGCGUUUUGCAUGUGCCGGAUAUCUCAGGAUCGACUUUGUAAGGGCUACCAAACCAUAUUGUAUCGUUUGACCAUGUACAGCUUUGGAUGUUGCUUUGUUUAUAAAGCAGGGCAAAAUCCUAUUUCGAGAAUAAAGAAAACAACAGCAACAGCAAACAGGUCAACAACUUCAGAAUAGUUUUUCUUUUAAAAUUUCACUUGCUUAAUUAACUACAUGCAUAGGACUUUCUACAGUGUUUUAGAGAAGGACAACUAUGAUUUGCUAGCUAGUUAGGUAUUUCAACAGAACAUUAACAGCAAGGAGAAGGAGAAGAACUGUUAACAACCAGGCAGGCAGGUGGAGAGUGAGUGUGUGAGAGUGAGGUCUCUCUGGCUUUUUCCUGUAUGGCUACUCCUACUUCCUUCGCUGACAAAGACCUGUUCUGAAUCCGUAAUACUGAUUCAUAGUAAUGAUGGUGGAUCGACUAUACCUUGACUUAUCCAUGUACAACAAAAAUUACUACGUACAUGAUUAAAAAUCCAAGGGUCAAAUCCUGAUCAAUUGAUCCAGCAAAUUCUUCAUGAAUCUAGCAUGACAUCAAGUGUGAUUAAUAGGAGUUUCAAUUAUAAUUAGCCUCCGAGAAGCUACAUGGAGGAGGAUGUAGUCGUGUUUUGUGGCCUUGUCAGAAACUUCGCUUUCCAUCAAUCUGAAAACAAGUGGUAGAGGGCAAAAGAAUGAAAAAAAACAUGUGUAGAGGAUACGCAACACAUAAAGGCCACACACACAAAAACAGCGGUAUGGUAGCUGGUCCAUGACAUUGACAAGUCAAUUGAUUUGCUGCAACCAUAUAUAUGUACGAAUAAUAUCGCCAAGGAUAAGAGAAGGAAAAAAUAUAAAUAUACCGAUAGGCUCUUAUUUAGUUCCUGGAUGCAUGUUGCAUGAGCCAAGUGUAUCGGCAGUAUGGCUUGUGUUUGCUGCAUGAUGGCGGCAGGUUCCCAUUCAGUUAGGCAUGCUAAGUCCUAAAUUCAUUUAUUCACGUAUCGGGUAGAAGGAGAACAAAUUUCAUUUCUUUUCUGUAGGUUCCUUGCUUAAAAGAAAAUAGAAAAUAUACACUUAUAUAAUUACGAGAAAAAAUCAACUGUAUGUCGCUCAGUCUUCCCUUUUUGUUCCGUAUCAGUAUCAACAAUCAUAGUACUAAUAGCUUUCUAUACUGGCGCUAGUAAAUUCAAUAAAAGAAACAUGGAGACUAUCUGAACAAUUUGAAACAAUAUAGACAAACUGAGAUCAACUAACAACAGAAAUCCAAAAGAAAUGUUCAUGUCUACGUGGAGUGAAUCGAUCAAGCCGUGCAAAGCCCUAACAAUUUGUUUUGUAUUAAUAACUCAUAUGAUAAUACAACUCCUCCAUAUGAAAAGGUAAUAUGAUGAUUCAUGAAUGCUUAUCCAUCUUAUAAAUAUAUUGUGCACAAAAUAUCGAGUUAGUUCAGAGAAAACGGUGUCUAGAACAAUCUUCACAUUAAUAGUGUGAUCUAUCUCAAUGACUCACACAAGAUUACAAAGUUUGUUCCCUUAAGUAUGCCAAUCUGGAUACGCCUAACAAUAUGUAGAACAUGACAAACUAAAUCAGAACAAGGGACAAAAUCUAGAUCAAUGUUUGAAGUGUAAAGUGAAUACGAUGAGUCAUUUGUCGUUAUCAAGCAUUCCAUACACCUAGAUGAUAUGUGCAAGAACAAUCAACUAUGACGAACAAUCCAAAAUCACGAUAGUAAGUAGUACCAUAAUACACAACAUACCAAAUUAUUGUAAAUGAUAAGCUUAAGAGCACUUUUUCAAGAAGCAAGUGUGAAGAUUACAAACUUAGUUCCCUUAAGUUAUGCCAAUCUGGAUACACCUAACAACAUGUAGAACAUCACAAACUAAAUCGAAAGACGGACAAAAUCUAGAUCAAUGUUUGAAGUGUAAAGUGAAUACGAUGAGUCAUUAGUCGUGAUCAAGCAUUCGAUACAGCCAGAUGAUAUUUGCAAGAACACAACAUACCAAAUUAUUAGGUCGAUAAUCUUAAGUGCACUUUUUCAAGAAAAGAGUGGGAAGAUGAAAACAAAAUAUGUCAUGCCUGCUAUAAAUACGACUACACCAUGUGGGUCUCUUCCAUCAUCUAACCUUCAAGCACCUAGAGUAAAAACACCAAAGCCAAGUGAGCAAUAGUAAACACAAAUCAAACAUGAAGACCUUCAUCAUAUUUGUCCUCCUUGCUAUGGUGAUGAGCAUCGCCAGUGCCACUAGGCAACUAAGCCCUAGAGGCAAGGAGUUGCAAACACCACAAGAACAAUUCCCCCAACAGCAAUUCCCUCAACCACAACAAAUCCUCCAACAACAAUUCCCCCAACGACAACAAAUCCCCCAGCAACCGCAACAAUUCCCCCAACAGCAAUUCCCGCAACAGCAAAUCCCACAACAGCAAAUCCCGCAACAACAAUUCCCCCAACCACANNN